UGCCAUGUGCGCCUGCACCCAAGGGGUGUCAACUUCUGCAAGUACAAGCGUGGUAACAGCAAGCAGAUGAGGCCAGAGAAGAAGAUCAACAACUAGAGUGCCACCAGUCAGUUUAAUGGACCUGUUAAAAUCCAUCGUCGUGUCAGUGUUUAUGCUUGGUUAUCGUCUCUGGUUGUCGUUGAACCUUAUUUACUUUGCUUUCAGCCUCAUAUUGCUUUGGUGAUCUUUGAAAGAAAAUUUGUAUCAUGAGUAUGAUAAAGGUAGAUGAUGUUGCUCCAUAAAUUGUGGUCAUUUUCAUCCUGCUACAGUCUGCUCUUAUAAAAUGUGUUGAACCGGUAUGGGCCCAAGCCCAACUUCUUAUCUCUUAGGGCCCAAGCCCAUGUGGAGGUGCUGACCUAGAAUGGGGCAUCCAGCCCUCCCGUUCCCAGAAGAGCCACCACACACGAGUGACACCUCGCGCGAGUCACCAGACACCAUGAGCUCUCCUAUCUGAAGGUACUCCCCCUCUCAUCUCAACAUGGUAUCUGAGCCCAGCGAUCGUGGGGCCUAAGGAGACAGCGGCGAUGCCCGGCGAGGCGGUGGCGGAUCCGGGAGGCGCAGCAUGGCUGCGCAGGAGGUGCUCUGCGUGGCAGAAGAAGGAGAGGUGGAGCUGAUGUGCUGCGCGGCAGGAGGAGGCAGCUGAGGAGCGGCUUUGGUCUCCUCAAGAGUGGGCUGUGCUGCGGCUGCUGCUUGCUGUGUUGUUGUGCGUGUGUGUGCAGGGGACGGGAGCUGGAGAACUGCCGUGGGUGUUGGCUGCUGUUGGAGGCCAAGAUCAUCUGGAACUAUUGUUGUUUGCAGAGGAAGGAGAAGAGGCUGUUGUUGCUGCUGGAGCUGCUGCUGGGCAUCUGAGUUGCUGGGCGCUGCUGCUAGCCUGGGGGUGUGAGCUGCUGCUAAUUGCUGAAGAGAAAAGGGGAAAGUGCAGCUGUAAGGCUGUGUUGCUGAGGGUUGCUGUUGUUGAUUACCGGAUCGGACAUGAGUGAACCAACUGGUCUUGCUGAGGCUUUCGAGGCUUGCUAAGAUCCUCGCUAAGUCCAACUCUAGGGCCAUCGUUCCUCGACAGGAAGUGGCUCGGAAGCUCAAAAUGUCACCCUGGACAUGAAGCGGGAUGGGGCCACAAAUUAUUUGAGUUGGUCUAGGAGGGCAUUGCUGGCUGUGGAACAGAAGGAACUUGAUGGGCACUUAUUGGGUGCGGUUGAUGAACCAGGAGACAAGACUACCGCGGAGGGAAAGAGGUGGAAGGUCAUAAACUCCGUGCUCGUUGGCUGGUUGUUGAACUCAGUGGUGCCCCCCAUUGGACGCUCUGUGGAGGGACUAUCCACGUCUGCCGAGAUAUAGAGACUUUAUCCGCCCAAUACUCAGGCAAGGGUAAUUUCAUGCUAAUUGCUCAGAUUGAGGGGAAGAUCAGUCGGCUGCACCAAGGUGACGACAUGUCAGUAGUGGCAUAUGUGGUAGAGCUGCAGGCUUUGUGGGCGGAGCAGGAUAACUGCGAUCCUCUGGAACUCUAUGAUGCCGCUAGCAUCGAGUCAGGGCGCAAGUGGAUAGCACGCAGGCGUGUGUUGAAACUAUUGGAAGGGCUCAGAGGUUGCUUUAAUGGAAGGGGACAUCCCUGUUGCACCAGCCUCUCCUGCCAACUAUUGAGUAGACUAUUGCAGCAAUGUCUCAAGAGGAGGUGAGGCUAUCUCUUGAGCAUGCAGACAUGAAGGCUGUGCCGGCUUCGACAUUUGCUGUCACUCAGCGCAUGGAGUGGGGACAUCCCAACAAAUGUUAUGUUUGUGGGGAGAUAGGUCACUGGAAGAGGGAAUGUCCAACUCAUGGCAGAGGCAGGGGAUACACACAGAGGGGGGGACUGGCAGAGGUAGGCAUGCUAGAGGCAGAUGUGGAUACCUAGGGAACUCAGGGGGGUCAACUUUCUAGGGGUAGAGGUGGUUACUCAGGAAACUCAGGGGGGUGAGAGGGCACAUAUGGUAGUUGAAGGGGACACUGGGACGUCAAAGGGCAAGGAAGUUGACGAGGCUGCCUAUGGAGACUUUGCUCAUUGGGCCUCCACUGAUGAAGGUAAUCCGACAAAGGCACCUCUUACUCCUAAUGAGAAUGCUUCAGAGUGGGUCCUAGAAUCUGGAGCAUCUAAGCACGGGUAAUUCCUGUGUGUUUGAGUCUUAUAGUCACUACUACAGGAUGCUGCUAACGCGACACUGCGAUCAGAGACCCUUCGAGAAACUGUAUGCGAUGCAAUAAUCGCAAACGGUGGUGUUAGAGAACCAUCAAAAAUGUGCAAAACGUUUGCGAUGAUGGAUGCAUCAAACACGGUUCAGAUUUUAAUUACAUGUGCGAUGCAGGGCAUACGGUUCAGUUCAAUUAACUGUUUGUGAUGAGGAGUAACAAAAGAAACGGGCAACCAGAUGAAGGCGUGUGCGAUAAACGGCAUAUGGUUCACUCAGAUGAACUGUUUGUGAUUAGGCAACACAAAAGAAACAGUCAACCAGAUCAAGGUGUGUGCGAUAUACAACAUGCGGUUCACUCGGAUGAACUAUUUGUGUUGAGACAAGAGAACAGAAACGGUUCAAUAUAACAAGAUGUGUGUGAUACGCGACAAACAGGUCUGUAAUCAGAAUGUGUGGGAAGACCGAUAAUAACACAUGAUUCCUGUUAAGAAACCGUGUGUGUUGUGAGCAAACGAUUGCUGGUAUACAAUUGUCAGUGAUUGAUGAAAUCAUCACCGACGGGUUCCCUUGUUUAGUCCGCGUGCGAUGUGAUUUGCUCUGUCUACAUAGUAUCAACAUAUAUACUUAAAAAGACAGCAUUGCAUAACCAAAUUAAGCAUACAAUUAGACAAGUGACUACAUAGAUAACAUUUUCACACAACAAAGUAAGCAAUUACAUGCAUACUAAACUAGGAGAAACAAGGAUCUAAUCAGCUACUUCUUGUUGCGACGACGCUUGCCAUUGCUCUGCUUCCGGCUGGAUCCCUGGCCGUUUUGGGGGAGACACUUCCUCAUGUCAACGAUCCUCCUGUACAUGUCGUAGCACGUGUACGCCUCCUUGGCCGCGUACUGACAUGAGCUUUGUCGAGUUUCUCCAUCCAGGCCGAGUGCCAGGCACGCUUGUCAUUGUUGCAGGAAUCCUUUAUGUCUCUGUAGUAGGAGUCGAUGAUGGCCUCGACGAGGUGAACUGGUGAGUCCUUCUCAUGCUCCUUGUUGCCCCAGAUCUUGUAUUGGCCCUGGGUGUCGACAAGAUUCUAGCAGGCAAUGCCCAAAUUCUUGAGCACCUUGACAUUGUUGGUGAUGUCGACCGUAGCAAACAUGUAGUGGGGGCUGUUGACAAACCUGGCAAAACGCUCGCAAGGCCUUGUGGCCAGGCAGUAGUGGUAGACGAGGACGUGGUGGCCCACACACAUCUGGGCAACCGCGACCUUAGGAUGAGACCCGACACGAGCGCGGGUGUGCUCGAUGUCGAACCCGACCACCUUGUACUUCUCAUCGGCAAGCAACAACUCCAUGAUGCGGAUGGAGUGCUCCACCCAGACCGGGUGGUUGGUGUACACCACCGAGAGCUCCUCGAACCUUCGGUGGGUGUCCACCAUGGCAUGGAUGGUGAACUGCUGCUCGUCGUCGGCAACCGCUCGGAGCGCCGUUGGAGCCGCGCAGGAUACUAUCUAAGAAUUUGUCAUGGUGGGUGUGCUUCUUGCAAUGGUAGGGCGCGAUCGAAAGGUUGAAGAGAAAUAAGGGUUAAAUAGCCGCUGUAACAAAUUGGGGCCAGCAGGCCUGUAAUCAUCACGUCUUGUCACGGCGUUCAUAGCGAAGGAUUUUAGUGCACGCUUGACAACACCGCACCGCAAUGAGGAUUCCAGUGCACGCUUGACAACACUGCACCGCAGUUUGACCACACGUGGGCUCAAAGAGGCGCCAAAUGUAUCGUCGGUGAGCCUGUUCCCGCGCUACCGCGCAAGCUUCCCGCCCGGCUUGGUUUGCCACGCGUAGGCUAGAAGAGGGACAAAUCGUGGGUGUUUAUUGGCAAAAGGCUUUGUAAAAACAAAGUGUGUGGAAUGACUUCGGUCGUAAGUUUACCCGUGGGUGAUGAGAUCAAAGUUACACAGAAGGGUGAUGAUGGACACUCGAGUGCAAUAAUUAAUUCUGCGCUCUAUAGGGCACACGGUGGAAGAAACCAACUGUGUGCAAUAAUGUCCAAGAUCGCAGUCGAGAUAGCUAUACAGAUCGUGUGCUGUGAGAUCGACAAGGUAAACAGAUUCGAGAAUGGUUAAUAAAAUCAAAUCUAAGACCAUUGCAUAUUAAGUUUAAAAUAGUGCUACCAAUAUACAAGUCUCAUAUGAUGCCAUUUCAACGAUUGUACCACAAAGGCUCAAAAUACUACAAGGUUCAAAUUCCAGAGUUAUAUGUCUCAAAUUCGAAGAUUACAAGGUCCAAACUGAUAUUAGGAAUGAAAUUCAGCUCAUCAGCUGCAAACGCUCGCGUUGAUCCGCUGAACAUGGAUAUCAGAGAGGUUCAAACUAAUAUUACCACUUCUAAGUCUGGUAUCAAAAUCUCAGAACUUUUGCAAAUGGGUCAGCCACUGAGAAGUCAUGUAUGGGGUUGACACGAUGAGUUCCGAUUACUCUGUCAUCAGAAGUUCCAAAAUGAAAUUCAGCAUUUUUGGAGCCUAUUCCAUUCUGCCGCAGGCGCCGGCGCUGAUCAACAAACCAUUCAUUUUUUCGAAAUAAAUGUAGGGCAAACCUCAUUACCUUCAGCACCCUUGCUCUGACAACAAAGAACCUGGCGAAUAUAAUCUCCGGUAAGGUCCCUCAGUAAGAGUUCAAAGUAAUUUCGGAGAGAUGCAGAUCUAGGCAUUCGACGUGAUUGUUAUAUUGUAUCACAUUAUCCACCACCAGGGCUAAUCUUAUCUGCAAAAGAAGAAAACGUGUUAGUGCCUAGAUGCAGUUUUAAACACUACUACAGGCCUAUUUGGUUUGCAGGAUUUGUAAAAUGCACUAAUAUGCCAUCUUCAAUCUGACAUGAUUAACAUGGGCAUUAACAUGCCAUCUUCGAUCUUCACAAGAUGUUGGAGUGGAUGAAAAGUUCCCUAAGAAAACUAGUACCGAUGAAUCCAAAGGAGAAAUGCAUAUGGAUUGUAACCAUAUGGAUCAACCAUUGUCAUUGUAAACUUGGAAAAGGAGACAUGUAUGUACUGAAAUCCUCCAAAAGAAUCCUUCAGAAAUCGUAGUACAUUGUCAUUGUAAACUUGGAAAAAGGUGUCACAAAUUGAACUCCCUUAUGGUUACAUUUAACAGGAAAGGAACAUCACCUCGAUAUUUAGGUUCUCCAGGCACGGAAAGCAUCUCAGGAAAGUGACAACUUGCUCCAGGUUGGGCCGAUAGAUUCUAGUGCCAAGACCUUCACUAUGCGCAGUUUCGUGGUCAGGCUUGUCGGAAUCAUUUUCUGAAUGACAGAUGAACAAACAUCUUCAAAAUUAGAAAUAAUGUUAAUUUGUAGAAGGAUAGGUAGAAGGCAGCUGUUGUACCGAAAUGGGUGUGGAUCCAAUAACAAGUUCGGAGUAUUUGUGAGACGAGUAGCCCAACACCGUCAAUUUCAGCGCAGAAAUGGCAUUGAUUCUUGUUGGACCUACUUGAUCAAGUAUAAGUAAUCUCUCAAGUGCAUGUGUGUCCUCAAUGACCAUACCGUGGUACACAUCUUGUGAUGUCUUCCUGCCGAACCAGCAACACACAUAAAUAGUCCGGAGAGUCAUGGAGGUGAUGUGGAAUGUACUCAACCCAUUGAUCGCCUGAAGACGAAGGUACCCGAGUGCAGUACAACCAUGGAGCAGGCGCUCCAUGUCACCAUUUGAGAGGCAGACGGUGACGAGCUCGAGCUGCUUCAGUCGUGGUAGAAUAAGAGCGGGUGCGUCAUUAAGGGGGGGAAUAUUUAGUUAAAGCAGGGCAAUAGAAAAGUGUAUUGGUAACUAGAAGUUAUUAGGUAGGAAUAUAGUAAGAAAAGGGAAUAACAGUUGGUUGCUUAAAUACUACACAAUUCAUUUAACAUUGUCGGGUAAGUCAACAUGCAGAUAGUUGAAAAGAAAACUUACUUCAAACAAACUCAAGACAGAUGAUUUUGUCGGGGAAGUUAGCAUAUAUCUCAUGACCAUGCCCUUUUAUGUGCAGUCCAAUUUUAGUGCCAGCUUUCAGUACAUAAAACUUAGAAAUUUCUUUCCAAAAGCCAGUGCCAAAAUAGGAGUCACCACGUUCAUCAAGUCUUACAAUAGCAACGAUUGUAAAUCCAUGGUUUGUGUGCAGUAUGACAUCUGUGCAACCUUGAUCUAUGUAAAGGGAAAAAUUGUGCACUACAUAAUCUGUUGCAUAGCAAGGGAUGCGCUACAGAAAAUGGUAGGAUUGUUAAAGAAAAUAUGGUAACAUGCAAAUAUGGGCCCAAAUUGAAAGAACUAUACAUCAGUUGAAAUCGAAGGAUAAAAAUCUAUAAUUAAACAGAUAGGGUAAACAUGAUGUCAUGGAAAUAUGAGAUUAAUCAAAAGAACAAUACAUCAUUAGUUUGCCUAAUAUAGAAAGAAGAUGGUAAAAAAUCCCCUUUGACGUAUAUGGUGCAUGUGGCACCUUUUAUCCAAAUGUAGCAAUAUUUAGAAUAUCUUCAGGAAAGUAGGCCAUGCCAACCGAUUUAGGGUGAGGUUGAACAUACCGCGCACAUGCUCAAGUCAUGUGGUACGGUGAGAUGGAAUCUCUGGCGGAGGUCGCAAGGUCCUGAUGUGUCGGCGUGCUGUACAAUCUAUGAAUGAAAGAAAACCCUCAAAUCAACAUGAAUAAAAAUGAAUUCACGGCGAUUCCGCCAGGUGAUUAAAGGAGGCAAAUGAACUGGGAUGAGAGAAGAGAUAAUAUCUCAUUAGAUUAGUUACCUUGUCGUCCAUGAGAAAAAACCCUCAGUACGUCAGAUUCCCCAACCAAGCGGAGCUGGGUCGACCGCGAGCGACGUCGAGAAAGUCGAUGGCGAUAGGCGGCGGCAAGAGGAAGUGUCGAAAUGCGGUGGGUUUGCCGGCAGCCUGGCGGCGGCGGCAGGCGUCGAGCUAAGUGGUUACCGCCGUGAUAGGCAGUGCCAUGCAUAGACGCGGAGGAGCUUCUGCAAGUGUGAAUGGGGACCGGAGGCAUGAGGUGGCGGGCGGGGGUGAGGGUUUUUGUGACGUGGGAUGGCGAGGGUUUUCUUUUUUCUUUUUUGAAUUGGGUGGUGAGGGUUUUCUGUCCCACAAAGAAUUUCAGAGGCAACUGUUUGCUAGGAAAACCGUGUGUGAUUGACGCAAGAAGCAAAACGAAAGUCAUUGCACACGGUUCCAAUUUUGGCAACCGUGUGUGAUUGAAGCAAUAGGCAAAAUGAAAGUCAUUACACACGGUUCCAAUUUUGGGAACCAUGUGUGAUUGACGUACUACCUCCGUCCUGGUUUAUUGGUCCCCUCUGUAAUUUGUACCAAAUUUUGACCAAAUAUUUGACUAAGAAAUGUUUAUGCAUGUCACCAAAAAUUAUAUCAUUAAACACUAUGUUCAAAUACACAUCCAACGAUAUAGUUUUUGCUGACCUGCACUAACAUUUUGUCAGUUAAAUCUUUGGUCAACAUUUAACACAAAUUACAAAGGGGACCAAUAAACAAGGACGGAGGUAGAUUCCAUCAACCGAACUGAUUGCAUCCAUAUCCCACAGUUAGACAUAAGUAAACAUAGAUUAAACAUACUCAGACAUAGAUAAUAAGCGUACACGUACACAAGCAUAGUUCAACCGUCAUUAAGCAUGCUCAAGCGUACAUAGUUCGAUCCCACAUCUCAUCUCACAAGCCUGCACAAUCCCGAAGCUUCUCCAUGUACUCGGCGUACGCGCCGUGCUCCACCCUGGAGCAUACUUCUGCUUGAAGGAGCCAACGUCCCAUCCUCUUGCAUGCGCCAGAACACUUUGAUACGCGUCAUGAAGCUUGUGGUUGCAAAAUGGGCAUCGAUAGCCGCCGUUCCAGGUCCUAAUACGCCUGUUAUGCAUUCCUGCAUAAAGCUCCCUUGGGAUUUGCCUCUUGUACCUCCUCUGGACAUCUUCAUCCUUGCUGUCCACAUCGUCAGACACCACCUAUACAAAUAGUAAAAAAAAUAUGGCCCCAAAUUAAUGGUUACAAACUAAUCUCUAGCGAACAUUUGGCAGUUGCAAAAAAUUAGCAUCAAAUCAACAAUUACAUGCCGUGAAGUAGGAUUAGGAAUUUAUGGCUAUUUAUUUGUACAUAUCCAGAUAUUAUGGUUCUAUUUUUAAGCACAUUCGUCUAUGUACAGACCAAUCUUGAAGAAAAUAAUGGCACAAACAUAUGUAGGUCAUUCAAAAUCAAUUGUCAAGUCCUGGCUAGGAAUUAUUAGCAUGAACACUAACCCUAGUCGGAUUACUAGCAGAAAUCAUUUCCACAGAUGAAACAACUAAUCACUUAUCACUUGUACCAUUCAAACAAUCAAUACACUACACGGAUCUAACAAAACUUACUCAGAUUUCAUGGAUUGGGAGAACAUAACCAUACGAUUUCUAUUCCAAAAAGGGGGAGGCAGGAGUAACCAGAGAAACCACUGGGAUCUAUUUGACACAUAAAUGGGUGUAGAUGACUAACCAGUUGUCCGUCGUUGUCGGAGUCGUCGCCCGAGUCGUCACCAAAGUCGGUGUGGAACUUCGCCUCCUGCUGUGGAAGCUCGACACCGUCGACGACGUCAGGUUGCAGCGAUAACUCGCCAGCGGUGACGGCAACCCUGUCUCCAUCUCCACGCCAUGCUCCGGUGCUUUAGCAGCCCCGACGUCGCCACUCCCUCCGAUGGGGCGCUUCGGAGGCAUCCUCAUACACUUUCGGCUUUGGUGACUGAGAGCGGCGUCGAGGAUGCAAGCAGAGAGAGGGUAUUGUGUGUGUGGCGAGGAUGGGGGGUGUCGGUGUCAAAACCGGCGGAUCUCGGGUAGGGGGUCCCGAACUGUGCGUCUAGGCGGAUGGUAACAGGAGACAAGGGACACGAUGUUUUUACCCAGGUUCGGGCCCUCUCGAUGGAGGUACAACCCUACUCCUGCUUGAUUGAUAUUGAUGAUAUGAGUAGUACAAGAGUGGAUCUACCACGAGAUCAAGGAGGCUAAACCCUAGAAGCUAGCCUAUGGUAUGAUUGUUGUAAUGGUUGUUCGUCCUACGGACUAAAACCCUCCGGUUUAUAUAGACACCGGAGAGGGCUAGGGUUACACAGAGUCGGUUACAAUGGUAGGAGAUCUACAUAUCCGUAUUGCCAAGCUUGCCUUCCACGCCAAGGAAAGUCCCAUCCGGACACGGGACGAAGUCUUCAAUCUUGUAUCUUCAUAGUCUUGGAGUCCGACCGAUGAUGAUAGUCCGGCUAUCCGGACACCCCCUAGUCCAGGACUCCCUCAGUAGCCCCUGAACCAGGCUUCAAUGACGACGAGUCCGGCGUGCAUAUUGUCUUCGGCAUUGCAAGGCGGGUUCUUCCUCCGAAUAAUUCAUAGAAGAUUGUGAACACCAGGAUAGUGUCCGGCUCUGUAAAAUAAAUUCCACAUACCACCGUAGAGAGAAUAAUAUGUACACAAGUUCAAUCUGCUGACGUAUUUUGUGGCGUGACGUCACACCACUACCAAGCCUUUACUUCAAUCAUUUUUAUUAUGCCACCUCAGCGCGUUUAGCGAAGCGGUUUCCUUGGCACGUCUUGUCAAAGCAGAGAUCGUGUUCCCCUUAUUCCAGGAUUCCCAUCAAUACGAACAUGGGUAACCCAACCGCGCCAUUGAUUGUGGCGCUCGGGAGAUAAGCGAGUUUUUACCAGGCCGGUGGGGACGCAUAGUCUUCGUCCGCCCAUAUAUAUACCUGUCCAGCGACAUCGCGCACCGGCUGCCCGACGAGGGGCAGCUCAUCCCCACCCCCAGGCCCCAUGAGAGGGUCAUUUUUCUUCCCCACUUCCUCCGCGGACUGGGCUUCCCACUUCAUCCCUUCGUCCGGGGGCUCAUGUACUACUACGGCCUAGACUUCCAUGAUCUGGCGCCAAACUUCAUCGUCAACAUCUCGGCGUUUAUCGUCGUGUGUGAGGCCUUCCUCUGCAUCCAGCCUCACUUCGGCUUGUGGCUAAAGACCUUCAACGUCAAGCCGAAGGUGGUGAAGGGCGUUCAAGCGGAGUGCGGAGGUGCCAUGGUGGGCAAAAUGCCCAACGUCAUCUGGCUCGAGUGUGCCUUCGUGGAGUCCAUCAAAGGGUGGCAAUCGGGGUGGUUCUACAUCACCGAGCCGCGUGACCCUAAAUGGGCAGCGGCCCCCGAGUUCAGAUCUGGUACCCCCAUGCAGCUCACCUCCUGGAAAGAGAAGGGCUUGCUAUGGGGCAGUUCGGAAGAGCUGACCGGACUCCAGUCCUAUCUCCAGACCCUGGUGAACAAGAAGCUUAAGCUUGUCAACGUGAUCCAGGUCAUGCUUGUCCGCCGGAUUCUCCCCUGCCAACAACGGGCUUUCAAUUUGUGGGAGUUUGAUCCGGCACAGCACCGGACCCUUAGCGGGCUCUUUGACACAACGUACGAAGCUGCCUGGAGGGUGCUGUUCAAGGGCGGAGAAGCCCCCGUAUCCGCGACUGAAGAUUGCGGAUUCAGCAUGCAGCGCCCGGCCGACGCAGUAAGCUAUGUUAUCCUUUAUGGGACAUUCAUUUCUUUCAUAGUUUGACUCUAUGUGGGAUUUAAAAUUCCCCAUGCCUUUAACAGGACUGGCAGAGGACGUCCGGACAGGUUAACUGUCCGGCUCCCCUCCCCGAAGACCCAGCGGAUACCCAUUUGACAGGGCUGCUAGUCCCGGCACUUUAUGUGGUGCCGGAGAAGAAGGCCAAGAAGAAGGCCACGGGAACCCGAAGAAGUUCCCGGCGCCAGGUGGUAUUGGACUCGUCGUCCGAUGGCUCCGAGGCGGACUCCUCCCCCGAAGACGAGGAGGAGAAAGAGGCCUCUCCCCAAGAGGGGGGAGAGAAGAAGAGGAAGGCUUCCCCAACGGGGGAGGCCGAAGGGUCCAAGAAGGGAAGGACCCUUCCUCCGGACUGCUCCGCCAACACUGGCGACGGCGACGGGGAGUGGCCCUCAAGGGCCAAGCCCCCAGCAAGAUCGUAAGUAUCCGGAUUCCUGAAUGAUUUAUAAUUUCUCUUUGUGCCACGUAGUGUCCUUCUAAUGCCGCAUACUACCUGUAGUCCGGCCGAGGAUGAUCUUCCCGCUUCAUCGAGCAGGUCCUUGGCUCCGUCGGAUGUGGAUUCCCUUCCGACCGCCUCAACUCCCCGUGACGCUGACGACGCCGAGGUGGGAUCCCAGGAGGGGACCCAUCAGGAGGAGGAGGCUCCAGAGGUGCCGCAAGGCAGCCUCCCGGACUUUGCGCCGGACUCCGCACCGGAACCUGUAGUGGUUCUGGAGUCCGGCAGGCGACCCCUUCGUAAGAAGGGCAAGACUGUGACACCGGCGGCCUCCGUCCAACCGGAGGCGCUGGAUAGCUUGUUGGAGGCGCUCAACAGCGCUUCCAUUGAGGAAGAACACCGCACUAUCAUGAGUGUGGUGAUUCAGAAGGUUCGGCUCGCCAAGAGCGGGCUGACCGAAGCCUGCAGCAGCCUUCUAACGGGCUUUGAGGUAAGAAAUUUAAAAUAUGUGAUGUAAUACCGCAUAGACAGUAGCUUCUGAUGCUCGGUUCGGUGUUCGGAAAGAAAAGCCGGACUGAGGAUCUAAAAAGAUAUACGCAGGAGGUCUAAAAAUUAUGUCAAUAUGGGAUUGCAGGCUGCGCUGCUGACCUCCGCCGCACUGACUGCGGAGGUCGAUGCUUUGAAGUAGAACCUCGAGCGGUCCGAGAGUGAGCUCGGCCGUGCCAAGAAGUAGCUCGAGGACAGGGAAGGUGAGUAACACCAUAUUAAAUUUGUACCUUACAGAAAAGGAUUUUGGUUGCAAGAGAAAUAACAAGGAUAACGUGGGUACUCCAGGGGCCACGAACAAGGUGGCGACCCUGAAGGAGGCGGUGUCUGCGGCCGAACGCAAUGCGGCCACGGAGCGAGCCGAGCGGGAGAAGCAGGAGGCGAGGGUGGCGGAGGUGCAGCAAGAGCUCCAGGCUCUCAUGAAAAAACAUGAGGGUUUGGAGCGCGACUCGAGGACUCGAGAGUCCGAGCUUGCAUCGGCUCCUGAGAGCGCAAAAACCGCUAAGGCCGAAGCCCACAAGGCCCUCCAGGAGGUCGAGGAUUUGAAGAAAAUAGCAGAGGGUAAGGCUUUUUUCAUGCAAAGCAAGCAUGUGAAAGUGAAUUACCUGUUACUUACCCAAAUUCGGAGCUCUCCAGGAGCGUUUGCAGAUCUGCCUCGCAGCAUGUCCGAUGCCGCCUCAUUCUACCGGGCCGAGGAGGGGAGCUCGACGGAGAAGGUCUUCUGGUCUCAAUAUGCUGAGGCCGGACAUCCGGUGCCCCUUAGCGACCAGCUGAAGCAGCUGGUCGAGCUCCACAAGGUAGCCGAACAGGCCAUGAAGGGCCUCAUAGUUCGGCUAUGGCCCAAGGAGGCCAUGCUUGGGAGCUACUUCGGCCUGGUGCGGCGGCUGGUGGAUGCAUGUCCCUGGGUGGAAGUCGUCAAGUGCUCUGCCUGCAUUGAAGGUGCCCGUCGGGCCCUUGCCCAUGCAAAAGUGCACUGGGGCAGGCUGGAUGCUUUGAAGCUUCUGACGGACGCGCCGCCGGCAGGCAAGGAGUAUCGCACGCCCGAAAUGUAUUAUAAGAGUGUCCUGAAGGGUGCCCGCAAGAUUGCGGAUGAGUGCUCCAAAGAUGUAAUAUUUGAUUAGACUCGCAAUGUGUUAUCCUGUGCGCUAAAAACUUUGUUCAUAUGCGCUAAGCAACGCUUAUUGAUUUAAAAUAUUACCUUCUGUGCGGCUGUUUAUCAAAUCUGAGAGAUGGCAAGUCGUCGGCUUCAGCCCCCAUGCCAUGAGUGCUGGGGUGUUCGGGAUAAACUUGAGCGCUCUUGUUCCCAUUUUUGGGUCCAUCUAGGGAGGCGCUCAACACGACGAACAAGGCAACCGGACUUAUAAUGCUUGAACACUCUCACUUAGCCAUAGAAUUCUAUAAUUUUAAAUUUCGGUGAAGCCCCUAGUAUUUGGAAGACCGAGUUCGGGGCACUAUCCAUGCCUGGGCUGGACAAAGCCGGUUCCUCGCUCUAAGCGGCAUAAGUCUUUAGGGACUCGAAAAGACCUCUCGAACAGCGACCAGCUCUCGCCUUAUCAUGACGGUCAGUUUUAGCUUUCUCCACUGAGGCGCUCGCCCAGCUCAACCGGGGCGCAAUCGCAGUGGUUCUCCCAGUGCUACCUUAGCCGAUAAAACGGAAUGUAAGGUACCAAAACAUGGGAGCCGGCCAAACCCAACUAUUGACCCAAGACAUGAUUCGGAGCCGAUGCAUAUAAUGCUAUAAGUUCGGGGUGCCGCACUUGGGAAAGUGUUCGGACUUAUCACACCAUAAUGCGGGGAACUUAAGCCCCUGGUGUAUUCGGCCGUACCAAAGUGUACAGAUGCAGGAUGUCGUAAAUGAACAUAUAUAAGAAAAAAAAGAAAUGUGGCUAUAAGAAAAAAGCGAUGCAUUGUUUAUUCAGAAAUACUACCAUGAAUGCAGAGCGAUACAAAUAGUGCGGUAAGCAAGGGAUUGGACUAUUUAAACAUGUCCCCCUCCAGGGGUAGGCUGCGGAAUGGUGUAUUAAACAGAUUUAAUGCUCGUAAUGGAGACCACCUUAGUGUUCGUCGUAGCCUUUCUCCUUCCCUGGCUGUUGCAUCGUGAGUUCGACAGGUCUACUGCCGGACAAGGCCUCUAGUGAAUGGAGUCCUGUGGAUAAGAAAAAAGAAAAAGACCAACGUACUUGGGAGCCCCUGGUGUGGUUAAACCGUACUUUGGGCCUGUCGUGGUCGUGCCCCUCCCCCUAUGCCCAUGGUAUCUCCAGAGCGUAAUGAUGUACGCGAAGGACUGGUCUUGCAAUUAUGCGAGGGCUGGGGUUGGGGCCGCAUUGCUACGCGUGCUCGGAACGUGCCAGGUGGUCUUGUUGUAUGUUACUCCGGGCGCGUUUGGCCGUGUCCGGUCGCUUAACGACCGGACUCGAAAAUUGCCUUAAGAGGCUGCUCUGUACUUCUGCCGCGAGAGCCGCUGUGUUUUCCUCCGUUCGGAGGGAGCAUUCAGUGUUUCAGUUGACCGUGAUGACUCCUCGAGGGCCUGGCAUCUUGAGCUUGAGGUAUGCGUAAUGCGGCACCACGUUGAACUUUGCAAACAUGGUCCGUCCGAGCAGAGCGUGAUAGCCACUGCGGAACGGGACUAUGUCGAAGAUUAACUCCUCGCUUCGGAAGUUAUCCGGGGAUCCGAAGACCACUUCCAGUGUGACUGUGCCUGUACAAUUGGCCUCUACACCUGGUAUGACGCCUUUGAAGGUCGUCUUUGUAGGUUUAAUCCUUGAGGGGUCUAUGCCCAUUUUGCGCAUGGUAUCCUGAUAAAGCAGGUUCAGGCUGCUGCCGCCGUCCAUCAGGACUCUGGUAAGGUGAAACCCAUCGACGAUUGGGUCUAAAACCAAUGCGGCGAAUCCGCCAUGGCGGAUACUGGUGGGGUGAUCCCUUCGAUCAAAAGUGAUCGGGCAAGAGGACCAUGGAUUGAACUUCGGGGCGACUGGCUCCAUCGCAUAUACAUCCCUAAGUGCACGCUUCCGCUCCCUCUUGGGUAUGUGGGUUGCGUAUAUCAUGUUUACCGUCCGUACUUGUGGGGGGAAGCCCUUCUGUCCUCUACUAUUCGGCGGCCGGGUCUCUUCCUCGUCAUCGCUAUGCAGCCCCUUGUCAUUGUUUUCGGCAAUUAGCUUGCCUGCCUGCUUAAAUACCCAACAAUCCCUGUUGGUGUGAUUAGCUGGCUUUUCAGGGGUGCCAUGUAUCUGGCAAGAGCGGUCGAGUAUUCGUUCCAAAUUGGACGGACCCGGAGUAGUACUUUUGAAUGGCUUUUUCCGCUGACCGGGUUUAGAGCCUCUGAAUCCGGCGUUGACUGCCGUAUCCUCAGUGUUAUCGCCGUUAAUGCGGCGUUUGUUUUUGUUUCGGCGCGACCUGCCAUUGCGGUCCUUGGUAUCCGGACUGCCAGAAUUUUUGCUGAGGUUGUUACUGCGGGCUAGCCAGCUGUCCUCCCCCGCACAGAAGCGGGUCAUGAGUGAUGUGAGGGCUGCCAUGGAUUUCGGCUUUUCCUGUCCUAGGUGCCGGGCUAGCCACUCGUCGUGGAUGUUAUGUUUGAAGGCUGCGAGGGCCUCUGCAUCCGGACAGUCGACGAUUUGAUUUUUCUUUGUUAAGAACCGUGUCCAGAACUGUCUGGCCGAUUCGUCUGGCUGCUGAAUUAUGUGGCUUAGGUCAUCGGUGUCUGGUGGUCGCACAUAUGUGCCCUGGAAGUUGUCAAGGAAUGCGGCUUCCAGGUCCUCCCAACACCCAAUUGACUCUGCUGGCAAGCUGUUAAGCCAAUGCCGAGCUGGUCCUUUAAGCUUGAGUGGGAGAUAUUUGAUGGCGUGAAGAUCGUUGCCGCGGGCCAUGUGGAUAUGAAGGAGAUAGUCUUCGAUCCAAACCGCGGGGUCUGUUGUUCCAUCGUAGGAUUCAAUGUUCACGGGUUUAAACCCUUCAGGGAUUUGAUGAUCCAUUACUUCGUCUGUGAAGCAUAGUGGAUGUGUGGCGCCUCUAUAUUGGGCAAUAUCACGACGUAGCUCCAGCGAGCUUUGUCUACUGUGUUCGGCCCGGCCGGAGUUGCUGUAUCCGGCGCGACGGUAGUCGUCUCGCAUUGUGGGGCGCCCACGUGAUCCGUAGAUCGAUCUUGAUUGUCUUGCCUUGUCCUCCAAUAUGUCUUGCAAGUCCGGCGCAUUCCCCCAUGGCUUCAUACUUUUCGAGCGAUGCCGGGGUACGGUCCUGAUGGAGGGCCUAGAGGCCUCUUUGUCGCGGCCACGAGGUGGUCGGUCUGCCGUAUUGUGCGCUGGUGAUGAAGGUUUAUAUGCCUCCUCCUCUAAUCGGGGGAGCAACUUGCAUUUUGGGUAGCUUUUGGAGGGGCGUUCGAGUUCGUACUGUUCGGCCGCAAGGACUUCAGUCCAUCUGUCGGCUAGAAGAUCUUGAUCAACUUGAAGCUGUUGCUGCUUUUUCUUUAGGCUAUUUGCUGUGGCCAUAAGCCUGCGUUUAAAACACUCUUGUUCGACAGGAUCCUCGGGUACGACGAAUUCGUCCUCGUUGAGGCUUGCCUCGUCUCCGGAGGGAGGCAUGUAAUUAUCAUCCUCUACCUCUACCGCUCUCUCGUGAGGGUUGGCUUCUCCGUCCUCCUGGGCUGAAUCUUGCUGGAGGGGGUUAUCUUCGGCACUCUUUGGGGUAUUAUUAUCUCCGGUGCCAGAAUCUCCAUUCUUGCUAUGGCGGGAUUUAGAGCGGCGCCGCUGACGCCGACGCUUGGGCUGUUUCUUGGGGGAAUCUGCCUCCGCUGCUUCUUCGCCAUUCCCGUCCUUUGGGAUGUCCACCAUGUAUAUGUCGUAUGACGAGGUGGUCUUCCAGUGCCCUGUAGGCGCUGGUUCUUGGUCGUCUCCGGCAUCGUCGUCCAUACCGUCGAUGUCUUCGGACUCGUAGUCUAGCAUGUCGAUGAGAUCGUCGACAGUGGCUACACAGUGGGUGGUGGGUGGGCUUUGAAUUUCUUCGUCGUCCGCAUCCCUACCGUCCUGACCGCAGUCCGGCCAGGGAUCUCCUGAUAACGAGAGAUACUUUAGCGAAUUCAGGAUGUCACCAAAGGGUGAGUGCUGAAAGAUGUCCGCGGCCGUGAACUCCAUAAUCAGCGCCCAAUUGGAUUCGAUUGGCAGGGGCGCAGGAGGUUCGGAGUCCAGCGAGGAGUCUGGCACCUCGGAGUCACAAGCUUUACAAGGGACAAGGUCAGUAUUCGGCUCCAUCGCCGUAGAGGUUGCAGCCCCCGAGGCGGCGUCUAGCCAUCCGUCCUUGAUCUGCGCAGUCGGCUCCAAAUUAAGGGUCGGAGUGGACUUAUGUGCGGCCUCCAGGGCACUGUCAGUAGAGCUAAAUCAUGCCCAUUGUGACAGUGCGGCAUGCUCGGCUGUGGCUCAAAUCCGUCAAAGAUCAAGUCUCCGCGGAUGUCAGCCGUGAAGUUUAGGCUUCAAAAUCUGACCUGAUGGCCAGGGGCGUAGCUUUUGAUCUGCUCCAGACGGCCAAGCGAAUUGGCCCGCAGUGCAAAGCCGCCGAAUACGAAGAUCUGUCCGGGGAGAAAAGUCUCACCCUUGACUGCCCCGUUGUUGUUGAUGAUCGAAGGAUCCAUCGAGCCUAUCGGUGACGACAUAGAGGAACUCUUAAUGAAAGCACCAAUGUCGGUGUCAAAACCGGCGGAUCUCGGGUAGGGGGUCCCGAACUGUGCGUCUAGGCGGAUGGUAACAGGAGACAAGGGACAUGAUGUUUUUACCCAGGUUCGGGCCCUCUCGAUGGAGGUAAAACCCUACUUCUGCUUGAUUGAUAUUGAUGAUAUGAGUAGUACAAGAGUGGAUCUACCACGAGAUCAAGGAGGCUAAACCCUAGAAGCUAGCCUAUGGUAUGAUUGUUGUAAUGGUUGUUCGUCCUACGGACUAAAACCCUCCGAUUUAUAUAGACACCGGAGAGGGCUAGGGUUACACAGAGUCGGUUACAAUGGUAGGAGAUCUACAUAUCCGUAUUGCCAAGCUUGCCUUCCACGCCAAGGAAAGUCCCAUCCGGACACGGGUCGAAGUAUUCAAUCUUGUAUCUUCAUAGUCUUGGAGUCCGGCCGAUGAUGAUAGUCCGGCUAUCCGGACACCCCCUAGUCCAGGACUCCCUCAGGGGGUGCGGCCGCUCGGGCGCACCAUUAAUAUGUUAGGGAACAUAGCAACAAUUCAAAAUUUUCUACGCAUCACUAAGAUCCAUCUAUGGAGAUUGUAGCAACAAGAGAGGGAGAGGAUGAGCAUCUUCAUACCUUUGAAGAUCGCUAAGCGGAAGCGUCACUAGAACACGGAUGAGGGAGUCGUACUCGCGGCGAUUCAAAUUGCGGAAGAUCCGAUCUAACGCCAAACGGAUGGUGCCUCCGCGUUAAACACAUGUACAGCCUGGGGAUGCCUCCUCCUUCUUGAUCCAGCAAGGGGAGAGGAGAAGUUGAGGGAGAGCUCCGGCAGCACGACGGCGUGGUGGAGGAGCUUGCAGUUCUCCGGCAGGGCUUCGCCAAGCACUAGGGAGGAGGAGGUGGAGUUGGAGAGGGGGAGGGCUGCGUCAGGGGAAGGGUAUGGCAGCCCUCCCACCCCCCACUAUUUAUAGGGGGAAGGGGAGAGGGAGCCGACCCCCUUAGAUCUCAUCUAGGGGGGGGGCAAGGGGGGAGCUUGCCCCACAAGUUGGUGGGAGGCGCCCCUGCCCCCUAGGGUUUUCUACCCUAGGCGCCUUGGGCCCUUGGGGGGUGCACCAGCCCACUAGGGGGCUGGUUCCCACCCUUGUUCAGCCCAUUUAGUCCCCCGUGGAAGGUGGACCCACCCGGUGGACCCCUGGACACCUUUCGGUGGUCCCGGUACAAUAUCGGUAACCCCCGAAAUUAUUUCGGUGACUGAAAUUGGACUUCCCAUAUAUAAAUCUUUACCUCCGGACCAUUUCGUAACUCCUCAUGAUGUCCGGGAUCUCAUCUGGGACUCCGAACAACAUUCGGUAACCGCAUACUAAUUCCCAUAACAACUCUAGCAUCACCGAACCUUAAGUGUGUAGACCCUAUGGGUUCGUGAAUCAUGCAGACAUGACCGAGACAGCUCUCCGGCCAAUAACUAACAGCGGGAUCUAGAUACCCAUGUUGGCUCCCACAUGUUCCACAAUGAUCUCAUCAUAUGAACCAUGAUGUCGGGGAUUCAAUCAAUCCCGUAUACAAUUCCCUUUGUCAAGCGGUAUGUUACUUGCCCGAGAUUUGAUCGUCGGUAUCCCAAUACCUCAUUCAAUCUCGUUACCAGCAAGUCACUUUACUCGUUCCAUAAUGCAUGAUCCCGUGACUGAAUACUUAGUCACAUUGAGCUCAUUAUGAUGAUGCAUUACCGAGUGGUCCCAGAGAUACCUCUCCGCCAUACGGAGUGACAGAUCCCAGUCUCGAUUCGUGCCAACCCAACAGAAACUUUCGAAGAUACCUGUAGUGUACCUUUAUAGCCACCCAGUUACGUUUUGACAUUUGGUACACCCAAAGCAGUCCAACGGUAUCUGGGAGUUGCACAAUCUCAUGGUCUAAGGAAAUGAUACUUGACAUUAGAAAAGCUUUUAGCAAACGAACUACACGAUCUUGUGCUAUGCUUAGCAUUGGGUCUUGUCCAUCACAUCAUUCUCCUAAUGAUGUGAUCCCGUUAUAAUUGACAUCCAAUGUCCAUGGUCAGGAAACCAUGACCAUCUAUUGAUCAACGAGCUAGUCAACUAGAGGCUCACUGGGGACAUGUUGUGGUCUAUGUAUUCACACAUGUAUUACGGUUUCCGGUCAAUAUAAUUAUAGCAUGAACAAUAGACAAUUAUCAUGAACAAGAAAUAUAAUAAUAACCAUUUUAUUAUUGCCUCUAGGGCAUAUUUCGGACAUAAUAUGGAGUAGUGGGAGCGAGGCGGGUGGCGGUAAAACUGCUGGCUCGCCUCUCGGUGAGCCUGCGCACCGGACUGCUGGCAUGCCUAACGUCGUUUCACACAGCUACUCGCAGCCUCCUGAUGACACUGUGCAGCGAGCACGCCUCCGUCAAUUCACACACCGGCAUGCACACCUCCUGUGUUGGGGAACGCGGUAAUUUCAAAAAAAUCCUAUGAUCACGCAAGAUCUAUCUAUGUGAUGCAUAGCAACGAGAGGGGAGAGUGUGUCCACGUACCCUCAUAGACGGAAAGCGGAAGCAUUUAGUUAACUCGGUUGAUGUAGUCGAACGUCUUCACGAUCCAACCGAUCCAAGCAUCGAACAUACGGCACCUCCGCAUUCAGCACACGUUCAGAUCGGAGACGUCCCUCGUAGUCUUGAUCCAGUUGAGGCCGAGGGAGAGUUUCGUGAGCACGACGGCGUGGUGAUGGUGAUGAUAAAGUUAUCGGUGCAGGGCUUCGCCUAAGAACUACGAUGAUAUGACCGAGGUGUGUAACUGUGGAGGGGGCACCGCACACGGCUAAAAUAAUUGUCAACUUGUGUGUUCUAGGGUGCCCCCUGCCCCCGUAUAUAAAGGAUCAAGGGGGAAGGCCGGCCGGCCCCUGUAGGGCGCGCCCCAAGUAGGAUUCCUACUAGGAAUCCUAUUCCUAGUAGGUUUCCAACUUGGGGAAGGGAGGGGGAAGGAAGGAGAGGGAGAGAGGGAAGGCAAGGGGGAUGCCCCCCCCCUUUCCUUGUCCGAUUCGGACUCAGGGGGAGGGGGUGCGCAGCUUGCCCUGGCCGGUCCCUCUCUCUCUCGACUAGGGCCCAUCAAGGCCCAUUAGUUCCCUGGGGUGUUCCAGUAACCCUCCGGCACUCCGGUUUUAUCUGAAACUUCUCGAGAACACUUCCAGUGUGCGAAUAUAGUCUUCCAUUAUAUCAAUCUUUAUGUCUCGACCAUUUCGAGACUCCUCGUCAUGUCCGUGAUCACAUCUUGGACUUCGAACAAUCUUCGGUACAUCAUAUCACAUCAACUCAUAAUACCAAUCAUCAUCGAACGUUAAGCAUGCGGACCCUAUGGGUUCAAGAACUAUGUAGACAUGACCGAGACACGUCUCUGGUCAAGAACCAAUAGCGGAAAAUGGAUGCUCAUAUUAGUUCCUACAUAUUCUACGAAGAUCGUUAUCGGUCAAACCGCAUAACAACAUACGUUGUUUCUUUUGUCAUUGGUAUGUUACUUGCCCGAGAUUCGAUCGUCGGUAUCUCAAUACCUAGUUCAAUCUCAUUACCGACAAGUCUCUUUACUCGAUCCGUAAUACUUCAUCUUGCAACUAACUCAUUAGUCACAAUGCUUGCAAGGCUUAUAGUGAUGAAUAUUACCGAGAGGGCCCAGAGAUACCUCUCCAAAGCAUGGAGUGAGAAAUCCUAAUCUCGAUCUAUGCCACCCCAACAAACACCUUUGGAGACACCUGUAGAGCACCUUUAUAAUCACCCAUUUACGUUGUGACGUUUGGUAGCACACAAAGUGUUCCUCCGGUAUUCGGGAGUUGCAUAAUCUCAUAGUCUAAUGAACUUGUAUAUGUCAUGAAGAAAGCAGUAGCAAUGAAACUAACACGAUCAUAAUGCUAAGCUAACAGAUGGGUCAUGUCCAUCACAUCAUUCUCCUAAUGAUGUGAUCCCGUUCAUCAAAUGACAACAAAUGUCUAUGGUUAGGAAACAUAACCAUCUUUGAUUAACGAGCUAGUCAAGUAGAGGCAUACUAGAGACUAUAUGUUUUAUCUAUGUAUUCACACAUGUACUAAGUUUCUGGUUAAUACAAUUCUAGCAUGAAUAAUAAACAUUUAUCAUGAAUUAAGGAAAUAAAUAAUAACUUUAUUAUUGCCUUUAGGACAUAUUUCCUUCAGUCUCCCAAUUGCACUAGAGUCAAUAAUCUAGAUUACAUAGUAAUGAUUCUAACAGCCAUGGAGCUUUGGUGCUGAUCAUGCUUUGCUCGUGGAAGAGGCUUAGUCAAUGGGUCUGCAACAUUCAGAUCCGUGUGUAUCUUGCAAAUCUCUAUGUCUCCUUUCGACACUUGAUGACGAAUGGAAUUGAAGCGUCUCUUGAUGUGCUUGGUUCUCUUGUGAAAUCUGGAUUCCUUUGCUAAGGCAAUUGCACGAGUAUUGUCACAAAAGAUUUUCAUUGGACCCGAUGCACUAGGUAUGACACCUAGAUUGGAUAUGAACUCCUUCAUCCAAACUCCUUCAUUUGCUGCUUCUGAAGCAGCAAUGUACUCCGCUUCACACGUAGAUCCCUCCAUGACGCUCUGCUUGGAACUGCCCCAACUGACAGCUCCUCCAUUCAAUAAAAAUACGUAUCCGGUUUGAGACUUAGAGUCAUCCGGAUCAGUGUCAAAGCUUGCAUCGACGUAACCAUUUACGACGAGUUCUUUUUCACCUCCAUAAACGAGAAACAUAUCCUUAGUCCUUUUUAGGUAUUUUAGGAUGUUCUUGACCGUUGUGAAGUGCUCAACUCUGGGAUUACAUUGGUACCUCCCUGAUAUGCUUAUAGCAAGACAUACAUCAGGUCUGGUACACAACAUUGCAUACAUGAUAGAACCUAUGGUAAUAGCAUAGGGAAUGACUUUCAUUUUCUCUCUAUCUUCUGCGGUGGUUGGGCUUUGAGUCUGACUCAACUUCACACCUUGUAACACAGGCAAGAACCCUUUCUUUGACUGAUCCAUUUUGAACUUCUUCAAAACUUUAUCAAGGUAUGUGCUUUGUGAAAGUCUAAUUAAGCAUCUUGAUCUAUCUCUAUAGAUCUUGAUUCCCAAUAUGUAAGCAGCUUCUCCGAGGUCUUCCAUAGAAAAACUCUUAUUUAGGUAUCCCUUUAUGCUAUCAAGAAAUUUUAUAUCAUUUCCAAUCAACAAUAUGUCAUCUACAUAUAAGAUUAGAAAUGCUACAGAGCUCCCACUCACUUUCUUGUAAAUACAGGCUUCUCCAAAAGUUUGUAUAAAACCAUAUGCUUUCAUCACAAUAUGAAAGCGUUUAUUCCAACUCUGAGAGGCUUGCACCAGUCCAUAAAUGGAUCGCUGGAGUUUGCACACUUUGUUAGCACCCUUUGGAUUGACAAAACCUUCCGGUUGCAUCAUAUACAACUCUUCUUCCAGAAAUCCAUUCAAGAGUGCAGUUUUGACAUCCAUUUGCCAAAUUUCAUAAUCAUAAAAUGCAGCAAUUGCUAACAUGGUUUGGACAGACUUAAGCAUCGCUACGGGUGAGAAAGUCUCAUCGUAGUCAACUCCUUGAACUUGUCGAAAACCUUUCGCAACAAGUCGAGAUUUCUAAACAGUAACAUUACCGCCUGCGUCGGUCUUCUUCUUAAAGAUCCAUUUAUUUUCUAUGGCUUGCCGAUCAUCGGGCAAGUCCACCAAAGUCCAUACUUUGUUCUCAUACAUGGAUCACAUCUCAGAUUUCAUGGCCUCAAGCCAUUUCACGGAAUCUGGGCUCAUCAUCUCUUCCUUAUAGUUCGUAGGUUCAUCAUGGUCUAGUAACAUGACUUCCAGAACAGGACUACCGUACCACUCUGGUGCGGAUCUUACUCUAGAAGACCUAUGAGGUUCGGUAGUAACUUGAUUUGAAGCUUCAUGAUCAUCAUCAUUAGCUUCCUCACUAAUUGGUGUAGGAAUGACGGGAACUAAUUUUUGUGAUGAACUACUUUCCAAUAAGGGAGAAGGUACAGUUACCUCAUCAAGUUCUACUUUCCUCCCACUCACUUCUUUCGAGAGAAACUCCUUCUCUAGAAAGGAUCCAUUCUUAGCAACAAAGAUUUUGCCUUCGGAUCUAUGAUAGAAGGUGUACCCAACAAUUUCCUUUGGGUAUCCUAUGAAUAUGCACUUCUCCGAUUUGGGUCCGAGCUUAUUAGGUUGAAGCUUUUUCACAUAAGCAUCGCAACCCCAAACUUUAAGAAACAACAACUUUGGUUUCCUGCCAAACCACAGUUCAUAAGGUGUCGUCUCAACAGAUUUUGAUGGUGCCCUAUUUAAAGUGAAUGCAGCCGCCCGUAAAGCAUAAUCCCAAAACAAUAGCGGUAAAUCAGUAAGAGACAUCAUAGAUCGCACCAUAUCUAAUAAAGUAUGGUUACGACGUUCGGACACACCAUUUAGCUGUGGUGUUCCAGGUGGCGUAAUUGUGAAACUAUCCCAUGUUGUUUCAAAUGAAGACCAAACUCGUAACAUCAAAUAUUCUCCUCCAUGAUCAGAUUGUAGAAACUUUAUUUUCUUGUUACGAUGAUUUUCCACUUCACUCUGAAAUUCUUUGAACUUUUCAAAUGUUUCAGACUUGUGCUUCAUUAAGUAGAUAUAACCAUAUCUGCUCAAAUCAUCUGUGAAGGUAAGAAAAUAAUGAUACCCACCAUGAGCAUCAAUACUCAUUGGACCGCAUACAUCGGUAUGUAUUAUAUACAACAAGUCAGUAGCUCGUUCCAUUGUUCCGGAGAACGGAGUUUUAGUCAUCUUGCCCAUAAGGCAUGGUUCGCAAGCACCAAGUGAUUCAUAAUAAAGUGAUUCCAAAAGUCCAUCAGCAUGGAGUUUCAUCAUGCGCUUUAUACUGAUAUGACCCAAACGACAGUGCCACAAAUAAGUUCCACUAUCAUUAUUAAACUUCAAUCUUUUGGCUUCAACACUAUGAAUAUGUGUAUCACUACUAUCAAGAUUCAACAAAAAUAGACCACUCAGCAGGGGUGCAUGACCAUAGAAGAUAUUACUCAUAUAAAUAGAACAACCAUUAUUCUCUGAUUUAAAUGAAUAACCGUCUUGCAUCAAACAAGAUCCAGAUAUAAUGUUCAUGCUCAGUGAUGGCACCAAAUAACAAUUAUUCAGGUUAAAACUAAUCCCGAUGGUAGAUGUAGAGGUAGCGUGCCGACCGCGAUCACGUCGACUUUGGAACCAUUUCCCACGCGCAUCGUCACGUCGUCCUUAGCCAAUCUUCGCUUAAUCCGUAGCCCCUGUUUCGAGUUGCAAAUAUGAGCAACAGAACCAGUAUCUAAUACCCAGGCGCUACUGCGAGCAUUAGUUAAGUACACAUCAAUAACAUGUAUAUCAAAUAUACCUUUCACUUUGCCAUCCUUCUUAUCCGCCAAAUACUUGGGGCAGUUCCGCUUCCAGUGACCAGUCCCUUUGCAGUAGAAGCACUCAGUUUCAGGCUUAGGUCCAGACUUGGGUUUCUUCUCUUGAGAAGCAACCUUUUUUCCGUUCUUCUUGAAGUUCCCUUUCUUCCCUUUGCCCUUUUUCUUGAAACUAGUGGUCUUAUCGACCAUCAACACUUGAUGCUCCUUUUUUAUUUCUACCUCCGCGGCCUUUAGCAUCGCGAAGAGCUUGGGAAUUGUCUUGUUCAUCCCUUGCAUAUUAUGGUUCAUCACGAAGCCUCUGUGGCAGUGAUUGAAGAACUCUGUCAAUGACACAAUCAACUGGAAGAUCAACUCCCAGCUGAGUCAAGUGAUUAUGAUACCCAGACAUUUUGAGUAUGUGUUCACUGACAGAACUAUUCUCCUCCAUUUUGCAGCUGUAGAACUUGUUGGAGACUUCAUAUCUCUCAACUCGGGCAUUUGCUUGAAAUAUUAACUUCAACUCUUGGAACAUCUUAUAUGCUCCAUGACAUUCAAAACGUCUUUGAAGUCCCGAUUCUAAGCCGUAAAGCAUGGCACACUGAACUAUCAAGUAGUCAUCAGCUUUGCUUUGCUAGACGUUCUUAACGUCAUCAGUAGCAUCUGCAGCAGGCCUGGCACCUAGUGGUGCUUCCAGGACGUAAUUCUUCUGUGCAGCAAUGAGGAUAAUCCUCAAGUUACGGACCCAGUCUAUGUAGUUGCUGCCAUCAUCUUUCAACUUAGCUUUCUCUAGGAACGCAUUAAAAUUCAAAGGAACGGUAGCACAUGCCAUUGAUCUACAACAACAUAGACAUGCAAAAUACUAUCAGGUACUAAGUUCAUGAUAAAUUAAAGUUCAAUUAAUCAUAUUACUUAAGAACUCCCACUUAGAUGGACAUCCCUCUAAUCAUCUAAGUGAUCACGUGAUCCAAAUCAACUAAACCAUGUCCGAUCAUCACGUGAGAUGGAGUAGUUUUCAAUGGUGAACAUCACUAUGUUGAUCAUAUCUACUAUAUGAUUCACGCUCGACCUUUCGGUCUCAGUGUUCCGAGGCCAUAUUUGCAUAUGCUAGGCUCGUCAAGUUUAACCCGAGUAUUCUGCGUGUGCAAAACUGGCUUGCACCCUUUGUAUGUGAACGUAGAGCUUAUCACACCCGAUCAUCACGUGGUGUCUCGGCACGACGAACUGUAGCAACGGUGCAUACUCAGGGAGAACACUUGUACCUUGAAAUUUAGUAAGGGAUCAUCUUAUAAUGCUACCGACAUUCUAAGCAAAAUAAGAUGCAUAAAGGAUAAACAUCACAUGCAAUCAAAAUCCCCAAAAACCUAACAGAAAAAAAGUUAUGGGGCUUUCAAGAUCUUGAGGCAAAAAAAUUCAAAAAAAUUCAAAAAAAAAUGGUUUUGAAAAAAAAUUGAAUUGUUUUUCAAAAUAUGAUACGUAAUAUGACCGGGAAGUAUUUUUCAAAAUUUCAUCAUAGUCAUGAACAUGAACAAAGUCCUAGACAUCAACAAGGUAUAAUAGGAUUGAUAUGCUAGAUAUAUCAACAAGUGCGUGUGAAGUGAGCUGUUGCUGGGGUUGGAUAGAACUCUGAAGUUAAGCGUGAUUGGGCUGGAGUAGUGUGAGGAUGGGUGACCUUUCGGGAAGUUUGACCAUGGAGUGCGAUUUGACCUGAGAUUAAGCAUAUUGACCCGAGAUUAAGCCACAGUGACCUGAGAUUAAGAAAAAACGAAAAAAAAUUGAAUUUUUUUUUUAAAAAAAAUUCUAAAUUUUUUUUGAAAAAAAUUGUUACUAAUGGCACACUUCUAUGUGGUGCACCAUUACCCUGGGAGGAAUUCUAAUGGUGCACUAUUGGCAAUACUAAUGGCGCACUACGUGGUGCGCCAUUAAAACACCAGAUACUAAUGGCGCACCAGUGGUGCACCAUUAGAAUUUAAUUCUAAUGGCGUGAUGCUAGUGGCGCACCAGUAGUGCGCCAUUAGAAGGCAAAACUGGUGUGCCACUAGCAUGCCUUUUCCUAGUAGUGCCCGCCGGCCGCCGUCGCCUACCACUUCUCCCUCUGCGCCGCCGUCGCCUCCUCCUCCUCGCUGGACUCGGUACCGCCCUCCUCCUCCGUCCUUCCUCGACUUGCCGCGCCGGCCGGCCCCUCCUCGCUCCGCCCUUCCUACUCCGUCCUACUCUCUCCUCCCUCCUCCAGUCGCCCCUCCUUCUCCCUCCUCCCUCCUCCAUCCACAACCCCUCCUCCCUACUUCAUUUUGAUUUAGUAGGCUAGUUCAUAUGCAACAUUUUGAUUUAGUUCAUAUGAUUUAGUUGAUUUAGUAGGCUAGUUAAUUUAGUUGAUUUAGAACAUUUUGAUUUUGUUGAUUUAGUAGGCAAGUUGAUCUAGUAGGCUAGUUGAUUUAGUUGAUUUAGAACAUUUUGAUUUUGUUGAUUUAUAUGCAGCGGAAGGUAGACUACACUAGGCAAGCCAUAGUCAAGUAUUCAAUGAAGUGAAAGCACGAAGAGUAUUAGCAGCUAGGUAGUAAGGAUCAGGAUGGAAGAUAGUAUGAAGCCAAUCAGAACAAGUAGUCACUCAGUGAAGUCAAACAGAUAAUGCAAGCAGGCAAUGACUUCACGAAGACAAACUGUAAGUAAAGAGAAGUAAGAGAUAGAACCAGUAGCUUGGAGAGGAAAGUGAUUUGUUUGACCAGAUCCAUUUGCUGUGAGAACUGUACGUCUGGUUAGGGAGGCUGAGAUUUAACUCAGAAGACCGCGUCUUCACCUUAUUCCCCUUGAGCUAAGGACACUUAGUCCUCGCCCAAUCACUCUGGUAAGUCUUUAAGGUAGACUUCCAAACCUUCACAGGCUUUGUUCAUCGGCAAUCCACAAUGACUCUUGGAUGCUCAGAACGCGACGCCUAACCGGCUGGAGGAUUCACAGUACUCAAGUGUAACAAGUCUUCAGAUCAUGCGGACAGAAAGACUUCAGUGAUGCCAAACGCUCUUUGGGCUCUGGGUGGUUUGGGCUUUGUCCUUGCAAGGAUUCUCUCUCAAAGUGUUCGGAGGUGGGUUGCUCUCAAAAGACAAAAGCCGUGCACUAACUCUGAGCAGCCACCAACUUAUGGUGUAGGGGUGGGCUAUUUAUAGCCACUAGGCAACCUGACCUAAUUUGUCCGAAAUGAUCCUGGGUCACUAAGGAACUGACAGGUGUUCCAAUGGUCAGAUUUCAAACACACGCGACAGCUUGACUUGGUCUACAAGUAAAGCUGACUUAUCCGACUCUGGAUAAAAUUUGCACUCACUGUCUUCGCUCGAAGACAUAGGAUUUGGUUGAGCAUCACUUUAGUCACUCUAACUUUGUUCACUUGGACCCCACUUAACAGUGCGGUGGUUCCUACGACUCAACAAAGAAGAAAAGGAAACAAUGAAACAACUAAGUCUUCGCGCUCCAUAAUCUUCAUGCAAUGUCUUCUGAUGUCAUAGACUUCACCGUGAAUAGCUUCAUAGACCACCAUUGUCUUCAAUGUCUUCACACAUUUUUAGGGGUCAUCUCCGGUAGGUAAACUGAAUCAAUGAGGGACUACUACCUGUGUUAUCCUGCAAUUCUCACAAACACAUUAGUCCCUCAACCAGGUUUGUCGUCAAUACUCCAAAACCAACUAGGGUGGCACUAGAUGCACUUACAAUCUCCCCCUUUUUGGUGAUUGAUGACAAACUGGUUGAAGUUUUCAACGAGGAUAAAAGUAUGUGAAAUUGUAAAGGAUUAAGAUAUUGUCUUCAUAGGUGACAAAAGGCUCCCCCUGAAGAUGUGCAUAUAAAUGUUUUGCUUUGGAUUGCAAAUGCACAUGGCAGGUUGUACUUGUGGAGAUCCUCUUCAACUUAUGAAGACAAUGCAUCAUGCAUAAAAAAAAUAUAACUAGGAUAAUGACAUGCAUAAUGAAAAAUGGAUGUCUGCAAGAUGACUUCAUGCGGGAUUUAUCAUUGCACAUGCGGAAUUUAUCGCCGCAUCACAGAAUAGCAUAAAAAGUAGCAGACGACCAUCAAGUUUAAGUGUUACAACUCAAAGAACCAAAUGUUUCAAAAGCGAGAGUUGUAAGCACUUGGCAAAAGUAUAGCAACCACCCAUAUGGACACUACAAAAAAAAGACACAUCCGUGACAUUUUGGGCCGAACGAUUUUUUUUCCUGUCAUACUUACGACACUUCUAUGACGAUAAUUGUGACAAAACCCGGUAUCAUCAUAGAUGUGGUGGGCUCCUACUUCUAUGACAAAAAAUCAUGACAGAAAAUGGGAUUUUCGUCCUGGGCGGGUCGGAGACGCACCUGCAUGACAUUCUUUGGGCCGUCCAUGACGGAAAAAACUAUGGUAGAAGCAAGGACGAGGAAAAUUUCGGCGAGUUCCCGGUUACGGUGGGUGGUCGAGGGCCGAGCGAUGCGCGUUUCUCUCGUACACGUACGCGCGUGUGCGAGGCAUUGGGCUCUAACUGAACCCGAGCGAGGCGUUGGGCUCUAACUGAACUUGAGCGAUUGCACUGCAGGCUACGUGUUACUGAACCCGAGCGAUCGAUCGAUGGCUGUUAACUGAACCCGAUCGAGCAAUUCCUUCACUACUGUUGCUAACUGAAGCAGAUCGAUGCUGCCUCUGGAUGAACAGUGAUUGUUGCAGGGGGGGUUUGGAUGAACAGUGAGCGGUGGGGGUGGAUGAACAGGACCCGUGGUGUUGCCUCUGGAUGAACAGGACCUCGAUCAAUCAAGACGGUUGGGGCUGGAUGAACAGGACCCCGUGGAGGGCUGGAUGAACAGGACGACCCUGUGAAGGGCUGGAUGAAUAGUAGACGGUGGAGGGGUGGAUGAAUAGUAGACGAUGGAGGGGUGGAUGAACAGUAGCCCAUGGAGGGGUGGUUGAACAGGAGCCCGUGGAGAGGGGUGGUUGAACAGUAGCCGGUGGAGUAGCACGCGGUGGAGGCUAGAUGAAUAGGAGCCCGUGGAUGAACAAUCGCAGAUGGAGGCUGGAGGAGGUCGACGGUGGAUGAACAGUAGCCCGUGGAGGCUGGAGGAGGUUGAAGGUGGAGAUGAACAGUAUCCUGUGGAGUCCCGUUUUGCGGUAUGCCACACCCCUCCCGAUGAACAGGACCCUCGUUUUGACCAUAGCGAUCCAACACAAGUUCGUUUCCUCUGUUUUGCGGUACGCCACACCUCUCCCGAUCAACAGGACUCCGUUUCGACCAUAGGAGGUCCAACAGAAGUCCGUUUCCUCCGUUUUGCGGUACGCCAGACCCAUCUGGAUGAACAAGAUCCCGUUUCGAAUGUGGCCGGUCGAACACAAGGCUGUUUCCUCUAUUCUGCGGUAGGCCAAGCCUUGUUUCCAUCGCCUGUUCCGUGCAAGCCGGUUGGCUCCCAUGCGUUCCGUUGCCUCCCGAUGAACACGACGCAUUCUGUUGCCUCCCCAUGAACAUGACGACGACGCAGUUUCUCCGUUCCAACCUAGCCAUGUACACGAGCCCUGGCCAUACGUAUGUGCGAGUAGGCGUUCGAGACCCCGCCCGUAUGUACGUACGUGGCCGUAUUUUCUUUCUUGCACACUGUCUGUUGUACGUACGUGUACAUGCUACGUGCGCGCCUCUACUACGACAGGUGCGCGCCUCUACAUCCACCAGUAUGUACAUACACGUUCGCGACCAGAAUGACAACGCUACGUACGCUUCAACCAGGUGGGUCCCGACUGUCAGGCACUUCCUUGCGUGCGAAGAUGUAGAUGGUGGGUCCCAGCAGUCAGGGGGGCGAAUUGUUUUUUCAUAUUUUGCCCAGACGGACUUCCUUGCGUGUGAAGAUGUAGCUGGUGGGUCCCAGCAGUCAGGGGGGUGAAUCAUUUUUUUUCGGACGCACUUGUUUGUGUGCGAAGAUGUAGCUUGUGGGUCCCAGCAGUCAGGAGGGAAACGUUUUUUGCGAAAUAAGGUGGCCCAUCUGGUGGGUCCCUGCUGUCAGGUGGAGGAAUAAUUAUUUUGAGCAUAAUAAGGAGGCACUUCCUUGCGGCCGUUGUGGACCCAGCUGUCAGCCUCUCCACGUACAGUACUCUUCCGAUGGAAGUCGUUCCUUGACCACGUUGACCACGCCGCCCCGAGAGCACCAGGGUGGUGGAUGCCGGCGAGGCCUAGGAAGGGGACGACGCGGAGCCGGGGAAGAUGCGAUAGUGGAUGCCCACGCGUAGAGGAGUAUCAGGGUUCACUCGUUCGACUGCGGUGUGAGGCUGCCGUCGCCGUAGAAUAACAGGGGGUGUGGGUGAGUAGAGGGAUGCCCUGGCCAGCGGCGGGAGUAGUAGGGGGCGGUGAGGCCUCCGCGGCAUCACAGCCGGCCACGGGAGGCAGGAGCACGCGACACGACCAACGCUGCUUUGGGCGGCUGGAGCAAGAAGACCAGAGGUUGAAGAAGCACUACGGCCGUUGGAUGGACAUCGUACGGUCACUGGAGCUAGAAUUGUUCAUAUUGACUAAGUUGACAAAACCCUCCGUCCCCAUCAACUUAGUAGGCCCACAAGUCAGUCUCCCACCAAGGUGGGUCCCAGCUAGCAGGGGAGUAUUCAUUUUUUUCUGCUUAAUAAGGAGGCACUUCCGGUGGGUCCGAGCUGACAGCGGGGGGAACUUUUUUUCGCAAAAUACGGUGGCCCGUCAGGUGGGUCCUAGCAGUCAGGGGGGAAACAUUUUUUUCGCAAAAUACAGUGGCCCAUCCAGUGGGUCCCUGCUGUCAGGUGGAGGAAUCAUUAUUUUCCGCGUAAUAAGGAGGCACUUCCUUGCUGCGGCCGUGGACCUAGCUGUCAGCCUCUCCACGUAUAGUACACUUCCGAUGGAAGUCGUUCCUUGACCAUGUUGACCAUGCCGCGUUCCGUUGCAUGCAUACGUCCAUGGGCGUGGUCCGUCCCCACUGUCAGCCUCUCACGAACAGUCAUCUUCCGAUGACUCUCGGUUGUUGACCACGUUGACCACACCAUAUCGAGCGCACCAAGGCCGGUGGACGACGGCAAGGCCCCAGACUGGAACGACCCGGAGUUGGGGAAGACGGGGCAGUGGAGUCGCAGAUGGAGAGGAGUGGGAAACUUGACUGGUUUAGGUGCGUGGCAGCACAGCCACGGUGCCGCCUACGGGAGACAGGAGCAAGAACAAAGGUUGAAGAAGGAGCAUGGUUGUUGGAUUAACAUCCAACGGUCCAGCUGCUAGAAUCAUUUUGUUGAUUAAGUUGACAAAGCCCUGCGUACACGUCCUCUUAGUAGGCCAACAAGUCAGCCACCAAAUCUGACAGGUCCCAGCUGUCAACGGGAUGAAUAAUUUUUUUCACAAAACAAGGAGGCACUUCCUUCUGUGCGAAGAUACAGCCUGUGGGUCCCAGCUGCCAGGUGGAGGAAACAUUUUUUUUCAGCUUAAUAAGGAGGAACUUUCCUUGCGUGCGACCAUGGACCUCGUGGGUCCCAGCCGUUAGGCUCUCCACGUACAGUCCUCUUCCGAUGACUCUCAUUUGUUGACCACGCCGCACUGAGCGCAGCGAGGCGGUGGACGACGGCGAGGCCCGGACGGGAACGACUCGGAGAUGGGGAGACGCGACAGUGGAGUCACAUAUUGAGAGGAGGAGAAGGGUUAUAACUGGUUCUUGUGCGGCGUGGGGCUGUAGUUGGUGGAGAAUAACAGGAGGUGUGGAGGGGUGGAGGGAUAGCCUGGUCGGCAGUGGGGUAGCGCUUCACAGCGAUGCGUGCUAAGCAGAGCCGCUAGCCGCCGGAGGCCGGACCAAGCGGUCUAGGCGACGCUGGAGGAAGAAGACAAGAGAUUGAAGAUACAUGCCGGCCAUUGGAUAUAAAUCCAAUGGCUAUGGAUGUCAUAAUCAUUUGUUGACCAAGUUGACAACGCCCUGCAUAGGCUUUGACCUAUUGGCCCACAUGUCAGCCUGCAAAAAUGUGGCAUAUAUUUAACCCAUGUUUUCUAGAAUGUACAGUCCAUUUGCUGGGCUGGGUGAACAAAUAAUUUCGCGUCAAUCAGGCCCAUUUAUAUUUUCUAAGAAAUCCUAGCCCAUUUGAACUUCCUUGAAAUACACGAAUUAGCUGGGCUCAUUACAUAUAUAAUGUUAUGUUAGAAGGAGCAAUUAAUAUCAAAAAAUAAACCAGAGAGGCACAUUUUUACAUAUAUAAUUAACAAAUUAGCGAGUUAUUGCUCAAAAUAAAAAUGAGCGCGUUAUUAUUAAAUUGGUCCUUAAAAUCUUCGCAAGCUUUUGUACGCAAUCACCAGGACUUUCCUUACCUGUGAGUCAAAAACAACCAGGAUUUUCCUUGCCAACUUCUGUUAAACAUUUACUUUUAUAAGUUAAUAACACGUGGGAUGCUUUUAUAAUGUAUAUAUAAGUCUCUAUAAAAUAUAUGAUAAUAGUAAUAAUAUAAAUAUAUAUAAUGUGGUUAGAAGGGAAAACAUAAAUUGGACACAUCAUUAUUAUUCUUAUAUAUAGAUAAAUAGAACAGAGACCUACGUUUUAUUAAAAAAAUACAUUGGGCUGCCGAUCUUUAAGAAAAAGCCCAUAGGCCGGUAUGGACCUCAAAAAAUAAGUUGAAACCACUGUCUCCGUAUGUCGUGGGCUACGCAUGUUAAAAUACAAAACCUAGGCCUAGCUGAUACUUGUUCGCCCUCUGGAAAAAAAUGAUACCAGAUCCCCGAGCGAACUGGAUUAAAGAGGGGGCCGAUAACACGACUGAAGAAGCACAUCAGGAGCGAUUUUUUUCUUCAAUGGAUGGCUCUCGAUAGCGUUUUUUACUUGCCUCUACACCAUACAACUUGUAUUUUUAGCCUCCCAGUCUGUCAUGGUGGACCAGCAGCCCAUUUUCUUGGCGUGCCAACCUACAGAAACCAGCACUCGAUUUUUCAUCAAGCACCAAAAACAACGCAGUACUAUGUUUGUUUUGAGGCCGAAAACAUUACGAUAGGGGUUGAGCGGGGGAGAGGGGAAGAGAAAGUAAUAAAAAGAUUAAAAAGAGCUGAUGCUCCGUUGCUACCCUAACAAAGCAGGUGCAAUUCUUCUCGAGAAGAAGGUGUGCCGUUGACACCCACACAUCACAUACCCCGCAGUAGGCAUACUAAAAAGUUCACACACAAAUACAACAGAAAAGGUAAACAUUCGUAUCAAACUCAGGUUCACAGGACACGUUCAUAUUCAUAGCCAACAUUCACUAUCAACAACUCAAAAGAUUCAUAUAUACACAAGCUCAGCAUAUCUAUGCAUCCAAAUGAUUGAUAGAUCACACGACAAUAUUCAUACAUAAUUCACAAAAAGAUUCAGAUAUACACAUGUUCAGUAUGUUUAUGCAUCCAAAUGAUUGAGAUCACAGCCAAUAUGAUCCAUGGACGCACUUUAAUUACCUAGGGCACAGACUGGUAAAUGGUGUUCAGUCAGAGGUACUUCUUGCUAAAAUUAAUUCUUGUACGAGUAAACUUUCGAGUACAUAAGAGCCAGCACAGACAAUCUGAACUUUGCUUGUAGGUUUAUCCUCAAAUAGUGGCCUCGUGCCGAGCGAGGUUUGAGAAACUUGGCCACUACUUUCAUUGAACUAGUUUACUGGCUCAUCUUGGUCCUGUAGCUUGCCAAAAUUCUACAUUGCAUACGUGAAAGGAGGCGGUUGAGAAAAUGAACCACCCAAAUUUUUUGUGCAGUUCAACUGAAAUGGAGCAUCCCUGGCGUGCAGACUGAUUAAGUGCGAGAUGAAUAUACGCGUCAACCAACUUGUCUGGAAUCUUUGGACUCCAUGCCAUACAGUUCGCUACCAUAUCUGUUGAUAACCAAAAGGCACAAGUUGGGACCAAAGACUGGACUGUGUUCUUCUGGGCUAUGCGCCAAGCAAUAUUUUUGGUGUUCACUCUCUUAAUACUUGGGAGUUUGACAACUGGUUGACGUUGGUUGAUACUCGAAUGAAUAUAGGCACUUCUUGUCAACAUCGAUGCUUGUCUGAGUGAACUUUGGAGUACAUAGCAGCAGCAUAAGUAUCUGUCCAUCCGAUCAUUUUGUGCAAUUCUACUGAAAUCACCCAAUGCAAUGAUUUGCCUGCGAGUUCAGGCUCCAAGUUACUCCUUUUCAAAAUCGGCAAACAGUAGCACAAUACCAAAUUACCAAUACAUGACAAGCACAAUAAUCAGGAUAAAGACCAGUACCAACCUGUGUGAGGUAGCAUAUCAAUUACUAUUUCCUUUGACUGGAAGCUGAGAUAAGCGAAGCGACUGACAGUGAAGGAAGAAAGCAAGCCGAGAUUAGCGACUGAUAGGAAAGGACGGAAGCUGUCGAGGCAAUGAAGCACCCAAAGUUUUUGUGCAGUUCCACCAAAAUCGAGCAUCCCUGUUGGCACAUAUAUUGAGAGAGUGAGAUUACUGUAAUAGUGGGACUAGUUGAUGAAACAUACACUAACAAAUAGAAGCACCCUCAUUAUCUUAAUGGGUAAAGUUAGCAACAUAGUAGUCUUGCUUAAAGAGAGGUAUUAGUUUAUUUAAUCAGUGCCAAUUAGCUCAACACUCAAAGCAUUGCCAUUUAUCAUAGGUUGCAAAACUUUAACAUGCAAAGAUAAAGGAGUUUCUCACGACAGUAGCAUGAUACAAAUAGACAUGACAACAAACUAAUAUGGAUGAAGGCCUUAGGCCCGUACCAACCUGAGAAAAAAAGCUUAUUCAUGUAGUCCCAUAAGAGAUGAUAAAGCACUCACUAGAAUCACUCAAUAGUAUAUUUUUUGUGCACUCCAAAUGUAUGGUUGAAAUCACUCUUGUUUACCAGUGCUGAGAUUAUAUCGAAAGAUUAUCAAGAACUUUCAGCAGAGUUAAAGCACUGGCUGGGAUACAGUUCAUUGUAUUGUCUUGUGUAGUUCCACUAAAAUGUAUGAUUGGCACAACAUGAUCCUUGUUUGCACAAGUAGGAACAAUGUGAAACCUUCAUUAGCUUAGUGAGAAAUGAUAGGAAGACAUUAGCAUAUUACUCUAACAGUAGCAUCAAACUCAUGAUGGACAAUACGCAAAACAUUGCCUCAUUGAACCAAUGGCAAUAAAUUGACAUGCAAAACAAGAGCACUAUUAUCUCAUGACACUAAUGAUAUUCCCUCCCUACUCCACCACAUGAUUCACCUCCAUAGACAAACAUACACAUGUACAUGAUUCAGCAUAGGGUCCUACUAAAGAUUUGUUUAACUCCGACAGGAAAAUUAGGCAGCAAUAAAUUAGUGGUACUUAAGUACUCCUAAUUAAUUAAGUGAGACAUCAGAAGUGGAAGGGCUCCCUGGAGGAUCGUCUCACAUGUAAGGUAGUCGUUGCCAGAGCCCUUGAAUGGCCUCGACUGAGGCCUCUGGCUUCAGCAAGAUCGCCUUGGCACUGUUUAUUCUUCUUCUUCCUCCUCUUCAUGCUCUGUUUCUCUUUCUCCUCACCAGUUGGUGAAACCAAGUACAUGAUUGGCCUUCUAUUUCAGAAUUGGUUUUGUCAGUGAGGGAGUACAAGUGUACUAGUAAAAAUAGCAUUAUUUUCUCAAGGCAGUCGGAAAAUAGAGAUGAACACAUGCAUUAAAUAUCACUCUUACCUAAAGGAAGGUUAUGGCGCCAAUAAUGAGGAUUGGAACAUAGAUCUCCCUUUGUGCAGUUCCACCGAAAUGAACCAACUGUUCCAUUCUGACAUUCCAGUUAAACAACACAAAAGUCACUUCUUUUAAGAAGAGUUUUGUGCAGUGCACCAAAAGGUCACAACAGCAACCAGGUGAAUUGGAUAUCCAUGUUUGCACAAAAAGGUACAGAGGAAACAGUCAGAGUCUCAAACAAUUACAGGCAAAAACAUUUGGCUAAACUUGUCAUGGCUUAUAACAGUGGCAGGGCUUCAUUUUUACCAGGGACAUUAGAUUAAGAACAACUAAAUAUUUGGUAUAAGGGCAUGGGACAGUGGGUGCACCAGCAGUCCAGCACCAUGUACGUAAACAGGGGCAUAAAGUGGUGAUUCAUAGUUUGUUGCCCCGAGAAACAAACAUCCAAGAAACAUAUCUGGGCUGGUCCCAUUUUUGUUCACUCUAGCCACCUACUCCUAUGUGUGGAUAGCAAAUCUAGUCCUGGUCAUACCACUGUGUACAACGCUACCCCUAUAUUUCCCUUUUCAACCAAGAGACCGGUUGGAUGACCAGUCUGUACUACUUUCACCCCCUUUCCUUCCUGUUUGUACCAAGUCAGAUGUACAUACUAAAUUCCCCCACCCCCACUUUAUUUCUUGUUUGAACCAAGUACUCCCUCCGUCCGGAAUUACUUGUCAUCAAAAUGGAUGUGUCUAGAACUAAAAUACAUCUAGAUACAUCCAUUUCAAGGACAAGUAUUUCUGGACGGAGGGAGUACAAGAUUCGACUCCAUGAAGUUGCUUUACCUCUAACAAUAGAAGAAAAAAAUAGGUGACGUUGGACCAUCCGAUCGAGAGGGGCUGAGAGGUAGAAAAUGAUGCACAUGCAGUGACAUAGCAAGCUGGGGAAGUAGAGCUAAGGCGGUUUCGAACGAAGAUAUACCUGAAGGUUGUCGGGAUGUGGAUAGGUGGGCGGCGGGUGGCCGGAUCUGCCCACAGGCAAUGACGAAGGGAUCAGAGGACCUCCCGCGCUGGCGCUCGGCCAGAGAUAAUGGUGCGGCCGGCAGUGGGUCUUCUCCCUUGCUAUCAACGACGGUCUAAACGCUGCCCCUCCUCCCCCUCACCGGUGGAGGGGGAUACGUCCGGAUCUGUAUCCAGCGGUGAGGAUAGAAAGACAGUGUUACCACCCCUAUGUUGUUUAGAUCUGGAGAGGAUGAGAGUGUGUGAAUAGAGCAACCCUAGCAAGCAAGCGCGGAGGCUCCGGCCUAUAUAUAUGUAGUGGGGUAGUUUUCCUUUUUCACUCCAUCAAAACAAUCAUUUAAAAUUGUGUACUACAUGCCAGGUCGCGGUUUUUUUAGUUGUUGGUUGUUUUUUGAGAUAGCUACCCGCUUGUUCCUAGUGGUGUUACGGUGUGCCAGGUUGCACUUUGUAUCAUUCAAGUCUGGUACUACAAGUCCCUCCAUUAAAUGAACAACCACCCCCUUGUAAAAAUUGUGAACAAGCCCACGGCUAAAAUUAGCGGAAACGUGGGUUGCCCGAACAUGCAUUAUUAUUUAUAUUUUCUGCUCCCUCUGUUCCUAAAUAUAAGUCUUUUUUAUUAGCCACACCUAAGACAAUAAUUUUUUAUUAGCAGUGAACCCCACAUGUCAUAGACACAAAAAUUGUAGCAAGAUUCCCUUACGCAAGCCAAAGUGUGUCUAACAAUUUGAGCAACUCAAGUUAGGCAAGUGUGGCAAGUGUGGGAAAAAUAAUGCGGCAACAUAAGACAAACAUAGUCACAAUCCAAACAGCCCCGUAAUUUUGUGUGACAUGCAUGAAAAUUUGGUUAGUUAAAUUUAUAGUCAAAAUUUGGCAAGGUGCAUCAAAUCAACACAUGCAAGUAUCAAAAGGAAAGUCACGGCAUGCAUGCAUGCGUCGUUGUACUCCCUCCGUUUCCAAAUAUAAGUCUUUUUAGAGAUUGCAACAAGUGACUACAUACAAAGCAGAAUAUGUCUACAUACAUCCUUAUGUUGUAGUCCAUUUGAAAUGUGUAAAAAGACUUAUAUUGAGUGCAGUGCUUUGAUGUGUCACGUCAACUCGUACAAGACCGAGAAGUUUGAUUACUACAACACUCUCUCCCUCGCGGACUGAGCUCCAGUGCCUUAAUUGCACCUGCCUUUGGCUGCAUGACAGGAGGACCAACCACCUGUUGGGCCCACCUUUCAUAGACGCAAAGGUAGGAGCAGUAAGUAGAAGCUUUCGCUACACGCUAUCCCUCCCGCAUGAGGUGGACGGACAUGCAACAGUGGAUUCGAUACUGUAGAAGUAGGAGUAACAUCAUUGUUCGUCUUCUCGGAGAGGCAAAGAGCCAAGCGCAACCCGAACAUGGCAGUUGCGAACGCUCACGUGGUGCGGUGCCUUGGAGCACGCAUAUAGUAGCCAGGCUCUUGCAUGAGACAAAAUUGCUAUUUGAGCCCACUAUUGUAGUAGUACUAGUACUUGCUACUCCCUCCGUCUAGGUGAGUAAGUCAUUGAAUUUGUAGCUAAGCUUCCCUCAUUGAAUUGUUUAACAAUUAAACUCCAUCAUCCAUUGGUUGAUACUCAUUCUGCAUAGGUCCAUGCGCUUAGCACCGUUUCCUCCUGGGGUCACCAAUGUUUAUUUGCUCAUUAAUAGCAUUGCAUGCAAUGAACUAGCCACUGCAUGUCGUGUUUGGUAGUCUCAAGUCAUUAAAAGCAUGCACACAUCUCAUCUCUUAUUCGUUGAUGUGUCAAGAAACAAGAAACAAGGUAGAAGUUAAUGCACCGCGCCUAAGUGUUUUGGGACUAUUUGGUUUUCGUAAGAUGACUUACAUAGCUAGACAGAGGGAGUAGUAUAGCCCUAUAAACUGGAAAGGAGUAUUUGCCUUUCUAGAGAUUUCAACAAGUGACUAGACUACACCGCAUGCAGUACUCCCUCCCUUCCGAUUUAUAGGGCUCAAAUCUAAAAUCUCAUGAACCAAGGCAUUUUGCGAUUGGAGGAAUGUAUCCUGUACUUUACAAAACUACCCUAAUUAAACUCAUGCAUUAAUUACAUUCUUCUCUCGUUUUCCUCUCCGCCUUGGUCGCGGUGCAUAAUAUUGAGCACUCCUAUAUGACUAGCCGCUCUAUCUACAUGCGGGAUAUCAAAGCAUCCGGGCCCGCAUGCCAUCCACCAAAUCACAGCGAGGUGCUACAGUCGAGACUCAUCUGUCACCCCAGUGUGGCUCUCAUGACCCGUCAUAUCACAAAACCCACACCUUUACCAGCAGUGGUAAGGUGGCCUCCAAGUUGGACUGGAUGAAGCAACCAUCAUUUCACUGGAACGCUCGUUGAAGCCCUUUCUUCCCUUUCUUGAAGAAAACCUCACUCCAGGCUACUCACUUCUGCCAUUUUUCUUCUGUACCAAUGAAGGAAAGGUGGGCGAAUCAGUUAUGCUGCUACAUUUUCAUUCCAAGAAUCUUCUUUUUGCGAAGCACCGACCGAUUCUCACAGCCUAUUCUUUUCCCGUUUUCAUUGCGAUUGUGGUUUCCUUUCGAUUGCUUUUUGUUUGUUAGUUCAUUGAUGGAUCCUGGAGCACUAGGCAAAGAGUUGCCGGCGGACAACCCACUGGAGACAGCAAUCUCCAGGAAGCGAGCACCGACCAACGAGUUGACCAUGUUGGCGGGCCAACCCAUGGAGAUGAAGAACUCCAAGAAACAAGCACUGGCCAAAGAGUUGACGACGUUGGCGGAUGAACUCCUCAAAGAAAGUUGGAAGAAUAGCAAGGGCCCCAUCGUGCCUACCCCAGAAAGUCUGAUGGCCACCUAUGCGAGGCUCAAGGCCGAGUUUGAGGAGAUAGUCGCCGUUGAGAAGCAGUAUUCCCCUGGCAAGGUGAUGGCCCCCAUCGAGGACGAGGAGAUGGCCCCCGAAGGGAUGAGAUCCCCCGGUGAGCUGCACAAGGUAAAAAAUAAUGGCUUAUUACCAUAGUUGUGGUUUUUGAUUAUUUGCAAUGUGCUUGCUAAUAUGUUAGGGUUGUGCAGGUGCCGGUGGAUGUCCUUGAUGAUUCCGAUGUCGCGGCCCAUCCUGUGGACAACGCCCCAGAGAUCGUUUUCGAUGUCGUGGUCCGUCCUGUUGGCAUCGCCCCGGAGAUCGAUUCCAAUGCCGCUGUCCAUCCUGUGAACAUUGCCCUAGAGAUUGAUUCUGAUGUCGCAGUCAGUCCUGUGGACAUCGCCCCAGAGAUCGAUUCCCAUGCCGCUGUCCAUGCUGUGGUCAUUGCCCGAGAGAUCGAUGACAAGAAAUAGUAGGUCGCGCUAAUCCUUCAAGGUAGUUUGCAUUUCCCUGUGUUUAAUUACCAGAACAAUGCGUGCUAUCAAACCAUCUUAGGGCUAGUGCACUGUCUUGUGUGGGCGGUACUUGCUACUUUUGUUUGAUAGUGAAUCAUGCGAACCCUCUUUGAGUUAUGGAAACAGAUGUAUCCUCACCAGCUUUUGAUGUAAUAUAUGGCAUGCUUAGAUGUAAGUUUGAACUGUUUAUCAUAUCAGCAGGGCUUGUUUGAUGAUUCUUGGUGUUAGUAGGCUAGCUACUGUGCGAGCUAUAGUACUUGCAAAACACUCACCAAAGAGAAACGUUGCGGCUGAUGAGCUCGUGGUACGCUUAUACUUAUCCGUUGUUGAUCGACCAAUAGCCCUAGCUCCUAAAAUUGUAGGCUUAGCGAUCGAUCAGACAAUAGUCGACACAGAUACAUUCAGGCCUCAUUUGGUUCAUAGGGUAGGAAAAUCGUAGCAAAAGUACAGAGACGUACAACACAAAAUCAUUGCAGUGCAGAGACGUACUCCCUCCGUUUCAAAAUAGAUGACCUAGGUAGGCUAGUUUGGCCUAGUGGGUUUCAGUGAUAUGACGUGGUACAGUGCUGUCCAGUCUUCGCGUGUGGUAGUAGUAUUGCGGGUACAGUAAGUUUUCUUGAAGAAGCGGAAUUCAACGAAGUCAUGAUGGUUCCUUCGUCCGAACAACUUACAGUGGGAAAGGUUGGGCCUGCGAUACGACCGGGUAGACCAGGAUAAUUUUGUGCAUGGCAGGUGGACCAGGAUGGUCGAUGUCCCACAUGUCGGCGAAUGAAAGUAUUCUUUCUGAUAUAGAGGACGAGCAACAAGUAUUCAUUGUUUAUUUUUGACGAAAGCUAUUGUCUCCACUGUUACGACGGAGGAGUGUGAAACACGGCAGCCCUGUGAACUUGGCAUGUGCACCACUCCCUCCUUCCUCAUGUAAUGCUACCAUACUGUUGACUAUAAGGUUGGCUAUAAGGUUACAACUUUUCUCACUUUCUCUCUAUCUAUUUCCUCUCAAAUGUUUUUUAGACACAAUUGUUUUUUAUGCCUUUUUUAGAAUUAUUUUUUUAUACCUAGGAGCACGUGUAGAGACGGGCUCUUGUAGAGCCCACUCCUUGACUUUCUCAAUGCCUCUCUCUCCUCCACAUAAGCGGGCUUAUAGCCUAGUAUUUUAGUACUUGCUAUGCAUGCAUGCGGCGGGCAGCUGGCGUCUUGAGGGGCCAGGGCGGUCAGAGCGGGCUCCGGAAGCGGUCCGGACUCUAGCAUGGCCCACCUCACAUUAUCACCAUAUAUUUCUUGGAGUCCGUGCGCGGCGGGCAGGCGAUCUCUUCUCCCUCCCCCGUUUCUCUCUUCUCGGCCAAUGCCCGCCGAGCGAUUAGAUUUCGGCUAUCGAUGGUUUAUUCAAUUACAGUCCCACAUGUUAGUGAAAUUGCAAGACAACGCGUGUCCCCUCUAGUGAGCGGCGUGCGAGCCGGACUAUCGGGGGUGCGACGCGUACGAGUCGUAAGUGUGCUGCCUUUUCCUUUAGAACUUGCGAAGCAUAACAUUUUUGCGCAAUCAAUCGAUAGAAAUCCAGAACAAAAUGAUGAGGGCGGUGCUUUCCCGCUCGUUAGGCGAGCUAGUUUAAGUGAUAUGACGUUCUACAGUGCCGUCCACUUGCUCCAUUUUUAUGUAAGCAAGAGUUUACACUCUUAUGCGGGAGGAGUGUGAAACACCGUGGAUCUGAUUUUGAUCGAGGGAUAACUGUUCCUUGCCAAAUAAUGGAGUUAGGGCAUCUCCAGCACUGGCCCACACAUUUACACCGGCAUCUGUCCGAGGACACUGAUGGAUGCCAUCCGAUGCUGCCCGCAUACCUUUCGACAACUAUAUGAACUAACUGAACGAAAUUCGUGCAAACAAAGCAAAUUUCAAAUUAACCGGAUGAAAUUCAUUACAUUUCGAAAACUUUUCCUACAAACUGGACGAAAUUCAUCACAUAUUUCGCACAAACCGUACUAAAACCUACUGUAAACCUAAUCUAAAUGAUCGCCGGCGCCCGACCACCAUGUCCGGCCAUGAACCCGAGAAAGCCGGCCAUUGCCUUUGCCUCCUCCUCAUCCGCCUCGAUAACCUCCUCCUUUGGAGCACAAGGUUCUGAAGAUUUCCACCUCCACGUUGUCGUCAAGCAGCUAAUCGGCCGCCGAUGUUUACCCCACCAAGCUUGGUAUCGACUGAGUGGAGUAGCGGUGGCCUUCCUGGGACCAGAGCGGCGGCGACCUACCAUGUACUACUCUUCCUCGCUGUCGGCUGCGCCCGCACACGCGCGCCGGCUUCGUGGUUGUGGCGGUGGAGGGCGGCCGGGGGGGGGUGCCGGCGAUCUCCUUCGUUUGCUCCUGUGACAGUACGUUGAAGAGAGCUUUGGAGCGCACCCGAAGCAGAGCCGCCGAUGUCCCUUGUCUGCUCCUGUUACAGUACGUCAAAGAGAGCUUCAGAGCGCCAGGAGGCCAUGGUUGGAGUGGUGCCGACAGAAGGAAGGGGCCGAAGGAGAAUAAGUGUGGGUCUUUAGCUAUGGCUGGGAGCUAGGGCUCAAGUUAAUAUAGCGGGCGAAUGGCAAUGAGCCGCGGCAGACGGAUGGACAACUGGCGCCAGAGUAGGUUAGUCGGGCGUGAAUGUGGACGCUGCUUCAGUGACUUAACUACAGAUGCAUUGGGUUACUGACAUGUGGGCCAAACGGGCAUCUGGUCCGCAUGUCAGUGACACACCAAUUGCACCUGCAGUUAAGUCCGAUGAAUGCGGCAUUGAUGUUCUGGAGAGACGGUGACCGUUUCAGGCGGGAAGCGCGCGCUAGUGAUGGAAGGGAUUUCGGUAGGCCAGGGCGGUCAGACGCUGGCGUGGUGGUAAUGUGUGAACUCAUGGAUGACGAGCCUUUGAAGCAUAUGCGGCACAUAUUGACAACCUCUCUUGUCGCCAGCUAGCCUUCGACGACCACCAUUAGACACCACACAAACAUGCAUAACUUACGAAUAAUGGACGAAUCGAUCAGACACACACUCGUGUGCAGUGCCACUAAGAUCGGCCGCUCACGAUAGUACAUACUCCGUACCAUAGUACCCUCUCUAGCUAGGCUGUUUUAUAGAUUGUCAUUGUGAUGGACGAUAUACAUGAGCAAGGCGCUCCGAGUAUGACUGUUGGUGUUGAGCCAGGUGAAUACAUGCUCGGCGUUCGCGUAGGCCUCCAUCAAACGUCUAAACAAUAAUGUCAGGCACCGCCGGGGUGUGCAGGUGAUGGGCUCGCCGCUUGCGUUGCGCCAUGAGCAGGACUUUGAUUUAGAGGGUGACGUGCAUGCAUUAGCAUGCUUUGACAGCGUGAGCGUGAGUGUCUGAUGAAGUAUUUCAUUUUCAUUUGGCUGACGAGGGUGCGUUGCAGCGACGAGUCCGUGGUUUGAUUCCCCACAUACGCAUAAUUUUGGUUUUUACAGUAUUUCUUUCUCCAUUGACAGGUAGGCCCGCGUAGAUAGAUAAAGAAUACGAGCUGAUGAGGCGCAUGCGGACUGUUUGACUGGUCAACCAGACAAAUACGGAGCUAUACGCUGAGCCAGUGACCGUAUAAUCACCAUAUCUCAUAUACAAUGAUCAAAGUGAGCUAUCAAGACAAGUUCGAUGACCGCCAAUGCAUUUUACUCGGUAAUAAAUGACCAGGAUUGAAGGGGAAUCCAAAUUUCCUUCGUCUUCUAUCCUUGAGCUCUUGACAAACCAAUGCACUAUACGGUUGUCAUUGCAAUACCUCGCUCUAACAACUCCUAUUCCCACGGCAUUACCACAAGGAUUUCCUGUUUCCCCGAUCCACCAGCUACGUUUGCACACUUCUAAAUAGUAAAUGCUCCCGCGGUUGGAGUUGAGACUUUCUUAUCCCUCUUGUUACGACGGAUCGAGCAUAUGAUUCUUUUCUUGAUUGAAAUCAUUGACUUUUCCUUGAAAUCGUCACAAAGUCGGAUUUGGCCCGAACUGUUCGAAAGAUUCCCACGCGUUACGCACCCGUUCGCCACUUUGUUCUCAACUAUUCUUUCUAGCAAACGGCUUGUAGAAAAUCCUCAAUAUCUAUAUCAGAGUCAGCAUCCGUUUUUGUUUGAGUUUUGCUGUUAGCUUACGUCCUUUUAGCUAGUUCGACGUGUUUUCAUUAGUCCUCCGGCCACUCCACCCCAGAGCUCUCACCAAGCGCGUUCAUGCAACCGCGUCGCACACUAACUAGUAAGACAGCGAUGGCCUCCCGCCGCCCGAGUUCCUCACCGCCCAUGACCGCACACAAAAUGGUAGGGAAGCGAUGGCAUCCUGCCGUGCCGAGUUCAUCGCCACUCGCGACCUCACACCUAUGUGGGAGGAAUUUGAAGAUGCCAAGGCCGAAUGGGCGGUAGAGCAAGAGGUGGCCAAAGCCGCACAGAGAGAGCAGAAAAGUGAGAAAGCACUCAAGAAAAGAGAGGCCCGCUGCCGCAAGAAAGAAGAGGAUGCACGCGCUGCUGCGGAGAGGUCGGCGGAGAUCCAAGCACGGUGGGGUGUUGCCGACAAAGCCGGGAAGUAGAAUGACGGCGUCUGGCCAGCAUGUGAGUAGUAGUACUAGUAGUUAGUGUGUGUGUCUAUGUCUGAGUACGAGCAUGUACCAGUACUACUAGUUACUACUGUAGUUUUUAGAGCAAAUUACCAGUACAUUAGCCUAGACCAAAUGGAAAAAUUCCUAUCCUAUGCAUCAAAUGGCAUCUCUUUCUCUAUAGGAAUUGAGAUGCAUGUCAUCUCACUUCCUAUGAUUUUCAUAUUCCUAUAAAAUUCCUAUCCUAUGAACGAAAGGAGGCCUCGGUUGGAGUAACUACUGUAGCUAGCAGUACUGCUGGUACAGUAGUUUUCUUCAAGAAGCAGAAUUCAACGAAGUCAUGAUGGUUCCUUCGUCUGAGCAACUUCAAAGUGGGAAGUGGGCCUGUGAUUUGACGGCUCAUUAGUCAUUGUUACUGUGGCGCGAUGACCGGGGUGACUCUCCCUUGGAGUUCUGCGUGCAUGGCAAGUGGACCAGGAUGGUUGACGUCCCAAAUGUUGGCGAACGGAAGUAUUCUUUCCGAUAUCGAGGAGCAAGGAAACCGCGUGGUAUAGUAUCACUGCUGAUUGGUUCUCAAAAAAAUAGUAUCACUACUGAUUUAUAAUUAUUUUUAUUUCUGAUGAAUGCUAGCGUUUCAACUCUUACGACAAAGAGUGCCAAACACGACACGUGUUGGAUGUCCCACACGUCAGCAAAAGGAGUGGGACAUGAACAACGUGGUAGAGCCCAGCGCAAAAAAUGAUACAAAGUGCGACCUGGAGAGAAAGACGCGUCUAGUUGGAAGGUCUCGGGGCAUACACGUAAACAAAUAUAAAAGUUAAUAUGUGCCUCCAAUUAAUAUAGUAGUAGAGUACUUAGGCACGUACUCCAUAACAUCAUCGUGCAUUGCACGUACAACAUUUAGUGGUAGUACAUAGUAAGAGACAAAUGCCGCCCAAGAGUUCCCUUCUCGACCCACUUUUGGGUGUUUGGUAGAGUGUAUGGAGGGUGCAUGAGUCCACACUAGUUUAGCACAAAUACACUAGAAGCAUGCAUGAAGAGAGCAUGCAUGAAGAGGGGUGUUGAGUUGAGCAUGCAUGAAGAGGGAACAACUGUGCUGAGACGAGAAUGCAACCAAACACACCCUAUAUGCCACGCAUGUUCAUACCAUUUGUGCCUUUCUACUUCACUUACUGCGCUACAUUACUCAGGUUCAUAUGUCCACUCCUGGGUACAUGUCCGUCUCGUAGUUCCAGUCCCACGUGUUCUUCAUAUAGAUGGAACGAUCCUUGCAUAACACGUGCACCUUGAUGCUAGAUGUCUCGCGUGUUGGCAAAAGGAUGAACAAAGAUCACGUAAAAAAAUAGAGUGGAAGAACAUAGAUUCUCGACGACCGAGAAGGAGCAAGGAACCUCGUGGUGGAGCGUCUGCACUCAUAAUAUUUAGUAUUAUUCAGCGAUAUAAAAUCAACCAAUCAUCUCCACAGUGGACUGGAAGAGUACGAAACACGGCAGCCCAGUGUAGUUACAUCAUACUAGUACAUGGCUAACCCACGCUAUCACCAUAGUUCUUGGCUUCCAUGCGACACCUAUCUCUAGUAAUCCAACAGCCUGUAUUGCUUCUCCCUCCUCGUCUCUCUCAAAGUGCGACGGGUUGGCGUUUUUGUUGUCUAUUGAGAUCGGUUAACUCAUCACAUGUUAGCGACAUGCCAAGAGCGUUCUAAAAAAAUUCCUUUCAUGUUCAGUUUUCAAAAAGAAAAAAAAUCCUUUCACGUACGAAUUUGACUGUAUGCUUUGAGCAACUUGCAUGUCCUAUACUGCUCCUGUUUGGAUACUCUAACUUAGCUAGAGGUUAGGCUAACUCAUGACUAACCCUGAACUAACUGUAGACAAAGAGGUGUUUGGGUGACAGGGUUAGAUUGACAAUAAAUGCACUUGAUGGAGAGAUAAAAGUGAUUUUUUAGUGGUCCCAAAUGAGAACUAUCUCCAGUUAGCACCUCUUGGGUGGGAUAGAUUUUUUGGUGGGUUCGGUGCAACUUGCUCCAAUUUAAAUCCUCAUGCUUGGAUGCUUUAGGGCUAUUUGAGCCCCAACUAGCUCAUACUACUAACUCUACCCAUGGAUCCAAACAGGACCUAUGGCCAGUCUCGACGCGGAGCAGUCGCGUGCACCGGGAAGUGGCGCUCUCUCGGCCGUCGCGCCACUUCAAAGACGGUGCCAGUGAGAGGCGCCUCCGCUCUAGCCAGGCAUUAAUGUGGCACUGACGCUCCAGGGCGACGCUGACCGUUUCACGCGGGAAGCGCGCGCUGGCAAGGGAGUAUUGGUUUUGAACCGUUUCAGGUGUAGUACUUGUAGUUUGCAAAACUACCCAAUUAUUGCACUCAGUUUCCUAAGAAAUUGUGGUAAAAAAUGUUACUCAACAGCCCACUUCCCUUCUCCUUCCUCUUCCACCGCCCGCGCACGUCCGCGGGAAGCGACUAGUCAACCCUUAUAUAGGAGUGCUAGCACAAAAAGAUGCAUGCAUGACCACUAAAAUUUCCAUAUUAAAGCGCCGCUCCGGCGGGAGUAUGGCGUACGUUGUUACCUUCGGCCGGGCCAUGGCUACCGGUCGACGGUGACCAGAGAAGAGGCGGCGGGAGGGGAAUGAAUGCAACUGCUAUUUGGGUUUGCCGUCCGGCUUAAAUAAAUGCGCAGCAUCACGUGUACCCGCGGGUGCACAAAUUGUAACAUACAUGUCUGCUUAAGUGGGCGUCACGUAACUGGUGUGUGUGUGUGUGUGAGAGAGAGAGAGAUUCUUAGAGACAGUGUGUGUGUGUGUGUGUGUGACUCUACUCUUCGGACAUGUACUCAACCUUUUGCAUCGGGAUAUAAGUAUAAUGGUAUUUACUUUAGCUAGUGAUUUACAUGGCCAUGUUAACAUGGUUGCGUAAAAAAAUGUCACUUCCUGCUCGUGAUUUGCGUUAUAUAAUUACAAACAAGAUGCUCGUGCAUUGCACAGAACAUCAAUAUGCAUUUUUUACAAAACACCUGUUGUGAUUGACCCAUGCAGGAGUAAUCCCAUGUGUAAAAACUAAUGAUAUCUCGAGAAUUUUAUGGGAAAACUGGUAUCUCGAGAAUGUCAUCAAAAAAAUGAAAGAUGAGAGAUAAGGUGAGGAGGAAUGGAGCGUCUUUGUUCGAGAGACACCGAGGAAGACUACUAUAUAUCGAUGGUGCAUGUAGGCGGGAAUUAAACAAAGGGAUGGUCUUAUUGGUUUCGGGGAUAUAGGGGAAGAGUGAGAGGGGGUAGCUAGAAGGAGAUUGUUAAGUGUGAAUGUGUGUUUUACCCAUCCAGGCGGAAGUUAUGUGCACACAAGAGAAGAACGAUUCGAUGUGGCGUUAGGGUUGAGGGUAAUUAACUACGUAUGGAGACAUAGACACCUUGAAUGUGCAUGUGUGAGAGGUAUACAUGUAUACGUGGGAUGUGUGUGUGUGCGCGCGCGCGCAUGAUCGAGAUAAAAGAAAGAAGACAUAAGUCAUAAGAUCAACGACAUGGGAGAGAUGGAUCGGUAUGACAAUAUGCAUGCAUGUGAAAAUGCAGGGAAGAAGGCCCGACAAUUGAGCAUGUGUUUUUGUCUUUGAGAGAUAGUGGCGUGGGCUGGAGCAUGCAUCUAUGGCGAGCACAGGGAGUGAGGCACUACGAUUGUGCAAAAGAGAUCAACCUAUAAAUGCAUAUGUAUGAAGAGACAUAUAUAGUGUGGGUGAUAGGAAGCAAGACUCUAUGCGAGAAAGAAAUGUUGACGGAGAAACUACAGAUAGAUACAGAGUUGGAGAUGCUAGCUAGAGGGACAUCCGCUAGUUUGAGUGUUGGAGAUGACCGCCGGGUGGUUCAGAGGGUGAAGUUAUAUAUGUGUGUGUGAGACAAAGAUAAAAAGAGGGCACUUAACUGCAUGUAGAGAGAAACAUAUGUAGUGUGCAUGAUAGGAAGCAAGAGUGAGGGCGAGAAAGAAGGUUGAUGGAGAAAUAGAUAAAUAGAAAGAUAAAGACGCUAGCUAGUGUGCGUUAGAGAUAGGAGUCGAGUGGAUCAGAAGGCUGAGUUAUGUGUGUGGGUGUGAGAGAGAUAGAGAGAGGGUGCAUGUGAGUCACAUACAAACAUAUAUCAGAGAGAAAUGAGAUCCCGAGAGAUGGAGUUUUGUGUCUGUGAGAGAGAAAGAUGUUUCACAACGAGAGUGAUAGCUUGAGAGACAUAUGAGUGAACGCAAGAUAUCUCUAGGGAGAGAGAGAGUGUGUGAGCGACACACAAGAGAACAGUGGAGAAAUAUGAGACCCUGGGAGACAGAGUUUGUGUUUGUGUGUGAGAAAGAGAUAUUUAAGAGGAAGAGUUGUAGGUUCUCAUAUCUAAGGAGCGAAAGACAUCUCUGUAUGAGGGGUGUGCAAGUGGCACACAUGGGAAUAGUAGAGAGAAAUGAGACCCCGGGAGACAAAGUUUUGUGUCUGUGUGAGAGAAAGAGAUUCCACAUGGAGAAUCAUAGUUAGAGACACAUAGCAGGGAGCGAGAUAUACUUAGAGAGAUAGAGUGAUGAAGGUCGAGGGAGAGAGUACCGUCAGUGUGUUACGAAGAUAAAAGAUCAUUAUCGACAUAAAGGUAGCACGAGAGAUACCUGAGAGACGAUGAACGCGUAUAGGUCCAGAGAGAUAGUCCUAUAUAAGCAUGAGUGAUAGCUAUAUGAGACGAAUAUCUGGAUUAAAGGGGAUUUAAAUAUUUAAACUGGAGAUCAUGACAUCGAUAAUAUCAUAACGCAAAUUGGUGUAUCAAACAUGCAUAUUCAUUUGAAUUUGGGCACACGUGUAAUGUUAUAUAGUUUAUCAAUAUUGGUGAUCCAUAGAUUCUUUAAUUACAAACAAUGCAUGGUUUAUAUGCAAUUAAUGUCUAAACGGGAUUACACUAUAUGUUGCGUGUGUGAAACACAUUAUACAUGUUUGAGAAGUAAAAAAACCCGCAUGAAGCACACAUUAACUGGAGACAGUUAGCGAGGAAUGCAUACAUUGGAUUUCAACAUAAAGUGGUUUCAAAUAUUUGAGAAUCCAAAUUGAUGGAUACAACCUUAUGAAUCUGAGAUCAUGCCAUUUGUAAACCAUAUUUAUGUAUAAAUGGUAUUGUGCUUUUGAAAGUAUAUAUAAAAAAUGAUGUAUAUAGAAUUUAAUUACAAUUGAAAAUGGAUCCCGCCCGAAAAAAAUAGAAUACAAAUGGGAUUGGAACGAUAAGCGUGCACUCUGCAAAAUUUGAACGAAGCGGGGAAUGUCGCAGUAACCACCCGAAACCAAAAUCUGCGACAUGGAAAUUACUACUGCCUAUCCCUGCCACGCAAAGCCUAUCUGCUGGAUUUCUAUAGGUUUCGAUAGGGGUAGGUUUGUAAUUUCACCCAAACGUAACGUAACCGCCUCUCACCCGGAUUCAUACACGGUGGGUGCCAAAACACAGUGUGUCCUCGGCCGAAAUCGACUCCCUCCCCGAUUCAUAUUCAUACAUGGUGGGCGCCAAAAACAAACUCUCGUCGGCAAAUAUUCGGUGUAUGCGAGAUUACCGUCCUAUCCCCAACCGACUAAUAUUGCUGUGAUGUAGGAAAUUUGAAACAGGGGCUAAGUUUGUAAAUUUCCUCGCAUUUAAGACAAGUGCACCCUGAAUACAUGGUUCCCCCCUUCCUCUCUACCUCCCUUUUCCCCAUUCGUACUCUGUGGGCGCCAAAACACCCUCUCCACCCCAGCCUCCUCCGUCCACCGCCGUCCGCCACCCCAUCCACCGUCGUCCUCCUCCCCCAUGUCGGAGCUAAUACUCCGAUGCCGCCGUCCAUUACAAGAGAUCGACCUCUCUCAUCCACGGCUUCGGACCGGGAUCCUUGCAUCCCAUCCUCUCGCUUCAUCCCCGCCGUCCUCCACCUUGCCGGUGCCGCUCCUACGACCGUCUCGUCCACUGCGCCCCGCCGGCACCGUCUACCCUCCUAGAUCUGCUUCCACGCCGCCGACAGCCAUCGCUACCGCAGCACCGUCAAAUUCUCAGCAGAUGCAUACACGGCGCCACACCAGAGGCGGUACUCUUUCGUAUCUGCUCAACUUAUUUAUCGCAGCAGGAAAAUAGAUCGCCCCUGCUUUACUCUGAUUUCUUGUCUUGGUUGUGAAGUUGCCUUUGUCCGGUUUGCACCUUCAGAUCUGCCAUGGCACACUCAACACUAUAUUCCCAAUGCUUAUGGUUUUCCCCUUUUAUAUUCCACUCCAGUUAAAUCAUAGUAGACUAAAUUUCAAAAUUGGGUCAGUCGAUUUUUCANNNNNNNNNNNNNNNNNNNNNNNNNNNNNNNNNNNNNNNNNNNNNNNNNNNNNNNNNNNNNNNNNNNNNNNNNNNNNNNNNNNNNNNNNNNNNNNNNNNNNNNNNNNNNNNNNNNNNNNNNNNNNNNNNNNNNNNNNNNNNNNNNNNNNNNNNNNNNNNNNNNNNNNNNNNNNNNNNNNNNNNNNNNNNNNNNNNNNNNNNNNNNNNNNNNNNNNNNNNNNNNNNNNNNNNNNNNNNNNNNNNNNNNNNNNNNNNNNNNNNNNNNNNNNNNUUUUUCAGAGCUCGCCGGAGUUCGCCGGUGCGAACGAAGGGGCUUGGGUGGUUGUGGUGCCUUGUCGAACGAAGAAAACUCGACGCGAGUGGGGGCGGGGGUGGGGGUGGGGGUGGCGGAGGAACACGGGAGGUGGGGGCCGGUGGUCCGGCCGGCGGCCCGUGCGGUGUUCUGUAUGGGAAGAAUCAGAGACAAGGAAGAAGAAGGGUUAGGACACGUAGGAUCUUCAUCCAACCACCUGAAAUGGUUGAGAGACAGCUGGGAGUUGCAUUCUUAAUACGCUCUGGUUCAUCAUGUGUGGGCAUUGUGCAACCAACACUUUAUUAUCCAAAAUCUGCUUGCUCUUCUUUACCAUGUUCCUCUUCCAUUCUUCUUUAAUAUGUACUCUCUUCGUUCCUAAAUACAAGUCUUUGUAUAGAUUCCACCAUGGACUACAUAUGGAGCAAAAUGAGUGAAUCUACACUCUAAAAUGUAUCUGGAUACAUCGGUAUGUGAUCCAUAGUGGAAAUAUCUACCAAGACUUAUAUUUUGGAACAGAGGGAGUAUGAUAGUAGUACAGUAUGUUCCUUGUACCGAAGAUGAGCAGGGACAUUUGUAGUGUAGAGGUCUAUACGGUCGAUUGUCAUGGACACUUUGAGCCUCUUUGAUUCGUAGCAUUUUGUAAACAUAGGAAUAGGAUUUGUUGUGGCCUGCCCACUUGAGUCCUAUAAGAAUAGCAAGGAAAUGCGGGGAGCUGUGUCGCCUUUGAGAGUUACACUGAUAUUAACAGUACCGCACCUUCACUUGAAGAGAGCUGGUAUCCGAAGCCUUUCUAGCCGUACCGGCAAUACUAGCACAUAUAUUCCAGCAAGUUCCACUUUUCUGAUUUUACUCUGAUGCUUAAGGUUUUCCCGUUAUAUCUACACCAUGAUCUGUGUAGCUGCUUUGUGUCACACUAGCAGCAGUCCACUCUUGAAGCUAAACACUGCAAUGACUUACAGAAUUGGCACCAAGGCAUUGAGUGCCACUGGAUGCAAUGAAACUCAUAUGCUCCCCACCUGUUGACUCUUGUUCAGAAUAUGAUCCUAAUGACUCUUGUUCAAAAUUGCCACAUAUAGAGAGAUAGCAUGGAAUUGCAUUUCUUUGGGCGUUGUGAUUCAUCAUGAGUGGGCAACCAACAUUGUAUGCAAUGAAGCGGAACCUCAAGAAUAUGCUUCCUCUUCUGUUCUUUAACAUGUUCCUCUUUGUUUAUCUGUAUUUAGUACGUACAGUAUGUUCCUUGUCAAGAAGGGGUGCAGGGACAUCUGCAGUCAACAGCUGAUAGAGCUGGCUUGUACGUGAUCGAUAGGCUUUCAAUUACUAGCAACAAUACAACACUGUAUUUUUAAGCCAGUUCCACUUUCCCGACUUAUAUAUCAUGGUUAUGGUGUACCCCUGUUAUGUACACUAUGAUCUGCCUAGUUGCUGUGUGCUCUUGUUAUCAUGGUUUGGCAAUAAACUCUCUAUACAGUAUAUUAUGAACCUAUCAUCUGCCAACUAUCCUUACUUCUGGAGCCUAUUUUUUGUGUACUUGUGCUACAUUAUAUAAAUGCACGCACCAUAUUACAGCACACAUGAGCUCUCUCAUCAGAAUCCAGUGAUAGCACACAAGUGUUUACAGGGGCACCCCUAAAUUAGAAUAUCAUCUGCAUUACAAAUAUAAUCUCACAACUAUUUAUGUUUUCAUGGUUCUCAGAUAUUAUACAUAAUUACAGUGAAUAUCAAAAUCCGCGCAUCAGAAGAAUAUUGUGGAACACUGCAAUGACUUACAAAAUUGGCACCAAGGCAUUGAGUGCCAUUCUGGAUGCAAUGAAACUCAUAUGCUCCCCACAUGUAGAUUCUUGUUCAGAAUAUGAUCCUAAUGACUAUUCUAACCUCGAUGAGUCAAAGGCAGAUGGCCUGUCAUGUUCACCCAUCAAGGUGCCUGUUAUAAUUUGGCAAGGUUUUAUUGAUUGCGCGUAUCUUGCAUAUGUUGUCUUGCAUUUCUUCUACUUUGUUGCACCGCCAUCUGCUUAGUUUACUCAUCAUAUAUGUCGAGAUGCCAUGCCCAUCCAUUAUCAAUACAUAUUCCAUCUGUCAUCAUACCAUGUUUUUCCAGACAAAUGUUGUUCUUGUGCAUCAGACAUCAAAAAGGAAGAGGGUGAUUGCCGAACCUGAAGGAGCACCAGCAAAGUCCUUGAAAAAAACGUGGUUGUGCCGGAGAAAUCAGACAGCAUCCUGAUACAUCUCCAACGUAUCUAUAAUUUUUGAUUGUUCCAUGCUAUUAUAUUACCCCUUUUGGAUGUUUAUGGGCUUUAUUUUACACAUUUAUAUCAUUUUUGGGACUAACCUACUAACCGGAGGCCCAACCCAUAUUGCUGUUUUUUUGCCUAUUUCAGUAUUUCGAAGAAAAGGAAUAUCAAACGGAGUCCAAACGGAAUGAAACCUUCGAGAGCGUUAUUUUUGGAACAAAUCUGAUCCGGAGAGCCUGGAGUGCAAGUCAAGAAAGCUCCAAGGGCCCCACGAGAUAGGAGGGCGCGCCCCCCUGUCUCGUGGGCCCCUUGGGCAGCCACCGACGUACUUCUUCCUCCUAUAGAUACCUACGUACCCCGAAAACAUCCAGGAGCACCACGAAACACAAUUUCCACCGCCGUAACCUUCUGUAUCCACGAGAUCCCAUCUUGGAGUCCUUGCCGGCACUCUGCCGGAGGGGGAAGCAACCACGGAGGGCCUCUACAUCAACAUCCUUGCCCCUCCGAUGAGUUGUGAGUAGUUUACCACAGACCUACGGGUCCAUAGUUAUUAUCUAGAUGGCUUCUUCUCUCUUUUUGUAUCUCAAUACAAUGUUCUCCCCCUCUCUUGUGGAGAUCUAUUCGAUGUAAACUCUUUUUGCGGUGUGUUUGUCGAGAUCCGUUGAAUUGUGGGUUUAUGAUCAAGUUUAUCUAUGAAUAAUAUUUAAAUCUUCUCUGAAUUCUUUUAUGUAUGAUUGAGUUAUCUUUGCAAGUCUCUUCGAAUUAUCAGUUUGGUUUGUCCUACUAGAUUGAUCUUUCUUGCCAUGGGAGAAGUGCUUAGCUUUGGGUUCAAUCUUGCGGUGUUCUUACUCAGUGACAGAAAGGGUUGCAAGACACGUAUUGUAUUGUUGCCAUCGAGGAUAACAAGAUGGGGUUUAUAUCAUAUUGCAUGUGUUUAUCCCUCUACAUCAUGUCAUCUUGCUUAAUGCGUUGCUCUGUUCUUAUGAACUUAAUACUCUAGAUGCAUGCUGGAUAGCGGUCGAUGUGUGGAGUAAUAGUAGUAGAUGCAGGCAGGAGUCGGUCUACUUGUUAUGGACGUGAUGCCUAUAUACAUGAUCAUGCCUAGAUAAUCUCAUAACUAUGCGCUUUUCUAUCAAUUGCUCGACAGUAAUUUGUUCACCCACCGUAAUACUUAUGCUAUCUUGAGAGAAGCCUCUAGUGAAACCUAUGGCCCCCGGGUCUAUCUCUUAUCAUAUUUGCUUUCAGUCUACUUUAUUUGCAUCUUUACUUUUUGCAUCUAUCUUAUAAAAUACUAAAAAUAUAUUUAUCUUAUCAUACUAUCUUUAUUAGAUCUCACUUUCGCAAGUGGCCGUGAAGGGAUUGGCAACCCCUUCUUUGCGUUGGUUGCGAGUUCUCAAUUUGUUUGUGUAGGUGCAUGGGACUUUUGAGGAGCCUCCUACUGGAUUGAUACCUUGGUUCUCAAAACUGAGGGAAAUACUUACGCUACACUUUGCUGCAUCACCCUCUCCUCUUCGAGGAAAACCAAUGCAAGCUCAAGACGUAGCACACCCCACUUAUAUUGGUUGUACAACCAGUGACACAAAACGUAGGACCGACUCCAGCAGACUGUACCCAUACUUCACUGGCCACACCACUAGCCCCACCACAUAGGACCUGCACUCCGGCAAAAGGUAUGCCGAUUUCAGUUGCCAUAGCACCAGCCAUACUGAUACGUCUCCAACGUAUCUAUAAUUUAUGAAGCAUUCAUGCUAUAUUACUAUGUGUUUUGAAUGAUUACGAGCUUUAUUAUGCACUUUUAUAUUACUUUUGGGACUAACCUAUUAACUAGAGGCCCAACCCAUAUUGCUAUUUUAUUGCCUGUUUCAGUAUUUCCAAGAAAAGGAAUAUCAAACGGAGUCCAAACAUAAUGAAACCUUCGGCAACGUGAUUUUUUGGAAGAUUAUCAUCCUGGACACUUGGAGGUCAAGUCAGAAGAUACUCGAGGAGCCCGGGAGAUAGCCCCCCCCCCUACAGGGCACGCCCCCUGUCUCGUGGACCCCUCGAGCACCCCCCGACCGACUUCUUUCGCCUAUAUAACCCUACGUACCCUAAAACCAUCGAAUAUCAAGAUAGAUCGGGAGUUCCGCCGCGCAAGUCUCUGUAGCCACCAAAAACCUCUCGGGAGUAUGUUUCGGCACCCUGCCGGAGGGGGAAUCCAUCAUCGGUGGCCAUCGUCAUCAUGUCGGCGCUCUCCAUGACAAGGAGGGAGUAGUUCACCCUCGGGGCUGAGGGUAUGUACCAGUAGCUAUGUAUUUGAUCUCUCUCUCUCUCUCUCUCUCUCUCGUGUUCUCUCUAUGGCACGAUCUUGAUGUAUCGCAAGCUUUGCUAUUAUAGUUGGAUCUUAUGAUGUUUCUCCCCCCCCCUCUACUCUCUUGUGAUGAAUUGAGUUUCCCUCUUGAAGUUAUCUUAUUGGAUUGAGUCUUUAUUUGAGAACACUUGAUGUAUGUCUUGCUGUGUUUAUUUGUGGGGAUAAUGGGAUAUCAUGUGCCACUUGAUGUAUGUUUUGGUGACCAACUUGCGGGUUCCACCCAUGAACCUAUGCAUAGGGGUUGGCACAUGUUUUCUUGACUCUCCGGUAGAAACUUUGGGGCACUCUUUGAAGUACUUUGUGUUGGUUGGAUGAAUUUGAGAUUGUGUGAUGCAUAUCGUAUAAUCAUGCCCACGGAUACUUGAGGUGACAAUGGAGUAUCUAGGUGACAUUAGGGUUUUGGUUGAUUUGUGUCAUAAGGUGUUAUUCUAGUACGAACUCUUUUAUAGAUUGAUCCGAAAGAAUAACUUUGAGGUGGUUUCGUACCCUACCAUAAUCUCUAUGUUUGUUCUCCGCUAUUAGUGGCUUUGGAGUGACUCUUUGUUGCAUGUUGAGGGCUUGUUAUAUGAUCUAUCUAUGUUAUUAUUGUUGAGAGAACUUGCACUAGUGAAAGUAUGAACCCUAGGCCUUGUUUCCUAACAUUGCAAUACCAUUUACGCUCACAUUUAUCAUUAGUUACCUUGCUGUUUUUAUUAUUUCAGAUUACAAAAACCUAUAUCUACUAUCCAUAUUGCACUUGUAUCACCAUCUCUUCGCCAAACUAGUGCACCUAUACAAUUUACCAUUGUAUUGACUGUGUUGGGGACACAAGAGACUCUUUGUUAUUCGGUUGCAGGAUUGUUUGAGAGAGACCAUCUUCAUCCUACGCCUCCCAUGGAUUGAUAAACCUUAGGUCAUCCACUUGAGGGAAAUUUGCCACUGUCCUACAAACCUGUGCACUUGCAGGCCCAACAACGUCUACAAGAAGAAGGUUGUGUAGUAGACAUCAAGCUCUUUUCUGGCGCCGUUGCCGGGGAGGUGAGUGCUUGAAGGUAUAUCUUUAGAUCUUGCAGUUGAAUCUUUUUGUUUCUUGUUUUAUCACUAGUUUAGUUUAUAAAAGAAAACUACAAAAAAAUGGAGUUAAGUUUGUCUCAUACGCUUCGUCUUUUUAAUAUCUUUCGUGAGUAUGAUGGAAAGGAAAAGUGUGCUCGAGUGCUAGAAGAAGAAUACAUUAAAAUGCUUGGUACUAAAUCUUUGAAUGAUGAGAAUGAUUGCAAUGUUGUUAGUAUGAACUCUUUGAAUAUCCUUAGUACUAAUGAUGAUUGCACUACUUAUGAUGAAAAUGUCUCCUAUAAGCAUGUUGAUUUUUGUGGAGUGCAUGUUUGCAUGAACACACCAAAUAAAGAAGAUAUAUAUUGCAAGAGGCAUAAGCAUUUAGAAACUAAAUGGUUGCAAGAAAGGCUAGAUGUGAGUGCUGAAAUAUUAAAAUUCCUUUGUCGUACUUGUGAACUUUGCAAUGAACGUGGUCAUUUACAUCUCCAAUGCAAAUUGUUUUAUGACCGAAUCGUGUCCAAAAAUUGUGAUGAUUUGAUUUCCCUUGCACAUUAUAAUGAACUUAGUUUGGUUUUGGGUUAUGAAGAAUUGAAACGUUUACUUAAGGACCUUCCAGAAUUUGCCCAAAAGAAAUUCCUUGAUAUUGAUCUAGAGAAGAUUUAUAUGUUUUGUGCGGAGAAUUGCAUUGAAAAUCCUUAUAUUGCCAAUUACCUAAAGAAAAGAAAGCAAAUAGAAGAUGAAGAGAAUAAUAAUGAAAGGGAAGAGACUUCCCAAUCUCCUCCUAUUAUUUCUUAUGAUGAAUCAGGUAACGAGGAGGAGCUUUCUAUUCAACCAAUCUCAUCAAUAAGGAGCUCAAAGAGGAAGGUUGAACCCACACAUAAUAUGAAGAAGAAAAAGAAAAGAAGGAGUAACAAAGGUAGAAAGGUAUCCCUCCCAAAUGAUGUUGCUCCUACUACUCAUUGUGAUGAUAAUUGCUUUACUAUUGGUGCUAUCCAUAUUUUUAACGAUGAGAGUGAUUAUGUUUAUGAUAUGAAAGGGCCCAAGCUUGGGGAAGCUAUGUUUGAUGAGGAUGACAUAUUUGAGAAUAUAUUUGCUGAAAUUAAUGUUUGCCCCAAGCUGGGGGGUGCUACGUUUAGUGAAUAUGAUAUUUUUAGCAUCCCAAGUUUUGAUAUGCAAAGUUGUUAUGAUGAUAGCAUGCCUCCUACGUAUGAUGAUUAUAUUGAUGAAAGUGGGUUCGCAAGAGUGUCAACUUUAGGAAGUAGUGUAAGUGCAUCUAGUGCCCCUUAGUUAUUUUGGUGUAUUGAAGACUUAUAGGUUAAGUGACUGAUGCGUUUGUGAGUGUACAUAGGUCUAUAAGUCUAUGAGGAGUUUGAUAUUUACAGAGAAAGUCGACCCCUAAAAAUGAAGUUCUUCAACUUAAGACUUUGAUAUUCUGAAGACUUUCUGAAGACUUUGAAAGUGAAGAAAUUGGUGUGACCUUGAAGACUUGGUAUUCAUUCGAGGAAUAUGGAGCGUGAAGACUUUUGUUUUCAUAGUUUCAUUUUCUCUUUCUUUGAGUCAUAGGAAACACCGUACUGUUAAAGGGGGUCGAGGAAAUACUAAGGAAAAUUUUCCAUGUGAUGCUCAACUCAAAAUCCUACACCUACCAAUCCCUUCGAGUGAAGCCAUUGGAAAUCUCAUACAGUUCAGUCAAUUUCUUCAAUGACAGAGACGCAGUUCUUCUGGUCACUAAGGACUUUGCUCUGACUGAGGAGUUAGGAAUUCGCCAGUGCGAAUUGCCUACACAGUGAGGAACAUGAUAGCCCUGAGGAAUUUGAGAGUCAAAUUUCCGACCGUUGCUGUGCUGCGCGCCGGCUGUCUAAAAUAUCUUAUCUACCUAACGGUCAUAUCAUUGAAGGGCAUUUAUGUCUUAUCAUGUCGGGCUGCUCCCUAGGCUAUAAAUAGCCGCCCCCUACAACCACUAGUUGGUUGGCUGCUCCGAGGGAACUUGACACUUGUCAUUUGAGAGCAACCCAUCCUCCGAGGACUUUGAGCGAAAAUCAUCAAGUGAGGAAAAUCCCAAAACCAAACCCCCACAAACCCAAAGUGAUUGAGCAUCACUGAAGAAAUUGAUCCUGCGUGGAUCCGACGCUUGUUACCUUUGAAGACUGUGCUUCUUCCAGACGGUUAGGCGUCAAGGUCUAUAGCAUCCAAGAGGAAUUGUCGAUCACCGAGUGACCAAGUCUGUGAAGGUUUGGAAGUCACCUGAAGACUUACCACGAGUGAUUGGACGAGGCCUGCGUGGUCUUAGUUCAAGGAGAAUACGGUGAGGACUGGGUGUCCUGAGUUGCGGCUCAAAGACUGGGUGUCCGGGACUGCGUGUCCUCGAGUUUAAAUACUCAGCCGCUCCAACCAGACGUACAACUGAGACAACAGUUGGAACUGGUUUACCAAAUCAUUGUCUUCACCAACUAACUGGUUCUAUUUCCUCAACUCUUUCAUUUCCUCAUUACUGUGUUGUAUGUUGUUCAUAUCUGUGCUUGAAGACUUUGACUGAAGACUUUCACAAAAUCCUCAGUUCAAUUUCUUCAGUCUAUCCGUCUUCAUCUUGUUAUCCUGUGUUUACGCUUUUUGUACUCUGUGCUAGUCUUCAUUUCAUCAUGAUGACUAUGUUUGUAUCCUGUUAUGUUUACUUCUGAGUACUCAUUCCGCUGCAAGUAGUUCUUCGCUAAGGAAUUUCCUCACCAGAAAAUUCCUCAGUGAAGAAUUCAUAAAAAUCGCCUAUUCACCCCCCCCCUCUAGUCGAUAUAACGCACUUUCAAUUGGUAUCAGAGCAAGGUACUCCCUUGUUCUGUGUGAUUUUGGUUUAACCGCCUGGAGUUUUAGUUAUGUCGACCGCAGGUAUGAUUAAGGUCUCAGCUGGGUGUCCUACCUUUGAUGGAACGGACUACCCCUACUGGAAGAACAAGAUGCGAAUGCAUCUUGAGGCAAUUGAUAAUGAUCUCUGGUAUAUUGUGGAAAAUGGUGUCCCCUCUGUCACUCCCACACUGAACUCUACCGAUGUGAAGAGAUUCAAACAACUCGAUUCUCAAGCGAAGAAUAUCAUAUGUGGUCAUCUGAGCAAAGGAUGGUAUGGAAGAGUGAGUGCUUUGGAAACUGCUAAGCUUAUCUGGGAUAGGUUGUCCAAAGUAAAUGAAGGAGUUUCAACUCAGCGUGACUCUCGAGUCGAUGUUCUCCGGAAUCUCUUCAACCGCUUCAAAAGACUCGACAAUGAGAAUGUCCAACAAACCUUUGAUCGCCUCACUGACAUCUCAAAUGAGCUUCAAGCCCUCGGUGCCACUGACAUCACUGAUCAUGAAGUUGUGAAGAAACUGUCGUGGAAUUGUCACGUCAGAUGUCCUAGUGUAAGGACUUAGUCGCGAGGCCAACGCAUCUAUGUGGUAGCUUGAGAGGGGUUGAGUGGAAUCGAGAGACGCAACACAAGAUAGGGAUUUAGACAGCUUCGGGCCCCGGGAAACAUCAUCCGGUAAAAACCCUACAUGCUGUUUGAGGCUAGGUCUCAUUAUCAUCACGAGGGAGUCGCCGUAAACCGGCUCUCCUCUUUGUGUCUAGCCCUAAGAUUGUUUCUUCUUGCUUGUAACUUGUCUAACUUCUAACUUCUAACUUGUCCCUCUUUGGGGAGCCCUGCCCCUCCUUAUAUAUGUUGAAGGGGCGGGUUACAUGUGGAGUCCUAUUAGGAUUAGGACUAGUCUAUCUCUAAUACAAACCGGAUACAAGUCCUGGUCUUAACUCCUUGUAAGGUAAAUAUUCCUCAUGCCUUUCCUCUUAAACCGGCCCACAAUAGUUGAACCGGCCUUCAUGAACCGCCAGAUGGGCCACCGGGUCUUGUUGCUCCUCUGGCCCGCCUGCCGGAUUACCAAUGAGCUGUAAACCGUCUGGUCUGUGCAGGUCGCCGGUGAAUCGCCAAGUCCGGCCGGUUUAUCCUUCCGGCCGGUUUACGCCGCGGGGCAUAUCCCCGACAUUAGCCCCCAAGUUUAGCUUGGAUUUAUCCAUGGUAAACUUAUGCUGCAAAUAAACACCAGAACAAAUUUGACAGGUUGUGCUCCGGGUUAAGAAUUGUUGUAGACCGGCACCUGAUCGUCCUUAAGUCCUUGUCAUUUCUUCCUCCUAGAAAAUCCGGGUCAAUAACCAGCUUCAUACUCAAAUUGCUGAUGUUGGCUUCUUUAUAGAAAAAAUAUUGCGAAGAAUAAUCCACUUGAGUCGGCUUCCAAAGCACCGGCUUAAGAAAUAUUGGUCUUGAAAUACUCAUCUGAUAUUCAACCGGUUUGAAGAUGCAGAACUUGCCGGUUUUAUCAUUGCCAAAGACUGUCGGGUUAUAAAAACUGAUAAUUCCAGGUCAUGAUUGUUGCAGACACCGGUUCAUGAUUGUUGCCAACACCGGUUUAUGAUUAUUGAUGACACCGGGUUGCAGCCACAGGGUCAUAAUGAUUGGUGAUGCCGGGUCAAUCUAGUUUGCUCAAACAGAGAAUUUGAAAAUAUUUCCUUGAUAAUAAUAUAAUACUUGUAGCCCCCAAGUCUUGAGUAGAACAAAGUGAUGGCUUAAGACUUGCUUCAAUAUAAAUACUGUCACUUAUCGAAGAAAUCCAUGUUGUUCAUCCCAGUCACUAGCAAAAACUGAAUACUUCAUAUUAUGUAGCCCCCAAGUGCCGGGUUGUCCUGCUUGCAGCGACCUGGGACUUGUAAUUUCCUGAUGCUCAUAAAAACUUCAACCAGUGUAGCCCCCAAGGGCCAGCUCAUUAUAAUGUGAUGAGCCGGGUUUUCAAUAAUAUGAGCAAAAAAUGACUUUGCAUUAGCCCCCAAGUGUCAUGGUGCAUGCUUGCAGCAACAUGAGACUUGCAUACUUAAUAUAACCUCAAUUUUGAAUAAUGUAGCCCCCAAGUGCCGGGUUGUAAGCCUACAGCGACUCGGGACUAUUCCUUCAAUUGUAAAAUAAGUCAUAUCCAUUGAUAAAAUAAUAACCGUUGCGCUAAAGCGACUUUGAAAACCUCAAUCAUAAUACUGGUUAUUGAUAACCAUAAUAAAAAUCCAGCCAUGUUGGCUAUUCAAGAUAAUAUAAUCCGGUAUGAAAACCUUAUUCAGUAUCAUAAUGAAAAUUCAGCCAAAUUUGGCUAUUUGAAUAAUAUAACCUAAUGAUUUAUAAGCGCAUGAUUCCAAUGGCGCAAUCCAAAUAUACACUGGCGACGUAUAGUCCAAAGCCAGGCCGGUUUAAUAAACACCGGAUAAUUUCCCAUCAUAUACUGGCAACUUAUCGUUUUAAAGCCAGGCCGGUUUAAUAAACACCGGAUAAUUUAUAAUCAUGCUUUAUUCAACCUGUUUCUGCAUACAACAAGUUAAAGUGUCCUGGCGGUUUACCGUCGGACGGGUCAUAAUGCCCAACACAUAACCCAGGUUUAUAACCAAGGCUGCAUUUAAGAAUAAUCAAAUAUGAAAUAUAUCAUACCUGUGACAUUGAAUAACAUCAUUGGUUUACCAACUUUUUGUAGUAAGGGCGAUAACCCCAAUCUUGAGUAAUGAUAACUCCUUUCACACUGUGCCGGUUUAUGAUAAAACCGUAUCGGGUUUAUGAUAAACACCGGAUUAACCAUAUAUAAUACUGGUGACUUGUAGUCAAACCAGACAGGGCUGAUAGUCUCCAGAUUAUAACUUGAUUGUGUACUGACAACUUGUAGUUGAAAGCCGAGCCGGGUUGAUAAACACCGGUUUACUCCAUAAUAGGAUGGUAACAGAAAAUCAAACCGGGUAGAUAGCCUUCGGAUUAAAAAUGAACCAAAUCCGUCAGCUGAACCGGUAAAAAGGUGUUUGUUGACAUAAAAGAAAUCCAACAAAAACAAAGAACAAAACAAGCCAUGAAAAUAACAUGGAAGUAAAGGCAAUGAUAAAAACCGUUUACAAAAAUAUGCUAUACUGAGCUGAUCAGAUGGUGUUACCAUGGUCGGACAGGACCAAGCCCCCAAUAGGAGUGACAAUGAUUCAAGUCAGCCAGGUCCCCAAAUGAUUCGUGGCAUAUAUGCCAAAUCAAGAGGCGUGGCAAUGGUUCGGGUUUGACCAAGCCCCCAAGUGAUUUUGUGGCCUUAGGCCGAUCAAGAGGCGUGACUGGUUCAGACUUGACCAUGUCCCCAAGUGAUCUGGUGGCUUUCGCCUAUCAAAAGGUGUCGCGUUGGUUCGGACACGACCAAGGCCCCAAGUGAUAUAAAAAGCAAAUUUCAAGGGGUAAACCGGAGGCCGCUUUAAAAUAGAACCACUCCAUGUAACCACACAUGAUAUAAAAAGAACAGAGACCCCGCUUUAUGAAGCAGAAGCCCCCAUGUGAUCAAUAAUAUGUCAGGCCAAUAAAGGCAGGAUACCCAUGUUUGAACCGCGCAUCAUGGCAGCAGGUCCUCUUCGGCAAUUUUUAACUUUUUGCAAGAGAUAAAUUCUUCUUGAACCGGGAUCUUGAACCGGAUAUUGAGAGCUUCAAAGCUUUGUGGGAGACAUUUUCCCCUUGAGCCGGAUAUUGAACUAGAAUCCUUCUUUUUAAGCCGGAAAUUUUUCUGACGGCCUUUCAACUCGAACUUGCGAGAAGUUAAUUCCUUUUUGAACCGGACAUUGUUAAACCGGAUUUGAGCGCUUCAGAUCUUUGUGGGAGAAUAGAUUUCCCUUGAACCGGAUAUUAAACCAACAUUCUUCAUUUUGAACCGGAAAUUUUCUGACGGCCCUUAAAUUUUCCUCCAUAUAGUAGUAGCUUCCGGGACCGGGUUAUCUUUCUCUCCAGCAUCCUGGGGUUCUUGACUUCACUAACAAACCGGCAAUCUUUGCUGAGUCAUAUCAUUGUAGCCCCCGAGUCUCAAGGUGACUCGAAGAGUUGGCUUGAGAUUCUCCAUAUUUGACUGUCAUAUAAACCGGCAUAACUUGUAUAUCAUUGGUGUUGAUAGCAUGAUGUGAAUCCACAGAAGGUUGAGGUGACUACGGCGGGUUAUAAAUGAUCCCGUAUGAGCCGUGUCAGCAACUCGGCCAAUGGUUCCUUCCAACUGGUGAUUUGAAGUUAACCAAACUGUAAUGGCGGCGACUUGUGUGCCGGCCCAUUGAACCACCCAGUGCAGACUGCGGUUGAUAGUAUAUGAUAAUUUGCCUCCAUUUUGCUUGAAAGAAAACCGGGCUACCCAAGCAGUGACUUGCUCAUACUCAAUAAAUAGCUCAUGCAGACCGGUGCGGCCCGGCAUGUUGAUGUAGACCAGGCCGCGAGAGACGGACGGAAAAUACGACCGCAGCAUCAGAGAUGGCACAGACAGAUGAGUCGGCCGCGGCAUUGUAAAUCGCCACGGACGGGGAAGAUCAGCACCGGUGUCGUAAACCGGCACGGAUGGGCGAGUGAACCACAUCAUAUUGAACAAUGCGAUAUGGUUGGAUGCUGGCGCUUCAUAAUAUUGGCGCAAGCUUUAUAUCCGUGACAUAAUAAUCAUUUUUGCAGCGAAUAAUUGUCCUGCAUAAACAAUACUGCAGACCAAGUCAAAGAUAAACUGUUCUUUGAUAAAACAAUAAGUGCUAAUAAAAUAAUUUUAGAUGGAUAUCACCUGAUAUUUGGGAAUGAUAGAUGAUAGUAAUGCUCUAUAUGGUCGAGCGAGUUAAUUGCGGGCGCGGUAAACCGCGCGGACGGCGAGUCAAUCGCGGGCGCGGUCCCGGCAAGUGUAUGUAAACCGGCAUGGACGGGGGGAAUCGGCAGCGGCGUUGUAAGCCGGCGCGGACGCAUAAACCGGCCGCGAGGGCGGACGGGCGAGUCGUCUUCCAUGUUGUAAGCUGGCGCAGACACGUGAACCGGCCGCGAGGGCAGACAGGCGAGUCAUCCGUGACCUGUAUAUAACAACACUAUGGGGCAGAGUAGUUGUUUUCACAAAAAAUUAACAAGUACCGAUACAAAGUAAGCUGGAUGGAUAUCACCUGAUUUUCUUCAGGCGUCUUGUCGCAUCUGCUGAGAAGCAGACAGAAGCAGAGACCAGCAUACGCAUGUUGGUUGCAACUGGGGUGGGUCAACUAAGUCCAGCGGUGUACGCGGAAAAGAUAUCUCGCAGGCGAUUUUAAUCCGCCAAUCUGAUCCUGCGUGGUAGUCCUUUGCCCAGACAUGCAUACUCACGUGAGGCAAGCAGUUCCUACAAGCAUUAUCUCUUCCUUGUACAGAUUGCCUCCUCAAAGUUUGAGUUCAGAUUUGACUCGGUCCUGACACCAGAAAAAGUAGCAGCAGCAGAGGCGUAACCCGGCGAUUCCAGAGGGGCGUCGGCAAGACGGGCCGCGGCCAGGUAGCAGUGGCUCCCAGGGCGACGGUGGUGGAGAUCAAGCCAGAGUGGCUCGACGGGUCAACACCUGGCGGCUUGAGCAGCGCUGUAGCAGAGACCGAAACCAGCAACGGUGGCUCAGGCGACUCAGCAUGAGGGCAGCAGAAGUGACUGACGCAAACCCGCUGUAGUAUAGGUGGUUUCAAAGGCCACGGCUCACAGAGCAGCCUGGGGUGCGGCAGAAACAGGGGCGCACCUGCCUGGUCGACAGGGUGGCUGCCCUUUUGCUAUAGAUGGCGGUGACCCGCCAGUAGCGGCAGAAACGGGCAGCCGGCUUGACAUAGCCCGGCGGGGCCGGCGUAAGGCGACUCAAAGGCGGGGCCGAACCCGACGAAGCAUGGCGCGGGACCCGGCGCGGGAGGCAGUCAGCGAAGGCGCUUCAGAUGGAAACGGCCAUGGCCGGUCUUGCGAGCGGAGGUGCGGGUUGAUGUUGUGAUCCGGCGCGGCAGAACCGUGCAGGACGGCGCUGGUCAGGGCCGCGAACGUCGAAGUAGCAGUGAUUUGGCUUGACAGGAACUCCAGGCGGCGGCGUCAGGCGAGGCCAGAGAACCGGGGAGGUGGCAACUCAGCGACUUGAAGCUCAGACGGAGGAGGCGUUCGGGAUGAGGCCCGGGUGCUCUCAACUGGAAACGAGGCCAAUCCAAUGCCGCAGGGCGAAGGUGAAUCCGGCAACUCUGGGUCAAACCUGCUGCGACUCGAUGUCGGUGAAUCCGGGUCAUGGCAUCGUAACUGUCUCUGUUCCGGGUCAUGGCUCUUCUCGAGCAUUGCAUAUCAAAAAUUCCUUUUAAUACUUCUGAUCAAUUACUACACGAUUUGCUCCCUUGUGAAUAACCGUUGAUGCCCAAUAAGCAAUUGACGCUGGCUGCGGUGGAAACACUUCAGUUGAUCUCGGCAACUUGUGGCAAUAGAACGAAUCGCAACCCUAAUUUUUUCUUAAACUCAAAUCUUGUACUCCUAGAUCCAUGGUAAAUCCUGUGUGAUUGUCUCGUACCGGUUCUUCUACAUCCAGCCGAUCGCAAGCUUCUCGGUCCCUGGAAAGCUCCCUCCAAGAAAUCAACACCACCGUGCGCAGGCCCCACGGUGGGCGCCAACUGUCGUGGAAUUGUCACGUCAGAUGUCCUAGUGUAAGGACUUAGUCGCGAGGCCAACGCAUCUAUGUGGUAGCUUGAGAGGGGUUGAGCGGAAUCGAGAGACGCAACACAAGACAGGGAUUUAGACAGCUUCGGGCCCCGGGAAACAUCAUCCGGUAAAAACCCUACAUGAUGUUUGAGGCUAGGUCUCAUUAUCAUCACGAGGGAGUCGCCGUAAACCGGUUCUCCUCUUUGUGUCUAGCCCUAAGAUUGUUUCUUCUUGCUUGUAACUUGUCUAACUUCUAACUUCUAACUUGUCCCUCUUUGGGGAGCCCUGCCCCUCCUUAUAUAUGUUGAAGGGGCGGGUUACAUGUGGAGUCCUAUUAGGAUUAGGACUAGUCUAUCUCUAAUACAAACCGGAUACAAGUCCUGGUCUUAACUCCUUGUAAGGUAAAUAUUCCUCAUGCCUUUCCUCUUAAACCGGCCCACAAUAGUUGAACCGGCCUUCAUGAACCGCCAGACGGGCCACCGGGUCUUGUUGCUCCUCUGGCCCGCCUGCCGGAUUACCAAUGAGAUGUAAACCGUCUGGUCUGUGCAGGUCGCCGGUGAAUCGCCAAGUCUGGCCGGUUUAUCCUUCCGGCCGGUUUACGCCGCGGGGCAUAUCCCCGACAGAAACUGUUGAGAUCGCUUGAUUCCUCAUUUGAUACUCUGGGACUGAUGAUACAAGAAUGUGCUGACUACAAGUCGCUUGAUCCUGCUGAUAUCCUCGAAAGGCUAAACACUCACGAGUUCUAGCUUGCUGAAAAGAGAGAUCUCUAUGGUUCAAACUAUGGCAAACCACGUGCCCUGAAGGCCAAGGCUGUGUCUGACUCUGAAUAUGAGGAUUCUGGUAGUAGCCUUGGUGAUCCUGAAGAACUGAGCCAGGAUCUAGCACUGCUUGUGAAGAAAUUCCAGAAGUUCACAAGACGUGGUCGCUUUGGAAAAUCCUCAAGAGGCAAUGAUUCCUCAUCCAGUGACUAUAAGAGAAGGCUUUGCCACAAAUGCAAGAAGCCUGGUCACUAUAUUCAAGAUUGUCCUCAGUGGGAAAAGGAAAUGAAGAAGAAGAAAUACAAGGAUUACAGUUCUGAUGAUGCGAAGAAGAAGAAGAAAUUGUCAAAAUCUUCGUCAUCAAAAUCCUCGAAGUCUUCAUCUCACAAGAAGAGCAGCUCCAAGAAGGCUCGGGCAUUCAUUGGCAAGGAAAUGGACUCUGAAGCUGAAUCUGAGGAAGAUGAUGAAGAGGAGGCGUCUGAAGAAUCUGAGUCUAGUGUGGCAAGUCUGGCCGUUGCUACUGCCUUCGUCAGCAAGUCCAUCUUCAACACUGAAGAAACUGACUCCACCGACAAGCCUGAUGAAGAUAAUGAUGGCUACGCUCCCACCUAUUGCUUCAUGGAGAAAGGUGCUAAGGUACUCAAAUACAACUCCUCUGACUCUAGUGAAAAUGAAUCUGAUGAGGAUCUCAAACCCAGCUACUCUAAACUUGCUAAGAUUGCUGUGAAACAACAAUGGGCUCUUGAAAAGGUUCAAAACAUGCUAGAUAAAAGUGAUGAUAUGUUGGGUGAAUAAAUGGAUCGCACUAAAGCCUUGACUGAAAAUCUUCAGAGACUUCAGUCUAGGUUUGAUAACCUUCAAGGUCAUCAUAACGCUCUCUUGACUGAUCAUGAGAAACUUUCUUAUGAAUUUCUUCAAGAAAAGCAAGAUCACGAGAAGCUUUCUCUUGAAUCUCUUCAAAGAAAGGUAGAUCUUGAAAAGCUAAGAGUGUGUUAUGAAGAUCUUCAGAAGGAGCGCGAUUCAUUACUAGCUCAACAAAUCAGCGCUUCACAAGAAGAAUUUGUUCCCCCAUGCUUAAAGUGCAUUGAACAUGAAUCUGCUAAUUCUUCACCUGAAUGUUCAAAUGCUUCAAAUGUUACAAAUUCUUCAUCUGCCUCUGCUAUCACUAAUUCCUCACCUGAGGACAUUGCUAGUAUCACUGACAAUGCAGGGCUGAAGGAACUAUAUUGACAGGCAUGUACAAAAGCCUCAAAGGGCAUCAGACACUUUGUGAUGUGCUCAAAAAGCAGAUCCUCAACAGAAACCCUAGGAAAGAGGGUAUUGCCUUUGAGAGGAAACUCAAUGCCGAUGGAACAUAUUGGAAGCCUGAGCAGUAUCCCAAAACCUCAUGGGUUGCUGCAAAGGGACCUCCAGUUGAUCCAUCUAACUUAUCUGGCUUUACAUGUGAAUCUCCUCAUUCUUCUGAUGAGUCUUUUGACUCCAACUAUAAACUGUUCAAAAAUCAGAAUGGUGAAGUAUUUGCUAGAUAUGUUGGCACUAACUGCAGGAACGGUUUCCCUAUGAAGAAAAUCUGGGUUCCCAAAAGUUGUGUUGAAAAUCUUCAGGUGAAUGUCCUCAUGACACCACCUGUGAAGAACAGGAACCCCAGAUCAAAUUCUUCAUAUGGAUCCAAGUCCUCUUAUGGACCAAAUUCCUCAAAUGGAUCAAAGUCCUCAUAUGAUUAUCAUCGUGCUAACAACUCUGUCUCGCAGGGUAGAGCUAAGGGCUAUGAAUAUGUGCAUUAUUCUUCAAACCAUUAUGUUCAUAAGUCCUCGAAGAAUUACUCUGCUUAUUCAUAUGCUUACCCUAACCACUCUUAUGUGAAGCGAAAUGGUUUGGCAUCUUUGCCACCUUUCUCAUAUGGUGCUCGCAGAAUGAUGAACUCUUUGCCACCCCUCCAGAUGUGGGUGGUGAAGAAAAAGAACUAAUCUCUUCUGUAGGGUCAGGUCUCCAGACGUGCUCUAACGUCUGAAGAAUUUGCUGGGGACCUGACGAAAUUGCCUGAAAGGACGCAGGAAAAUCAUGAUGAAAUGAACAUUCAUUUCACACGUCCUCAUACUGCUAUAUCUGUUUACUGCUUGAUGAAAUUCAUCUGAUGAACUUGAUAUCAUAUUCUUCACCGAUGAAGCAUAUGAGAUUGUAAGCUACACUAAUUCAUCUGUAGGAUGAUCAACCCAAAACCACUGAAUGGGUCCUCGAUAGUGGAUGUACAAAUCACAUGACUGGUGACAAGAAUCUAUUGAUGGAUGCUCCCUUAUCACCGUCACCUCUGAAGCAUAUCAUCUUUGCUGACAAAGUCUUCAGACUCAAUAAGGCCGUCUAUGGCCUCAAGCAAGCCCCUCGGGCGUGGUAUGAUACAUUGAAGGAAUUCUUCGUGAAGAAUGGCUUCACACCCGGUUCACUCGACCCUACUCUUUUUACUAAAUCAUAUGAUGGUGAACUGUUUGUGUGCCAAAUAUAUGUUGAUGAUAUUAUCUUUGGCUGUACUAACCAACGUUAUAGUGAUGAAUUUGCCUAUAUGAUGAGUGAAGAAUAUCAAAUGUCUAUGAUGGGAGAGUUGAAAUUCUUCUUAGGUCUUCAAAUUCGUCAGCAGCGCAAUGGCAUAUUCAUAUCUCAGGAGAAAUACCUCAAAGAUGUACUGAGGAAAUUCGGCAUGCAAGAUUGCAAAGGCGUCAAAAUUCCUAUGCCCACAAAUGGCCAUCUAUGCACUGAUGAAAAUGGUAUUGACUUCGAUCACAAGGUAUACCGCUCCAUGAUUGGUUCUUUAUUGUACUUAUGUGCAUCUAGGCCAGAUAUAAUGCUUAGUGUUUGCAUGUGUGCCCGAUUUCAAGCUGCACCGAAGGAAUCACACCAUAAGGCUGUGAAGCAUAUUCUUCGAUAUCUAGCUCACACACCAACACUAGGAUUAUGGUACCCCAAGGGCUCUGCUUUUGAUCUCAUUGGAUAUUCUGACUCUGACUAUGCUGGUGAUCGGGUGGACUGCAAGUCAACAUCUGGCACUUGUCAUUUCCUCGGACGAUCUUUGGUCUGUUGGUCCUCGAAGAAACAGAACUGCGUAUCACUGUCUACUGCUGAAGCUGAAUACAUUGCUGCUGGCUCAUGCUGUGCUCAACUGCUUUGGAUGAAGCAAACCCUCAAGGACUAUGGUGUCAACGUGAAGAAUGUGCCUCUCCUCUGUGACAAUGAGAGUGCCAUCAAGAUUGCUCACAACCCAGUUCAGCACUCGAAGACUAAGCACAUCCAGAUUCGUCAUCAUUUUCUUCGUGAUCAUGUGUUGAAGGGCGACAUCUCCAUCGAGCAUGUGAAGACUGAAGAACAGCUAGCUGAUAUCUUCACUAAGCCCUUGGACGAGAAGAGAUUUAGCAAGUUGCGGUGUGAGAUAAAUAUCUUAGAAUCUUCGAAUGUUCUUUGAAAAGGACACACAUCCUAACCCUUAUGCAGAAUUGAUGACUUAGAUGUGCAACGCAUGAAGAAACGUUUUUCUUCAAUCAAUGAAGAAUAACACUCUAAGUGUGAAGAAAUUAAUGAAGAAUUUGAUUCUCAGAACCCUACAACAAUUGUACGCGGUGUCUGAAAUCAUCAUUCUUAUACGGUGGGUCACGCCACCACAAAAGUUGAAAAUCUUCAAUUUGAGUUUUUCCUCAUUUUUGAAAUUCUUCAAUCUUUCAAAUUCUUCAACUUUGCAAAAUCUUCACUGUUUCCGUCGUUUUUCUUCAUUGGCUNNNNNNNNNNNNNNNNNNNNNNNNNNNNNNNNNNNNNNNNNNNNNNNNNNNNNNNNNNNNNNNNNNNNNNNNNNNNNNNNNNNNNNNNNNNNNNNNNNNNNNNNNNNNNNNNNNNNNNNNNNNNNNNNNNNNNNNNNNNNNNNNNNNNNNNNNNNNNNNNNNNNNNNNNNNNNNNNNNNNNNNNNNNNNNNNNNNNNNNNNNNNNNNNNNNNNNNNNNNNNNNNNNNNNNNNNNNNNNNNNNNNNNNNNNNNNNNNNNNNNNNNNNNNNNNNNNNNNNNNNNNNNNNNNNNNNNNNNNNNNNNNNNNNNNNNNNNNNNNNNNNNNNNNNNNNNNNNNNNNNNNNNNNNNNNNNNNNNNNNNNNNNNNNNNNNNNNNNNNNNNNNNNNNNNNNNNNNNNNNNNNNNNNNNNNNNNNNNNNNNNNNNNNNNNNNNNNNNNNNNNNNNNNNNNNNNNNNNNNNNNNNNNNNNNNNNNNNNNNNNNNNNNNNNNNNNNNNNNNNNNNNNNNNNNNNNNNNNNNNNNNNNNNNNNNNNNNNNCUGCUAAGUGAAUGUGAUCGGACCCUUCCCCCCUCUAUGCUACACUCAACCCAAUCUAUUCACAAAUUCUUCAUGUGCGUUCUGAUUGAAACUCGUUCAAAGUCUUCAUUGUGUCCUUGUCAGCUGAAGAAAUUGCGAAUGAAACUUUAAAACAAAUCUUACCCAGAUUUUCGGUUUUACCGCUCAAACCGUUCUGCAUCCCACGAUACAUUAUUUUAUUCACCCACGAUCUUACACGAUCUCAUCUGCACAAUACGUGGGUGACACAUGUCGCGUGAAGAAGAAAGGGCAGGGGCAUGUUCGUCCCAAAAUCUUCGGGCGAACAGUUUUUACCGUGGCUAUAAAUACCCCUCUCCCCUUCCUUACUUCAUUUACUCCGCUCGGUCGCUGUCUCUCGCUCGAGCUCCUCAAACCCUAGCGCCGCCCCUACUCCAUCGCCGCCGGUGAGGAAGAGCUUCACUGCCUCAACCUCGUCGCCGUCGUACUCGCGCCGGCUACGGAAAUCUUCACUCUGCCGCCGCCGUAGCUGUCUCCCUCUGCCAAGUUAGGGCGUGGGAGAUCUAACUUGACGAACUUCACCACUGUUCAUCUCUGUUCGUCGUGUUCUUCAGUUCGGGUAAUUAAAUGUCAUUUUUAUUACUCGCUUUGAUUCUCAAACUUUUCUGAAAAUCUUCAAAGGUGUUUUAUUUCUUCAAAAUCUUCACAUAUGAACACCUCGCACACUGUAUGCUCUUGAUCCAUCUCUCUAAGCACUCAUUUCUUCAAGAUUCCUCAAUUGUGCGGAUUUUCAAUCUGUACAACUCUGGAACCUAAGGCAAGAACGCUUAGUGAAAUUCCUCAAGGCUCAACUGGUCAAAUUCCUCAAAACUUGUCUUUUUUUUCGAAAAAUCUUCUGAGAACGCAUAUGACCUCUCCAAAUUCCUCGCACCUACACUCUGUUCAUAGGUACUCAUGUCCGCUGCUGAAUCACUAGGUUCUCAUCAACUUAACUCAUUUGCAGCGUUCCUCGAAGAAAAACUGCAUACUUCUUUAGAGUGUUCAAUUGUUCAAAUUCCUCAUCUGAAGAAAAUGGCUGAAGGAAAGAGACCGCAGAAAGGAGGAAAGAAACCGGAGGUCAUGACUGCUUUCGAGAUCCCUGAUGAAAUAUAUAAGGAUUAUUGCACACCUGAUGAAGCCAAGUUUGGCAAAGAAAACAAGAAUCAGCGCAAAGUGCGCAUUCAGAGGAUUGAACGAAGAUGGGCACGCGAAUGGAGAGAAUAUCGAUAUGUUACUCCAAAGUACAUGAAGAAAUUCGCCUUAAAUCCUCCAUGCCCAAGAGCUCCAUUGGCACCUGGCCAAGUCGCUGAUCCCACUAGCAUCAAAAGUGGUGAAGACUUUCCUGAAGAAUGGGCUAGGCGCCAAGCAAAAUUGGCAAGACAAGCCAAGGAGGUAGUGAGGAAAUUCAAAGAGGAUUCUGCUGCCGCUGAGACCUCGGUCAAACCGAGGAAAUCAAUGCUGAAGAAGCCUGCUCGCAAGCCAAGUGCUUCACCAUCAGCGCCCUCACGGCCAAGUUCCUCCGCCGUGCCCUCACGGCAAAUUCCUCAGACUACUGCUGCUCCACCAAAGUCCUCAGCAGCUCCCUCCAAGUCCUCAACUCCUGUGCAUCUGGCUACAUGUCAAAGGACUCAGGGUUUCUCAAUUGCUUCUGGUGUCUCAGCGAGUUCCUCAGCUGCACCAAUGUCCUCAUCAGGCCCCACUCUGCUGAAGAUAAAAGCAACAGCUAGACGCGGUCCUCGGCCAAGUCCAAGAAAGAAACAGGUUGCUUUCCAAGUGCCCUCUGAUGACGAGGCUUCUGAUGAAGAACUUGCAGAAAUCAUCAGAGAUAGACAAGCAAAGGCCGCCAGAGCCAAAGGAACACCUGUGCCUCUGCUUUUGGAUCCGAAGAAGAUCCUCGACUACAUUGACUUAUGGCAUAAGGAUCCAAACACUCUAAUGCCUGAUCUGCCUCUGACUCCUGGUCAAAGUCAUAUGCUAACCCAUUUCAUCGCUCAAGAGAAAUGGAAGUUUGAAUAGGCUCGUGAGAUAAAGAGAGAACAAGCUAGAAAGGAGAAGCUUCUGAAGAAGAACGUUGUCAGACUAUCACCUGAAGAACUUCUCAAGGCUCAAUCUGAGAUCCAAGCCCUCAGCAAAGAUUUCGAUGCAUACCAUGCUGAUUGGCAAGGAGCCAAAGUGAGAUUCGUCAAUUUGACGAAGAAAAUGACAACUGUUGCAGCUCCAUCGCAACAAGAAAAUCCUCAGGCUGCAGACUCUGCUCAGCCUGCUGAAGAACAUGCCAACACUGCUGAUGACUUUCAACCUGCUGAUGAGAAUACAAGUUCCAGGGCUGAUGACUCCAUUCCAGCCGCUGAAGAAAUUCCUAGGGCAUCCACUAGUGGUGCGUCUGAAGAAACUGAAGUGAUCAGGGCAACUGCACCAGUUGCGCCUGAAGAAAAUGAACCACAGUCCUCAGCUCCACCUGCGCCAACACCAAUUCCAAUUCUUCCUUCUACUUAUGAAGUGAAGAAAACCAAGGCUGCAGAGCGAGCUGCUGUGAAGAAAAGGAAGGCAUCAGCUGCGUCAAAUUCUUCGGCCACGAAGAAAAUGAAGCCAAUGACCAGCUCGCUUGAAAAUCCCAUUGAUGUCGUUCCCAUUUCCUCCAUGUCGUCUAAGGAAAUUGUUCCUUAUGGAGAAGACUACAAGAUCCCAAGUGGAUCCGAUGAAGAAAAUCAUUCUGUUGCUACCUCAGAGCAGUUUGAUGAAGAAAUUAAAGUGGAAACAUUCCCUUCAACGCUAGUCGUUUCCUCACCGAUGCCUCAGUUCACAGCUGAAGAGGCUAGUGUUGAGGAAAUUGAAAAAGAAGACGAAGACGUGGAUAUUGGAUGCACUACACCAGUAAUGAAUGAUGACUUUUGGGAAAGUCAGCAUCCCAAUACUCCUCUCUUCACUCCUAUUCAACAAAUUCCUCAGUCCCCGGCUACUACUGUUCAAAUGGGCUCUGAAGAAACUCAUCCCACAUCGUCCGUUCAUGAAGAAAUUCCAGCCACUAGUGCUGAAGAACCUGCUGCUGCUGAUCCCCAAACUGCACAAGAAGAGGAACUAGAAAUUCCUCAGCCUGAAGCACCUGAGCUCGCGAUUCCUGAGGUUGUGCUGCAAAUCACUGACACUCCUCUGCCCAAACCGAAGAAUCCGUUCUCGAGAAAGCAAAAAUUCAAGGCUGAAGACUUCUUUUCUGAGCAUGUGUUCUUCACUGAUUACAAUCCAUAUGACUCUGCUCGCAUAAGGAAGAGACGUUUCUGGACUGCUACUCAAGCUAACUUCUAUUCCUCAGUGCUCUUUGACAAGGACAAAAUCUUCGAUCAUGAACAUAUUCCUCACGUGGAUAUGGAAUCUCUGCCGUGCUUCGAACCGGUCCUCCGAGUUAUUCACGAUGCAGGACUACUGAACUUCUGCACUGACAUCUGUGAUUGGAAUGAAGAACUCAUUCUUCAGUUCUAUGCCACUUUGCAUAUCACCGGAGAUGCUGAAGAUGUCAAUUCAUGGGUGUUGGAUUGGAUGACAGAAAACACUCACUACAAGGCACCAGCAACUGAAUUGCUUCGUGUCCUUCCUCUUGAUCCUCCCCAUGCCAGUGCACGUUGCAUCUACAAUGACCACGAACUGACAGAUCAUUAUAUGCAAGUGCUCAUGAAGCCUUUGAAGCCAGGGCAGGCCCCUCGAACCAAAUUCCUCGUCAAGGAAUUGAUGUAUGUGCCUCGGACUAUCUAUCGAAUCCUGACGAAGACAAUGAGUCCUAUCAAAGGCCACGACUCAAAUGAUGAAGAUGUUGUUGGUAUCAUGAAGAACAUGCUUUUAAACAUCAUUCAUGGCGUUCCCGUCAACUUUCAUGAUUUCUUCAUGAGGACUCUGGCUAAUGUUGCAAUGUCACCUUUUGAGCUGAAGCCCUAUGCGCCUUGGAUUAUGAGAUUCAUAAGGGCAAGAUCUUCACUGAAUUACAAGGCUGACACUCUGAACCAUGGUAGCUACUUGCCUCCCAUUGAAGUCCUCAAGCGACCAGUUUUAUCAUCUGAUGAUAAGGGCAAGGCAGCUGCUGUGAUCGAUGAAGGCACUCGCCCAUUGGAUGGUCAAUUCCGUCUAGCUACAUCUUACUCCACCAAUGACGAUUCUGCAACACAUGACACUGCCGCAAAUACCUCAGCUAAGCAAAAUCCUCAAGCAACAGCACCCAGGGUGAUGACUGACCGUGAGUUACUCCUCAGUCUUCAUUAGAAGGUUGAUCGCAAUCACAAAUGGGUGAAGCGUCAGUUUGCUGCAAUUCUUCACAACAUGAGCUCAACCCAUAAUGCAGUGAAGAAAAAUCAGUAUCACCUUCAUGAAACCCUCAACUGCACCUGGGCUAUUCUCACUCAUGUAUAUUCCGCGGAAGAACUGAAGACUAUGGGUCUCCAGGAAGCAUUUGACUGGUCUGCACCACCUCCGAAGAAAUUCAAGGGAGUCAAAGUUCUUGAUCUGGUGGCCAGUUCUUAUUCUUCAUCGCGUGAAACUGAUGAGCAUGAAGAUUUGGACGACACUGCGGCAGGCCCUACCUCAACGAACAACCCUGACAAUACUGGCGCUCCUCCAUCGACUUGAAAUUCUUCAGGGGCGUUAGUCCUCAGUUUCGAUCCUUUUGGUCAUUUGAUGACAAAGGGGGAGAAAUCUGAGUUAGUCUUCAAGCGGAUUUAUAUUAUGGGCGUUUUGUUAAGUUACAACUCUCGUUCUUCCGAAACUUUUAUUGGAUCGAGUUGUAAUCUUAAAUCCGAUGGUGCCCUAAUACUUUUGAACGGUGCAUUGUGCUCUGACUUUGAUGCACUGUGCUCUGAUACUUUUGAUGUGUUAUUUUGCAUGCUUAUUCCUUGUUAAUAUUAUUGCAUGCAUGCUGAAUCUCAUCAGGCACCAUAUUUCAUCAUGCAUUUCAAAUUCUUCAUAUUAUAUAUCAAAUGCGUGUAUGAAUUACAAGAUAUAGGGGGAGAUCUCCAUGAUUCAAUUCUUCAAAUGUGCAUUGCCUCAAAAGCAAAUUCCUCACUAUGCACACAUUCAGGGGGAGUUCUUCUAUAUAUUGCAAUCAAAUUCCUCAAUAUCAGUAUUUACACUUCAUAUGUUUAUCCCCGUUGAAAACUUAACCUAUGUUGUCAUCAAUCACCAAAAAGGGGGAGAUUGUAAGUGCAUCUAGUGCCCCUUAGUGAUUUUGGUGUAUUGAAGACUUAUAGGUUAAGUGACUGAUGCGUUUGUGAGUGUACACAGGUCUAUAAGUCUAUGAGGAGUUUGAUAUUUACAGAGAAAGUCGACCCCUAAAAAUGAAGUUCUUCAACUGAAGACUUUGAUAUUCUGAAGACUUUCUGAAGACUUUGAAAGUGAAGAAAUUGGUGUGACCUUGAAGACUUGGUAUUCAUUCGAGGAAUAUGGAGCGUGAAGACUUUUGUUUUCGUAGUUUCAUUUUCUCUUUCUUUGAGUCAUAGGAAACACCGUACUGUUAAAGGGGGUCGAGGAAAUACUAAGGAAAAAUUUCCAUGUGAUGCUCAACUCAAAAUCCUACACCUACCAAUCCCUUCGAGUGAAGCCAUUGGAAAUCUCAUACAGUUCAGUCAAUUUCUUCAGUGACAGAGACGCAGUUCUUCUGGUCACUGAGGACUUUGCUCUGACUGAGGAGUUAGGAAUUCGCCAGUGCAAAUUGCCUACACAGUGAGGAACAUGAUAGCCCUGAGGAAUUUGAGAGUCAAAUUUCCGACCGUUGCUGUGCUGCGCGCCGGCUGUCUAAAAUAUCUUAUCUACCUAACGGUCAUAUCAUUGAAGGGCAUUUAUGUCUUAUCAUGUCAGGCUGCUCCCUAGGCUAUAAAUAGCCACCCCCUACAACCACUAGUUGGUUGGCUGCUCCGAGAGAACUUGACACUUGUCAUUUGAGAGCAACCCAUCCUCCGAGGACUUUGAGCGAAAAUCAUCAAGUGAGGAAAAUCCCAAAACCAAACCCCCACAAACCCAAAGUGAUUGAGCAUCACUGAAGAAAUUGAUCCUGCGUGGAUCCGACGCUUGUUACCUUUGAAGACUGUGCUUCUUCCAGACGGUUAGGCGUCAAGGUCUAGAGCAUCCAAGAGGAAUUGUGGAUCACCGAGUGACCAAGUCUGUGAAGGUUUGGAAGUCACCUGAAGACUUACCACGAGUGAUUGGACGAGGCCUGCGUGGUCUUAGUUCAAGGAGAAUACGGUGAGGACUGGGUGUCCUGAGUUGCGGCUCAGAGACUGGGUGUCCGGGACUGUGUGUCCUCGAGUUUAAAUACUCAGCCGCUCCAACCAGACGUACAACUGAGACAGCAGUUGGAACUGGUUUACCAAAUCAUUGUCUUCACCAACUAACUAGUUCUAUUUCCUCAACUCUUUCAUUUCCUCAUUACUGUGUUGUAUGUUGUUCAUAUCUGUGCUUGAAGACUUUGACUGAAGACUUUCACAAAAUCCUCAGUUCAAUUUCUUCAGUCUGUCUGUCUUCAUCUUGUUAUCCUGUGUUUACGCUUUCUGUACUCUGUGCUAGUCUUCAUUUCAUCAUGAUGACUAUGUUUGUAUCCUAUUAUGUUUACUUCUGAGUACUCAUUCCGCUGCAAGUAGUUCUUCGCUAAGGAAUUUCCUCACCAGCAAAUUCCUCAGUGAAGAGUUCAUAAAAAUCGCCUAUUCACCCCCCCUCUAGUCGAUAUAAUGCACUUUCAAGUAGUGAUCCCACUAUUUUGGAGGAUGUUGAAUUUUAUUGUGAUGAAUACGAAAGUGGAUUUGGAAGAGUGUCAACUUUACUUAGUAAUUCCACUAUCUUGGGAGAGGUUUCAAUCGAUUAUGAUGAGAACAAAGUUGCUACUUAUGAUGAUUAUUGUGAUGAAACUUAUGCUAUAAAAAGUAGUGAGGAUUAUGUUUACAAAUCUUUUCAUGAUUAUGAUUACCCUUUUUCUGAACAUUACUCUUUUAAUGUGGAAACAAUUUUUAGUGUUCAAGUCUCUUAUGAUACUCCCACCAUUCCGAAUGAGAAGAAUUUUGCUUAUGUGGAGAGUAGUACAAAUUCUAUGCUUGUAGAUCAUGAAAGGAAUGUUUUAGGUGCUGGUUAUAUUGUUGAAUUCAUUCAUGAUGCUACUGAAAAUUAUUAUGAGGGAGGAAUAUAUGCUUGUAGGAAUUGUAAUAAUGUCAAGUUUCCUCUCUAUGUGUUGAAAAUCUUGAAGCUAUGCUUGUUUUACCUUCCUAUGAUAGUUGAUUAUUGUUCCCAUAAGUUGAUUGCGUGAGUGUUAACAAUUAUAGGAGACUACGAGAUAGUUGAGUAUAUGAGCUUGAUGAUAAGUUCUAUUAUUGACUCUUUCUGAUGUUACGAUAAAUUGCAAUUGCUUCAAUGACUGAGAUUAUAGUUUGUUAGUUCCCAAUGAAGUUUUUGAACCAUACUUGACAUUGUGAAUUACUUAUUACUUGAGCAUAGGAAAUCAUAUGACAAAAUAUAUUUAUGUUGAUGUUAUUAGAAUGAUCAUGAUGCCCUCAUGUCCGUAUUUUAUUUUUAUCGACACCUCUAUCUCUAAACAUGUGGACAUAAUUUUCGAUUUCAGCUUCCGCUUGAGGACAAGCGAGGUCUAAGCUUGGGGGAGUUGAUACGUCCAUUUUGCAUCAUGCUUUUAUAUCAAUAUUUAUUGCAUUAUGGGCUGUUAUUACACAUUAUAUCUCAAUACUUAUGCCUAUUCUCUCUUAUUUUACAAGGUUUACCAUGAAGAGGGGGAAUGUCGGCAGCUGGAAUUCUGACUGGAAGAGGAGCAAACGUUGGAAACCUAUUCUGCACAACUCCAAAAGGCCUGAAACUCCAUGAAACAACUUUUUGGAUUCAUUAAGAAUUUAUGAGCGAAAGAAAUAGGCCAGGGGGCCCAUACCCUGUCCAGAAGACAGGGGGCACGCCCCCCCCUAUAGGGCGCGGCCCCCUAUCUCCUGGACCCCCUGGUGGGCCUCCGGCGUCCAUCUUCUGCUAUAUCAUCACUUUUCCCCUGGAAAAAAUCGUGGGCAAGCUUACGGGACGAAACUCCGCCGCCACGAGGCGGAACCUUGGCGGAAUCGAUCUAGGGCUCUGGCGGAGUUGUUCUGCCGGGGACACUUCCCUCCGGGAGGGGGAAAUCAUCACCAACGUCAUCACCAACGAUCCUCUCAUCGGGAGGGGGUCAAUCUCCAUCAACAUCUUCACCAGCACCAUCUCCUCUCAAAACCCUAGUUCAUCUCUUGUAUCCAAUCUUGUAUCAAAACCACAAAUUGGUACCUGUGGGUUGCUAGUAGUGUUGAUUACUCCUUGUAGUUUAUGCUAAUUGGUUUACUUGGUGGAAGAUCAUAUGUUCAGAUCCUUUAUGCAUAUUAUUACUCCUCUGAUUAUGAACAUGAAUAUGCUUUGUGAGUAGUUACAUUUGUUCCUGAGGACAUGGGUGAAGUCUCGUAUUAGUAGUCAUGUGAAUUUGGUAUUCGUUCGAUAUUUUGAUGAGAUGUAUGUUGUCUUUUCCUCUAGUGGUGUUAUGUGAAGGUCGACUACAUGACACUUCACCAUUAUUUGGGCCUAGAGGAAGGCAUGGGGAAGUAAUAAGUAGAUGAUGGGUUGCUAGAGUGACAGAAGCUUAAACCCUAGUUUAUGUGUUGCUUUGUUAGGGGUUGAUAUGGACCCAUAUGUUUAAUGAUGUGGUUAGGUUUACCUUAAUACUCCUUUUUGUAGUUGCAGAUGCUUGCAAUAGGGGUUAAUCAUAAGUGGGAUGCUUGUCCAAGUUAGGGAAGUACCCAAGUACCGGUCCACCCACAUAUCAAAUUAUCAAAGUACCGAACGCGAAUCUUAUGAACGUGAUGAAAACUAGCUUGAUGAUAAUUCCCAAUGUGUCCUCGGGAGCUCCUUCUUCAUUAUUAGAAUUUGUCCAGGCUUAUCCUUUGCUACAUAAAGGAUUGGGCCACCUUGCUGCACUUUAUUUACUUUAUUUAGUUUUUUCUCGUUACCAUUUAUCUUAUUACAAAACUAUCUAUUACCUACAAUUUCAGUGCUUGCAGAGAAAACCUUACUGAAAACCGCUUAUCAUUUCCUUCUGCUCCUCGUUGGGUUCGACACUCUUACUUAUCGAAAGGACUAGAUAGAUCCCCUACACUUGUGGGUCAUCAUGGGCCCCUCAAGGCUCCCCCGACUGACUUCUUUCGCCAAUAUAAGCCUACUUACCCUAAAAACAUCGAAAGAGAAGAUAGAUCGGGAGUUCCGCUGCCACAAGCCUCUGUAGCCACCAAAAACCUCUCAGGAGCCCGUUCUGGCACCCUGCCGGAGGGGGGGAUCCCUCACUGGUGGCCAUCUUCAUCAUCCCGGCGCUAUCCAUGACGAGGAGGGAGUAGUUCACCCUCAGGGCUGAGGGUAUGUACCAAUAGCUAUGUGUUUGAUCUCUCUCUCUCUCUCGUGUUCUCUCUUUUGCACAAUUUUGAUGUAUCGCGAGCUUUGCUAUUAUAGUUGGAUCUUAUGAUGUUUCUCCCCCUCUACUCCCUUCUGAUGAAUUGAGUUUUCCCUUUGAAGUUAUCUUAUUGGAUUGAGUCUUUAAUGAUUUGAGAACACUUGAUGUAUGUCUUGCCGUGUUUAUCUAUGGUGACAAUAGGAUUUCACGUGCCACUUGAUGUAUGUUUUGGUGACCAACUUGCGGGUUCCGUCCAUGAACCUAUGCAUAGGGGUUGGCACAUGUUUUCGUCUUGACUCUCCGGUAGAAGCUUAGGGGCACUCUUUGAAGUACUUUGUGUUGGUUGGAUGAAUCUGAGAUUGUGUGAUGCAUAUCGUAUAAUCAUGCCCACGGAUACUUGAGGUAACAAUGGAGUAUCUAUGUGACAUUAGGGUUUUGGUUGAUUUGUGUCUUAAGGUGUUAUUCUAGUAUGAACUCUUGAAUAGAUCGAUCCGAAAGAAUAACUUUGAGGUGGUUUCGUACCCUACCAUAAUCUCUUCGUUUGUUCUCCGCUAUUAGUGGCUUUGGAGGGACUCUUUGUUGCAUGUUGAGGGAUUGUUAUAUGAUCUAUCUAUGUUAUUAUUGUUGAGAGAACUUGCACUAGUGAAAGUAUGAAGCCUAUGCCUUGUUUCCUACCAUUGCAAUACCAUUUACGCUCACUUUUAUCAUUAGUUACCUUGCUGUUUUUUAUAUUUUCAGAUUACAAAUACCUAUAUCUACUAUCUAUAUUGCACUUGUAUCACCAUCUCUUUGCCGAACUAGUGCACCUAUACAAUUUACCAUUGUAUUGGGUGUGUUGGGGACACAAGAGACUCUUUGUUAUUUGGUUGUAGGGUUGUUUGAGAGAGACCAUCUUCAUCCUACGCCUCCCACGGAUUGAUAAACCUUAGGUCAUCCACUUGAGGGAAAUUUGCUACUGUCCUACAAACCUGUGCACUUGCAGGCCCAACAACGUCUACAAGAAGAAGGUUGUGUAGUAGACAUCAAGCUAUUUUCUGGCGCCGUUGCCGAGGAGAUGAGUGCUUGAAGGUAUAUCUUUAGAUCUUGCAAUCGAAUCUUUCUGUUUCUUGUUUUAUCACAAGUUUAAUUUUUAAAAGAAAACUAAAAAAAUGGAAUUGAGUUUGUCUCAUACGCUUCAUCUUUUUAAUAUCUUUCGUGAGUAUGAUGGAAAGGAAAAUUGUGCUCAAGUGCUAGAAGAAGAAUGCAUUAAAAUGCUUGGUACUAAAUCUUUGAAUGAUGAGCAUGAUUGCAAUGUUGUUAGUAUGAACUCUUUGAAUAUCCAUAGUACUAAUGAUGAUUGCACUAGUUAUGAUGAAAAUGUCUCUUAUAAGAAUGUUGAUUUUUGUGGAGUAGAAUGGGUUUGCAUGGACACACCAAAUAGAGAAAAUAGAUAUUGCAAGAGGCAUAAGUAUUUAAAAACUAAAGGUUUGCAAGAAAGUCUUGAUGAUUGUGCUGAAAGAUUCAAUAUUUUUCGUGCCCCUUGUGAACUUUGCAACGAACGUGGUCAUUUAAAUCUCCAAUGCAAAUUUUUUCAUGAUCGAAUCGUGUCCAAAAAUUGUGAUAACUUACCCUUGGGCAUCAUAAAGAGCUUAGUCUUCUUUUGGGGUAUGAAGAAAUGAAACGCAUAACUGAGGGUAUUCCAAAAUUUAAUCUUGAUAGAUUUCUUGAUUUUGAUCUAGAGGAUAUUUAUAUGUUUUGUGCAGUGAAUUGCAUUGAAAAUCCUUAUAUUGCCAAUUACCUAAAGAAAAGAAAGAAAAAAGAAGACGAUGAGAAUACUAAUGAAAGGUAAGAGACCUCCCAAUCUCCUCCUAUUAUUUCUUAUGAUGAAUCAGGUAACGAGGAGGAGCUUUCUAUUCAACCAAUCUCGUCAAUAAGGAGCUCGAAGACGAAGGUUGAACCCACACAUAAUGUGAAGAAGAAAAAGAAAAGAAGGAGCAACAAAGGUAGAAAGGUAUCCCUCCCAAAUGAUGUUGCUCCUACUACUCAUUGUGAUGAUGAUAAUUGCUAUACUAUUGGUUCUAUCCAUAUUUUUAAUGAUGAGAGUGAUUAUGCUUAUGAUAUGAAAGGGCCCAAGCUUGGGGAAGAUAUGUUUGAUGAGGAUGAAAUAUUUGAGAAUAUAUUUGCUGAAAUUAAUGUUUGUCCCAAGCUUGGGGAUGCUAUGUUUAAUGAAGAUGAUAUUUUUAGCAUCCCAAGUUUUGAUAUGCAAACUUGUUAUGAUGAUAGCAUGCCUCUUACCUAUGAUGAUUAUAUUGAUGAAAGUGGGUUUGGAAGAGUGUCAACUUUAGGAAGUAGUGAUACCACUAUUUUGGAGGAUGUUGAAUUUUAUUGUGAUUUGGAAGAGUGUCAACUUUAUUUAGUGAUUCCACUAUCUUGGGAGAGGUUUUAAUCGAUUAUGAUGAGAACGAAGUUGCUACUUAUGAUGAUUAUUGUGAUGAAACUUAUGCUAUAAAAAGUAGUGAUGAUUAUAUUUAAAAAUCUUGUCAUGAUUAUGAUUACCCUUUUUCUGAACAUUACUCUUUUAAUGUGGAAACAAUUUUUAGUGUUCAUGUCUCUUAUGAUACUCCCACCAUUCCGAAUGAGAAGAAUUUUGCUUAUGUGGAGAGUAGUACAAAUUCUAUGCUUGUAGAUCAUGAAAGGAAUGUUUUAGGUGCUGGUUAUAUUGUUGAAUUCAUUCAUGAUGCUACUGAAAAUUAUUAUGAGGGAGGAAUAUAUGCUUGUAGGAAUUGCAAUAAUGUCAAGUUUUCUCUCUAUGUGUUGAAAAUCUUGAAGCUAUGCUUGUUUUACCUUCCUAUGCUAGUUGAUUAUUGUUCCCAUAAGUUGUUUGCUCACAAAAUCCCUAUGCAUAGGAAGUGGGUUAGGCUUAAAUGUUCUAGUCAUAUGCUUCAUGAUGCUUCCGUUUUGUUUCAAUUGUUAUCUUUUAUGUGAGCAUCAUUGUCAUCAUCAUGCCUAGCUAGAAAGGCAUUAAAGAAAAGCGCUUGUUGGGAGACAACCCAAUACUUAUCCUUAUUGUUUUUGUUUGUCCACAUGAUUAUGUUACUGUAAUAAUCAUGUUGUAUAGCUUUUGUUUCAAUAAAGUGCCAAGUAAGACCUUUAGGAUAGCUUACGGUGAUAGUUGUGUUGAUCCUGCUGAAAAUCAGAAACUUUUGCACCCAGUAAAUUCGUUUUGUUAAUUCACAGAAAAGUGAUUAUGAUCUGAUUAUUUUUUCUCUGGAUUGGUACACAAAUUUCUUAGGACUUCCUAAUUUGGUAGGAUUUUUGGAGUUCCAGAAGUAUACGUUUGAUACAGAUUACUGCAGACUGUUCUGUUUUUGACAGAUUCUAUUUUCUAUGUGUUGUUUGCUUAUUUUGAUGAAUCUAUGGCUAGUAUUAAGUGGUAUGAACCAUAGAUAAGUUGGAGUACAGUAGAUAUUACACCAAUAUGAAUUUAGAAUGAGUUCAUUACAGUACCUAAGUGGUGGUUUUAUUUACUUAUACUAACGGAGCUUACAAGUUUUCUGUUGAGUUUUGUGUUGUGAAGUUUUCAAGUUUUGGGUAAAGAUUCGAUGGACUAUGGAAUAAGGAGUGGCAAGAGCCUAAGCUUGGGGAUUCCCAAGGCACCCCAAGGUAAUAUUCAAGGACAACCAAGAGCCUAAGCUUGGGGAUGCCCCGGAAGGCAUCCCCUCUUUCCUCUUCGUUCAUCGGUAACUUUACUUGGAGCUAUAUUUUUAUUCACCACAUGAUAUGUGUUUUGCUUGGAGCGUCAUUUUAUUUUGUUAGUAUUUUCUUGCUGUUAUUUAGAAUAAUGUUUUGCAUCUUUAUUUUCAAUAAAAAUGUCAAGGAUAGCCUUUACCAUGCUUAUUUUGCUAGUAUACAUGUUGCUGUUUGAAAACAGAAAGUUUACCGCUGUUGCAAAAAUUCCCUAGAAAAGUCAGAGCAUGAUAUAAUGUUGAAACCUUUUGCAUAAUGAGAUAUGAUAAAUAUUCUACAGCUUAGUAUUUUUCCCAUAAGUUUUAGAGUUAUAGAAGUAUGAUGAAUCUUGCAUUCUUUACAGACUAUACUGUUUUGGCAGAUUGCUGUUAUGGUUGCAUUGUUUGCAUAUGUUUGCUUGUUUAAUGAUUCUAUUUGAGGAUAGGAGUGUUAAAUAUGCAGAGGAAUUUAGUAUGAAAUGUUGAAUAAUAAUAGUGAUUUUUUACAGUAGAGAAUGAUAAGGUUUUGCAUUGGUUUAUACUAACCUAUCUCACGAGUUCUUGUUGAGUUUGGUGUGGAUGAAGCUUUUUGAUAAAAAGAGAAACCACGAUAUGAGAGGAGUUAAGGAGACACAAAAGUUCAAGCUUGGGGAUGCCCAAGGCACCCCAAGAUAAUAUUUCAAGAAGUCUCAAGCAUCUAAGCUUGGGGAUGCCCCGGUAGGCAUCCCACCUUUCUUCUUCAACAACUAUCGGUUAGUAUCGGUUGAGCCUAAGUUUUUGCUUCUUCACAUGAGUUGUGAUAUCCUUGCAAUGUAAUUUUAUUUUGUUUUGCUUGCUGUUUGAAUACAAUACCAAGAUCUGAAAUUCUUUAAUGAGAGAGAGUCUUCACAUAGUUGCAUAAUUAUUUAGCUACUCAUUGUUCUUCACUUAUAUCUUUUUGGAGUAGUUUUUCAUUUACUCGUGUGCUUCACUUAUAUCCUAUGAGUAAAUUGUUGAAUGAGUUGAUUGUCAUAAAUCUGAAAUUAUAUAUGUCUCAUUUGCUUAUCCCAUGGGGAGUAAUGACUUCACAUCUAAGAAGUAUAGGUUGUAAAUUUAUUGAAGGUUAGCAAGCAUUGUAUUGGUUAUUUGAACAAUUCAUGAAAGAAUAUUGAAGGAAGAUAGAUUUCAUAUAUAAAUAUACUAUCGUAGAGAUCUUUUAUAAUUGGGAGCACUCAUUAAGUAUGACAUGCUAAAGAGUUGAUGUUGGACAAGGAAGACAAUGUAAUGGGUUAUGAUUUCCGACAUCUCAGUUAAAGUAUAUUGUCAUGGAUCAUUCAAACAUGUUGUGCUUGCCUUUACCCCUCAUGCUAGCCAAAAUUCCUUGCACCAAGUAGAGAUACUACUUGUGCUUCCAAAUAUCCUUAAACCAAGUUUUGCCAUGAGAGUCCACCAUACCUACCUAUGGAUUGAGUAAGAUCCUUCAAGUAAGUUGUCAUCGGUGCAAGCAAUAAAAAUUGCUCUCUAAAUAUGUAUGAUAUUUUGGUGUGAAGAAAAUAGCUUUAUACGAUCUCUUGUUAUGGAAGCAAUAAAAGCGACGGACUGCAUAAUAAGGGUCCAUAUACAAGUGGCAAUAUAAAAUGACGUUCAUUCACAUUAAGAUUUUGUGCAUCCAACCCUAAAAUCACAUGACAACCUCUGCUUCCCUCUGCGAAGGGCCUAUCUUUUACUUUAUGUCUUUUACCUUUAUGCAAGAGUCAAGGUGAUAUUCACCUUUCCCUUUUUCAUUUUAUCAUUUGGCAAGCACUUUGUGUUGGGGUGAUCCUGAUAUAUAUAUCCAAUUGGAUGUAAGUUAGCAUGAACUAUUAUUGUUGACAUCACCCAAAGGUGAUUACGUUGGGAGGCAACACUAUAAGCCCCUAUCUUUCUCAGUGUCCGACUGAAACUCCAUAACCAUUAGUAUUGAGUGAGUGUUAGCAAUUGUAGAAGACUAUAUGAUAGUUGAGUAUGUGGAGUUUGCUAUUCCUGAAAAUAAGAUGAAUUGCAAUUGUUUGAUGACUGAGAAUGAAGUUUGCUAGUUUUCAAGAAAGUUUAUGGUCUAUGCUUUGACAUGUGAAUUGCUUGUUACUUUAUCGUGAGAAGUUUUAUGAGAUGAACUACUGUUAUGACAUGUUAUCAUGCUAGAAAAGGUGAUUGAAAUUAUCAUUGAUCAAACUUGUGCACCUUCUUUGCAUUCACACUUCAUAAAUUAUUUCUUUUAUCAUUUACCUACUCGAGGACGAGUAGGAAUUAAGCUUGGGGAUGCUGAUACGUCUCCAACGUAUCUAUAAUUUAUGAAGCAUUCAUGCUAUAUUACUAUGUGUUUUGAAUGAUUACGGGCUUUAUUAUACACUUUUAUAUUACUUUUGGGACUAACCUAUUAACCGGAGGCCCAGCCCAUAUUGUUGUUUUAUUGCCUGUUUUGGUAUUUCGAAGGAAAGGAAUAUCAAACAGAGUCCAAACGGAAUGAAACCUUCGGCAACGUGAUUUUUUGGAAGAUUAUCAUCCUGGAGACUUGGAGGUCAAGUCAGAAGAUACUCGAGGAGCCCAGGAGAUAGGGACCCCCCUACAGGGCGCGCCCCCCGUCUCGUGGACCCCUCGAGCACCCCCCGACCGACUUCUUUCGCCUAUAUAACCCUACAUACCCUAAAACCAUCGAAUAUCAAGAUAGAUCGGGAGUUCCGCCGCCGCAAGCCUCUGUAGCCACCAAAAACCUCUCGGGAGUCUGUUCCGGCACCCUGCCGGAGGGGGAAUCCAUCACCGGUGGCCAUCUUCAUCAUCCCGACACUCUCCAUGACGAGGAAGGAAUAGUUCACCCUCAAGGCUGAGGGUAUGUACCGGUAGCUAUGUGUUUGAUCUCUCUCUCUCAUGUUCUCUNNNNNNNNNNNNNNNNNNNNNNNNNNNNNNNNNNNNNNNNNNNNNNNNNNNNNNNNNNNNNNNNNNNNNNNNNNNNNNNNNNNNNNNNNNNNNNNNNNNNNNNNNNNNNNNNNNNNNNNNNNNNNNNNNNNNNNNNNNNNNNNNNNNNNNNNNNNNNNNNNNNNNNNNNNNNNNNNNNNNNNNNNNNNNNNNNNNNNNNNNNNNNNNNNNNNNNNNNNNNNNNNNNNNNNNNNNNNNNNNNNNNNNNNNNNNNNNNNNNNNNNNNNNNNNNNNNNNNNNNNNNNNNNNNNNNNNNNNNNNNNNNNNNNNNNNNNNNNNNNNNNNNNNNNNNNNNNNNNNNNNNNNNNNNNNNNNNNNNNNNNNNNNNNNNNNNNNNNNNNNNNNNNNNNNNNNNNNNNNNNNNNNNNNNNGAAUUGAGUUUCCCUCUUGAAGUUAUCUUAUUGGAUUGAGUCUUUAUUUGAGAACACUUGAUGUAUGUCUUGCCGUGUUUAUCUGUGGUGACAAUGGGAUAUCACGUGCCACUUGAUGUAUGUUUUGGUGACCAACUUGCGGGUUCCGCCCAUGAACCUAUGCAUAGGGGUUGGCACACGUUUUCUUGACUCUCCGGUAGAAACUUUGGAGCACUCUUUGAAGUACUUUGUGUUGGUUGGAUGAAUUUGAGAUUGUGUGAUGCAUAUUGUAUAAUCAUGCCCACGGAUACUUGAGGUGACAAUGGAGUAUCUAGGUGACAUUAGGGUUUUGGUUGAUUUGUGUCUUAAGGUGUUAUUCUAGUACGAACUCUUUUAUAGAUCGAUCCGAAAGAAUAACUUUGAGGUGGUUUCGUACCCUACCAUAAUCUCAACGUUUGUUCUCCGCUAUUAGUGGCUUUGGUGUGACUCUUUGUUGCAUGUUUAGGGCUUGUUAUAUGAUCUAUCUAUGUUAUUAUUGUUGAGAGAACUUGCACUAGUGAAAGUAUGAACCCUAGGCCUUGUUUCCUAUCAUUGCAAUACCGUUUACGCUCAUUUUUAUCAUUAGUUACCUUGCUGUUUUUAUUAUUUCAGAUUACAAAAACCUUUAUCUACUAUCCAUAUUGCACUUGUAUCACCAUCUCUUCACCGAACUAGUGCACCUAUACAAUUUACCAUUGUACUGGGUGUGUUGGGGACACAAGAGACUCUUUGUUAUUUGGUUGCAGGGUUGUUUGAGAGAGACCAUCUUCAUCCUACGCCUCCCACGGAUUGAUAAACCUUAGGUCAUCCACUUGAGGGAAAUUUGCUACUAUCCUACAAACCUGUGCACUUGCAGGCCCAACAACGCCUACAAGAAGAAGGUUGUGUAGUAGACAUCACGUACCACAGAAAAAUCCCACUCCAGCAAAAAGUACAGGAAGUCCACCGGCCAAAGACCUAUCCCAACUGCAGAGACAACCAAUUCCUGCAGAUUGGAACCCCAUUCCAGUUAUUCCCAGUUUAAAAGACAAUGCUUUCAAUGUUGUUAGGGACUACAUGCAUAUAUUCCCAUCAUGGGAAGAUUAUAGUGAAGACAAACACCAUUUUCACAUCUUCCUGUCCCACUUACGUGUAAGUGCUAUUAUUCAUGGUGAUUAUUUUCCUGUUUUCUGCUGAUUGAACACAUCAAUGAUUUACAUUGCAUUGUUGUAAGUAGGCGAGGGUCAAUAUGGAUGGUCAUGACGAGCAAAGCUUGCUUGCGCUUUUCAAGGAAGCAUUGCAGCAGUAUCGGUGCUACCUGAGGAAAUCACACUUUGAUGGCAAAUCUAUAAACAAAUUUCCGGUGAAGUCUCCUGUGCUAAAUUUAGAAGACAUUGAAUGGAAAACCUUGUUAUGCACUGGUCUCGUUCCGAGGAUGAGGUACUGUCUAUGAUAUCGCAUGACAAUUUGAACUUCUUCUUUUCCGCAUGUGCCUUACGGAUCUUUUUUGCAGGAAAUCUGCUCGAAAAAUAAUUCCGGUUUGAAAAGAACGACAAGAUAUCGCAAAUAUGCUGCCCGCUGCUUUGCUCUUGUUAGUACCUAUUGUCAUGUAUCACUAUACUUGCAUAUAUACCUGGUUCAUUAUGUGACAGCAGUAUGCAUGAUAGCUUUCUUAUCAAUUGUUCGCUCCAAAUUAUCUAAUCUGUAUGAAUGGUUACAUUAGUGUAGAAUAUAUCCAAUGCCAAUGAAAUUUUUUAGCUCUGCAUUGUUCUUGUAAGUACUUUUGUCCUUUAUCAGUGUACUUAUAUUGACAUGUAGUUGUUCAUGUACCAUCACUCUGCAGCUUAUUUUCCUUUGCCCUCCAUUUUUUACACAUCAGAUCUAUAUUUACUCUUACCAUAAGGUUGGAUAACACCGAUGGUACUGAAGAAGUUCUGCUCUGCAUUGCUCUUGGUUGUACCUUUUGCCUGUAUUGUUGUACUUACAUUUAUAGCUACUUGGUUAUGUAGCAUCACUCUUCAUCUUAUCUUAAAUAUUCUCCAUUUUUUUCUUAUAUUGUCACAUCUAUAUUUACUCUUAACAAAAUGUAGAAUAAAAGAAAUGCUUAUGAAGAAGAUUCUGUGGUAAACUUCUUGAAUUGCCCCCCCCCCCAUCAGAAUGGAUAAGGGCUUUAUAGAGCCUACCUUCACCAAUAAUGUAAGUUUGUCCUUCUCAAGCCUUCAAACUUUGUUGUGUAUAUUUUGUUAGGCAUGACUGCAACAACUGUUUAUUUUUGGUGUUUGCAUCAAAUUGCAUGUUUAAAGUUUAUUAUGUAGUUCAUAAACAAAAGUUUGUCCUUCUCAAUUUAAGUUUUCAGUUGUACAACCAAGUUCCUUCUUCAUGCCAUGUAAAUUAAACUAUACAGAGCAAGUGAUCUUAUUUUUCUAAUCUGAAAUGGGUAAAUUGAUAGCACACUUACCAUUGAUACUUAUGAGUUCUUGAUCUAUAAUCUAGUGGUGUCGUGAAGCUGCCAACUCCUUCACAAUGUCAUUUCCUGCCAUGUCUUGAGCUGAACAAUACCAUAUUGUGUUAAUGCUAUUUUAAACUGUGUCACUUUAUUCGUCAGUAAGAAAUGUGAUGAAUUGUUAGCACUGAUACUUAUAUGUGCAAAACAUGUCAUCUGUCUGCUCGUUUAUCUUUCAGAGUGAGGAGGAUAUAAGUGUCAAACAAGUGCAGUCUCAUCAGCUUGCUCAGUUGCUUGCGCUGCAGCUUCCGAGCAGGGCUAACCUUUCUUGAACUCUAUUGAAGUGCUGUCGGUUUUGUAUAUUAUUUUGUCGGCAUGUUUAAUUGCACUGGUGGCGAUCUUUGAUGCCCAGUGUAUGUAAUCUGUUGUCUGCUUCUGCUUUAUUAUCAUAGUGGCGAACUUUGAUGCCCAGUGGAUGUAAUAUGCCGUAAUUUCUUUAUUGUAUAGUCUAGGUUUUUUUCUUAUUCACGAUGCUGCAGUUAUUUUACUGUAUAUAUAUCAUGUCUUUGAAGUAAACCGGCCAAACCAUAAAAUUACAUUACAUAAUCGGGCCGUCAUGCAAAUCACUAUGUAUGAUCCGCAUCAUGGACCCCGUCAUCUUGGUCCGUUAACAGGCCUAAAUGUAAACUGUCCCACUAGUAGAUUCGGGCCUUUAAUAGGCUGAGUAAACCGCCGACCCUAUUUUCCCAGGAAAACUCAAUGGGCUUUUAGGAGGCCGAAAAGUAGGUUGGGCCUGAAACGUGCCGAAUAGCUCACAGGCCGACAACAGGCCGAAAUAGACCCCGGCCCAUGAUUGUGCCAAUCAAAUCAUGGGCUUAUAACAGGCCAAAAUUGUCUCGGUCCUUGUUUGGCCCAAUCAGAUUAUUGGCUGUGAGUAGGCCGGAUGCAAACAGGGCCGUAGUUAGGCCCAACUAUAUGACGGGCUUUUAACAGGCCGAAAUAUAUAUAGGGACGAAAUGUUAAAUGGGCCUAUAACAGGCCGAAACUAAUAUUAGGCCGAAUUACUAAAUGGCCCUUUAUCAAGUGGGCCCAAAAGCAUAGCGUCCAGUUGACGGGUCGAAUCUGAUAUGGGCCAUAAUUUAGCCCAAAGCCUCUCAAAGGGCCGGACCUGAUCUGGGCCGUAAUUUGGCCCAGAACGUGGGAGGCUUUUAACGGGCCGGAUCUCAUAUGGGCCUUUAUUAGGCUCAGAACAUGACAUGCUGUUAAUGGACCGGAUCAAAUAUGGGCCGGCAUUUGGCCCAAAACAUGGCAGACUGUUAAUGGGCCAGCCUACUAGUGUCAUCAAAAUCUUUUGGGCCUUCAGCUGGGCCGGCCCAUUAUGGGCGGCUGAAUCUCAUGGGCCUUUAGUUGGGUCGGCCCAUUAUGGUCCACAAAGUCUUGGGGCAUUUCGCUGGGCCGGCCCAUUAUGGCCCGCAAAAUCUCAUGGGCCUUUAGCUGGGCCGGCCCAUUAUGGCCCGCAAAAACUUGUGGGCCUUUAGCUGGGCCGCCCCAUUAUGGCCCGCAAAAUCUCGUGGGCCUUUUGCUGGGCUGGCCCAUUAUGGACCGCAAAAUCUUGUGGCCCUUUAGUUGGGCCGGCCCAUUUAAACUUUAUGGGCCACUUUUGGGCCGGUCCAUGUGUCAACAUUUCAUAAGCGCAUCUCGGCCAUUGGAUGAGUGACACAUGUGCCAAUGGGGAGAUGACACGUGUCUCCUCCAGCCAAUGAUGAUUUUACACGUGGAAAAUCCCCAUUGGUCCGGGCUGUUAACGGGAAACGGGACCUGAUAGCUUAACGGUGUUCCGUUACGGUGGAUGCCACGUGUCGGUCACCCUUGACGAAAGCACUUCUGUGACACGCGAUUUAUCGUCAUGGAAGUGGACACUUCUGUGAUGAUAAUUUUGGUAAUGUCAUGGAACACUUCUACGACAACAUAGGUAUGACUUUCUUGAUUCUAUCAUAAAAUCAUCAUGGAUGUACAUGCAUGACAAAAAACGCGACCUACUAUGACAAACACAUAUCAUCACGAAAGUGUAUUUUUUGUAGUGGGACCCGCUUGAAUACUAUCAACUCAUAUGAUUCUCCCCCUUUUGUCAGUAAGGACCAAAAAGGCUUGAAGACAUAGAGCCUCUACUCGUUUCCAUGAGGAGUAGGUGAAGCAGCAGGGUCGACGUUGAGGUUCGGUGGUGCAGACAAACUUGGUGCAGUGUCGAUACGUGCCGAAGUUGGAGGUGGUGAAGUAGCAUCAUCAUCGUCAUCAAUGACCCUGGCAUUAACAGUUGGCGCGGAGGAGUACUCAGAAUCUUCGAGUGAUGGAGUCUGACACAAGACAACGUUCCUGGGAGGAGUGGUAUCAAAUUUGAAUCUCUCUGUGAAGCCAUCGUUUUGAAGAUCAGCUUCAGCACUGAGCAAUGUCAGACUCUUCCAUGACCUCCGACAUGUUUCAUGAGUGACAAACGCAUUCUUGGUGGCAAGAUUUUGAAUGCGAUUAACAUCCACCAAGAGGCUUUGCAUCUAACGAUUUAGCCAGUUAUGGUGCUUAUCAUGUUUUUGAUGCAGGGCGACGAGAAGCUCUCGGUCAUUGAGAACACGAUAUCUCUUCCGAGGCCUUUGAGCAAUUGUGCUUUCAGUGGCUUCAGUAUAGGCACGAUGAGGUGCACGUGUAUGUCCAGCCAGAGGAUAAACAUGAGUUGUAGCAAGAACUCCUUCAAUGGGCUGAGUGAAGCUUUGGUGAUCGGUGUUGUGAAGAUAAAUUGGCUCCUUGGCAGGCUCUGGGUAUAUGUCUUCGACAGACAUAUCAACCUCUGGCAAGAAUAUCAGAUGCAUCGGUUGCGCGCAAACGGCUGAUAGUUGACAGCAGAAUGAAGCUUGAUGAGGCGCAUAACCCAUGGAGCAUAAAACUUCAGACCAAAUAAAUCAGAGCCAGAUGCAGCCAAUUGCCUGAUGAAGAAGUCUUGAGCAUUGAAGCUGAUGCCAUUGAGGAUAUAGAAAACCAAUGUCUUCAUUGAGCCUUCAAUCUUUGCUAAAGAAGAAUGUCCUUUGACAGGCCAUAGAGUUCGCCUUAUAAUAUGAUAGAUUGUGUGGGGCAGAUAUUCUAGGUCUUCAACAAAGAAUUCCUUUGGAUAUUCAGCGUCUUGUGGCAGUGGCUUCAUCAUGCUCAGCAUUUGGCUCAUAUUAGGCUCAGGCUUCUAAAAGAUGCUCUCCAAAGCAUUGCGGUGAAGCUGACAACCAGGCUCGUAAAGUUCACCUGGAGUGGGCAGGCUAGUAAGCUCAAUGAUGUCAAGAGCUUUGGCUUCAUGAUGUACAUUGCCUGUCAUCCACUCAAGGACCCAUGUCUUUGGAUCCCUGUUGUAGCGGUGAAUGUGAAGAGUUGCAUAGAAUUGCAGCAGAAGUUCUUCAUUCCAAUUUUCUUUAUCAUUCACAAACUGGAAAAGACCUGCAUCUCUGAAAUAGUCGAGGGCUUCUUCUAAGCAAGGCAGGCCCACAAUGGCUUCGCAGUCUAGACGCAUAUGGGGAAAGAUGCGCCCCUGAUUGUAUAGUAUGCAUGAAUAGUAACUGCACUUUGGAUAACUCCAAAAUCGAUCAGAUGAUAUUCUUGGCUUGGAAUAUGGGUUCUUGGCGCUGUCAAAGAAGGUGUUGUGUGCUAUGAAGCCAUUAGCGUUGAAUGAUCCUGGCGCAGAUGCAGUACCUGGGAACCUUGGCAGCCUUGGUUUUGGCUUCUGAACCUGAGGCCUGUGCUCCACAUGAUAAUCAAACUAAGGUCCGGGAGCAGGCAGAGGAACCAGAAUGGGCCAUCUUACAGUGACAAACUCGCCUUGAUAAAAUGCUUGCUCAAUGGUGUGUGGACUUGGAGGCGGUAUAGGAGCAGUGGCAUUGACAAGGGCUUCAGGCUGCACAUUGGUGGCAGGUGCAUCAUUGGCUUCAGGCACCACGUUCACUGUAGGCACCACAUUAGCUUCAGCCAUAAUGAUGUCAUUGGCUUCAGUAGUGUUGUUGGUGGCCACCUCAGUAUUUUCAACCUCCACUUGAGUAGUUGGAGGGUUCGACACAUUCUCCUCGAGAACAUCUUCUUGGUUGGUAGGGGGUGUGGCAACAUGUUCUUCUUCUUCUUCACGGGUUUCUUGUUGUUCUGCGGCUGAUGCAGCCGGUGUAUCUUCAGCAGCUUUGGCUUCAUAUUCAGAGACAUUCACAGUGGGAGUGGCUUCAGGAAACACUUGUCAUGUAAUUGAGUUAUCUUGCACAUCACCUUCUGGAACGCUCGAUGGAGCAACUUGUGGCCUUGGUCCUUUGCGAAGCCUGUGAAAUGCGGGCGACGCUUUUGGGGAGGGAGUUGGCUAGACCACAUAGUCGUCAUCGUCAAGUACUGGAUUGGUGACUUGAGGUGGGGGAGUACUUGGUGAGCUUCGACUUUGAGUUUCUUGUUGUGGGCGAUCAGCCCAUGAAGCAUCCUGAGUGAUUGGCGUCAAAGGACGACCAAUGCUGAUGAGUUCGCUGUUCGUGAGAACAGGCGAUGAUACCAUUUGGCGCUCGAUCUGAGGAAGGACUUCAUCAUCAUCUACAUUGUCUUGGGGACCAAUGUCUUCAGCUGUGAUGGGAUCAACAGCUGGAAUUUCUUUAGCUUCAGGAGCCUCUGUGGAAGCAAGCUCGUGAACUAUCAACUGAUGCUCUUGGUGUUCGGAUGCAGGACGAGCAAACGAGAUGGGCUCGACAACGAGGGGCUCUGUGGGAGCAACCAGGUCUUUCUUCUUUGUCUUUCUCUUCUUGGUUGGUGGAGCAUCGUCAAUGGUGUUCUUGGACUUGCGCUUUCUGGCUUCGGCUUCAGCUGCCCUUAUUUUCUUCAGUUCCAAAGCCGUUGUGGGGACCUUAGGCUUCGAGCUUGUCAUGCUGGCAGGGAAGACAAUGCGAGGUUCUUCCCGCCCUGAUGCUUCAGCUUGUGCCACAGCAGGCUUCUUCUUCUUGGCAGCCAUCUUGGGGUCCAUGCCAGGACGCCCAAGUGCCUUGCGCUUCUCAGCUUCAUUGUAAGCUUGAACACAAUUGCAGCGAGGUUUUUCAUGCGCUCGCGUGAACCUUUGGCCUCUUCACAUUUCUUGCGAAAUGCCUCCUUGAGGUCAUGCAACAUCAGCUUGAAGUUUUGAACAUCAGCCACACUGAGCUUGGCCAUGUGAUUCUUGAACUGGGCUUUCUCAUAGUCAAUUUUGUUCUUCAGUUCAACAAUUUUCUGAGCCAGAACUAGAUCAGGAGCAAUGGCGCCUUGGAAGGCGACGCUGAUGCCAAUUGGGAGCUGAAGAUCAUCAAAACUGAGGUUUGGGUUGUCAAACCACUCAUCAAUGAAAUUGUUCAGAAUGUUCACAUCGAAAAGGGGCAGAUCAUUGAAGAUCUCCGCCUCUUGCUUGCUCUUAAUCAGCUGCUCAAGGGCAUCAUCACCACACUCAUCAUCAGUUGACAGAUCAAUAGCUUCAUUCUCAUUUUGCGGCACGGCAGCUGGGGUCAGUGCUUGACCAGAACUCUUGAAUAUUUUCUUCUGGGGCUUCUCUUUCCUCUUGGAGACUCGAGAUAGACCUUCAGAAUUGAUACUUGGUGCAUGAGGAGCAGUUGCCAAUGGCUUCACACGUGAAGCUUUUGGUGCAACAGAAGGUUUUGAAGCCUUAGUUUUCUUCUGCUUUUGUGCCUUAGGAGGAGCUGGCGCUUCAUCAGAAUCUGUGUCAUCAGCUGAGUGAUCCACAUUAGCCCCUUGAACUAUAAUGUGAGUGAUGAGGCCUUCGAGGUUGUAGAAGGGGGCGAUUUUGUUUUCAUUGGCUUCACGGGUGCCAUCAUCCCGAGGAGCAGACGGACCGGAGUUGAAGUCAAGUCCAAAUGCCUUCUUGUUCUUCACAGCAAAAUCUUUGGCAAACUUGAAGUUGCGCUUGAACAGAUUGUCUUCGCGACACCAUAGAAGAGAAGAUGGGUCAGCAUUCUCUGGUUGUGGUCUGCGAACCAUGCACGGGUAGAAGCCUUGAUCAAUAGCUUCAGACAAGGACUAGGGUUGAAGAUUUUUGUAUAAUAUAUCUCCCCAGGGCUGCUUGAUGGCAUUCUUCUCAGCAUACUCGGCCGUGACAAAUCUGUACCUGUACCACUCUUCAGCCCUAUAUCUUCAAAUCCACUGGAUUCGAGUUUUGCGUUCACCAUAAGUUUCUUCAGGGUCUGUCUUGUAGAUUUCAUGCAGAUCUGGUGGCAAAUCUUUGGAUGUAUUCCCAUGGUGUUGUCUGCCGCCCUUUCUAGCUAACUUUUCAGUUGCCAUGAAGCUUAAACUGAAUGGCUUCAGAACUUGCAAAGGCUUCUGAUGGCUGGUCAGACAAGAAUUGGCUUCAGGAGAAUUUAUGUGACUCUGUAAGAAUUUUGCAAAUGAAUGCAGACUAUGAGAACCAAGGGAUUCUCCCACAGACAUGUACCUGUGACAGCAUUAGAGGUGCGAGGGAAGGGGAAGAGGUCAUAUGCAUUCUUAGAAGAUUUUGAAGAUAAAUCAGUUUGAAGACAUUGACCUCAUAAUGCGAAGACAUUCACUUAUUUGUUGUGAGUUGGUUCUAGAUUUGUACGAAUCCAAGAAUAGGUACAAGUGAGGAAUCUAACUUGUAGUGAAACAUAAGUGAAUAGACUAGGCAUAAUAUGAGAUGCAGAACAGGAUAGAUUCAGCUUUGGAAGCAUAGAAACCACUUUUGUUAGAGAAGGAUGAAUCUAUCAGAUCAAAAAGACAGUAAAAGUAAGUUUUAAUUACCACUCGAAGAACUGCUAGACAGAACGGAGUUGGGGGCCGAGCAGUUCAAUCUCCCGUGCCCUAACUUGGCAACGGAAGACACCUACGACGGCGGUAGAGAAGACGAGGUCUGCGGCCAGCGUGAGGACGGCGUCGGUGAGGUCGCGGCAGUUAAGCGCUUCAUCGCCGGCGUCGUCGAGAGCUAGCGGUGGUGCUAGGGUUUGUGCGAGGUGGCGAGGUGGGAGAAGGAUUUUGACCGCGAUGUGAUGUGUAUUUAUAAGGAAAGGGACGACACAACACAAUUACUCAGGUGCCCCUGGCGGUUCACAUCUGAUGAACACGUGGCAAACAUGCAACACAUUGGAAGUUGUUCCAUGUUCCCACGCACGCCUGGAUUGUCGGGUGGUCGUUCCGGCUUCUCCGGUUUUCAGGCAAUAAGGAUGCAGCAUUAAAAACAGAUUAAAUGUUUGUCAGAUUGACUUCAGCUGACAAGGACUCAAUGAAGGCAAUCGACAGGUUUCAAUAGAAUGCAUAUGAUUUGGACAGAUAGAGUUGAGGUAGAAGCAUAGAACAGGUUAGGGUCCGAUCACAUUCACUUAGAUCAAAAGAUUCAAGCAAGAAGUCAUAGCUAUAAGUGAAUGUUGUAGAGGAUAGAACACAAAUAUGUAUAUAUCCUAGUAUAAGACUAAGUUAACAAGGUGAAGAUAAUCAUGAACUUAAAUCAAAGAUGAAGACAAAUCAAAUGUGAAGACUUUGCAAUUAUAACGCCAAGAAAUACUUCAAACAAAAGUUUGGUGGUGGCGUUACCCACCGUAUAGGAAGUAUUAGACCUAGACACGGCGCACAAUUAUUGUGGCGCUCCGAAGUCGAAUUCCACAUUAAUGUAUUCACACUCGGAGUGUAUGUCUUCAUUGAUUGAAGAUAUACAUUACUUUGUGUGUUGCACAUCUAAGUAAUCAAUAUGCAUAAGUGUUAGGAUGUGUGUCCAAUCACAGGACAUUUGAGGAUUCCAAGAUAUUUAGCUCACACCGCAACCUGCAAAACCUUUUCUCAUCCGAGGCUUUGUGAAUAUAUCUGCCAAUUGCUCUUUAGUGUUGACGUGAAUGAUAUCACUAUCAUCCUUCAUGACAUGAUCUCUGAGAAAGUGACGACAAAUUUCAAUGUGGUUUGUCUUCGAGUGCUGAACUGGGUUGUUGGCAAUCUUGAUGGCGCUUUCAUUGUCGCAGUAGAGUGGCACAUGCUUCAAGUGAACACCAUAGUCCUUGAGAGUUUGCUUCCUCCAGAGAAGCUGAGCACGGCAAGAUCCAGCAGCAAUGUAUUCAGAUUCAGCAGUGGAGAGAGAUACAUAGUUCUGCUUCCUUGAAGACCAACAGACAAGUGAUCGUCCCAGAAAGUGACAUGUGCCUGAUGUGGACUUGCGAUCAACCCUGUCACCAGCAUAAUCAGCAUAUGAGAAUCCAACUAGGUAAAACUCUGAGCCCUUUGGAUACCAUAAUCCUAGUGUUGGGGUGUAAGCCAAAUAUCAAUGAAUUCGCUUCAUAGCUAAGUGAUGCGAUUCCUUCGGUGCUGCUUGGAAUCGGGCACACAUGCAAACACUAAGCAUUAUAUCUGGCCUAGAUGCACAUAAGUAAAGUAAAGAACCAAUCAUGGAGCAGUAUGCCUUUUGAUCUAACUCUUUACCAUUGCCGUCGGGACUCAGAUGACUUUUGCUUGGCAUUGGCGUCAUGUAUCCUUUGCAGUCUUGCAUACCAAACUUCUUCAGGCAAUCUUUGAGGUAUUUUUAUUGAGAUAUGAAGAUGUCGUUGCGUUGCUGACGGAUUUGGAGACCCAAGAAGAACUUCAGCUCGCCCAUCAUGGACAUCUGAUAUUGCUCUUGCAUCAUGUGACCAAACUCAUCACUGUAUUUCUUGUCAGUGCAGCCAAAGAUAAUGUCAUCCACAUAGAUUUGGCACACAAAUAGUUCACCAUCAUAUGUCUUCGUGAAGAGUGUAGGAUCCAGUGAACCGGGUUUGAAGCCUUUGCUCUUCAGGAAGUCUUUGAGCGUGUCAUACCACGCACGAGGGGCUUGUUUGAGGCCAUACAAUGCCUUGUUGAGCUUGUAUACCAUAUCAUGAUGUUUUGGAUCUUCAAAGCCAGGAGGUUGUGCAACAUAUACUUCUUCUUCAAUCUUUCCAUUGAGAAAAGCACUCUUCACAUCCAUUUGAUACAGAAGGAUGUUGUGAUGAUUUGCAUAGGCUAGCAGUAUGCGAAUGGCUUCAAGCCUAGCCACCUGAGCAAAUGUUUCAUCAAAGUCAAUCCCUUCAACUUGAGUGUAUCCUUGAGCAACGAUACGAGCCUCGUUUCUAACAACUUGACCAUGCUCAUCUUGCUUGUUGUGAUAUAUCCAUUUGGUGCCAAUGAUAUUGUGCCUAUGAGGAUCAGGACACUUGACCAAUUCCCACACAUUGUUCAGCUCGAACUAUUGAAGCUCUUCUUGCAUAGCUUGAAUCCAUUCAUGUUCCAUGAAGGCUCAACAACUUUCUUGGGUUCAGAGAUUGAGACAAUGCAAAAUGCCCACAGAAAUUUGCUAGCUGUGUUGCUCUUGAACGAGUGAGUGGACCAGGUGCAUUGAUGCUAUCUAUUAUCCUCUCAAUCUGUACUUCAUUUGCAACACGAGGAUGAACUGGAUGAAGAUUUUGCUCUUGCUGAUCAAUGUCAUCAUUUGGAGGGUUGUCUUCAAGAUGAGCAUUGUCUUUAGGUUGAUUAGGUGCAGAAAUGAUAAGUUCCUCUUCAGUCUGAGCCUCAGAAGGUAUGAUCUCUCCAGUUCCCAUUUGCUUGAUUGAUUCACUAGGAGGUACUUCAUCUAGCACUUUUGGUAGGUGCUCUCUUUGCGAGCCGUUAGUCUCAUCAAACCGCACAUCCACAGUUUCAACCACUUUACAGUGAAAGAGGUUGAAGACUCUGUAGGAGUGCGAAUCCUUUCCAUAACCAAGCAUAAAACCUUCAUGUGCUUUCGGUGCAAAUUUUGAAGUGUGAUGUGGAUCCUUGAUCCAGCACCUAGCACCAAAUACUCUGAAGUAACUGACAUUUGGCUUCUUACCAGUUAUGAGUUCAUAGGAUGUCUUCUUCAGAAGCUUGUGAAGAUAAACACGGUUGAUGAUGUGGCAUGCAGUAUCAAUGGCCUCAGGCCAGAACUUCCUUGGAGUCUUGUACUCAUCAAGCAUCAUUCGAGCCAUCUCGAUAAGGGUUCUAUUCUUGCGCUCCAUGAUGCCAUUCUGUUGAGGUGUGUACGGAGAAGAGAACUCAUGAGUGAUGCCCAAAGUAUCCAGAUAAAGGUUGAGACCAGUGUUCUUGAACUCUAUGCUGUUGUCACUUCUGAUAUGCUUGAUCUUGAUGCCAUAGUUCAUGAAAGUGCUAGUAUCGACUAGAGGGGGGGUGAAUAGGCGAUUUUUAUGAAAGUCUUCAAAACUUGGAAGUUUCGAAGACAAACAACAGAAACAACCUAAUUGAUAUGCAGCGGAAGAUAAACUACCCUAAACAAGCCAUAGUCAAGUAUGUAAUGAUAUGAAAGUACAGGACUAAUAGCAGUUAGGUAGUAAGGAUCAAGAUGGAAGAUAGUAUGAAGCCAAUCAACAAUAGUAGUCAAGCAAUGAAGUCAAACAGAUAAAUAGAUAGGCAAUGACUUCACGAAGACAAACUUAAGUAAGGUUGGAAGGGAUAGAACCAGUUGCUUGUUGAAGACACAGGAUUUGUUGGACCAGUUCCAGUUGCUGUGACAAUUGUACGUCUGAUUAGGGAGGCUAAGAUUUAACUCAAAAGACCGUUGUCGGUGUCAAAACCGGCGGAUCUCGGGUAGGGGGUCCCGAACUGUGCGUCUAGGCAGAUGGUAACAGGAGACGAGGGACACGAUGUUUUACCCAGGUUCGGGCCCUCUCGAUGGAGGUAAAACCCUACGUCCUGCUUGAUUAAUAUUGAUGAUAUGGGUAGUACAAGAGUGGAUCUACCACGAGAUCAAGGAGGCUAAACCCUAGAAGCUAGCCUAUGGUAUGAUUGUUGUAAUGUACGUUGUGUCCUGCGGACUAAAGCCCUCCGGUUUAUAUAGACACCGGAGGAGGCUAGGGUUACACAGAGUCGGUUACAAUGGUAGGAGAUCUACAUAUCUGUAUUGCCAAGCUUGCCUUCCACGCCAAGGAAAGUCCCAUCCGGACACGGGACGGAGUCUUCAAUCUUGUAUCUUCGUAGUCUUGGAGUCCGACGGACGAUGAUAGUCCGGCUGUCCGGACACCCCCUAGUCCAGGACUCCCUCAGUAGCCCCUGAACCAGGCUUCAAUGACGAUAAGUCCGGCGCGCAUAAUGUUCGGCAUUGCAAGGCGGGUUCCUCCCUUGAAUAAUCCAGAGAAGAUCAUGAACACCAGGAUAGUGUCCGGCUCUGCAAAAUAAAUUCCACAUUCCAUCGUAGAGAGAAUAAAAUGUACACCAGUCCAAUCUGCUGACGUAUUAUGCGGCGUGACAUCACACCGCUACCAAGCCUUUGUUUGAAUCGUUUUUUACUAUACCACCUCAGCACGUUUAGCGAAGCAGUUUCCUUGGCACGUCUUGUCGAAGCAGAGAUCGUGUUCCCCUUAUUCCGGGAUUCUCAUCAAUACGGACGUGGGUAACCCAACCGCGCCAUUGAUGGUGGCGCUUGGGAGAUAAGCGAGUUUUAUCAGGCCAGCGAGACACAUAGUUUUCGUCCGCCUAUAUAUAAGGGAUAAGGAUUUACCUUCUCACCUACUCCUUCUUCCUCCUUUGCUUAUCCAUCUCCGCGUACUCAAGCUCCAACGCCCAAGCUCGCGCAUCUUGCCCUAACCUUCUCCGAAUAUGUCCGGAGCGGGAGGCAAAUGGUUGGCCUCCACCGUUAAGGAGGAGCACAUCACCAAACUGUGCAGCGCCGGAUAUCUUUCCGGCGAUAUCGCGCAUCGGCUGCCCGACGAGGGGCAGCUCGUCCCUACCCCUGGGCCUCACGAGAGGGUCGUCUUUGUUCCCCACUUCCUCCGCGGACUAGGCUUUCCGCUCCAUCCAUUCGUCCGGGGGCUCAUGUUCUAUUACGGCCUGGAUUUCCACGAUUUGGCGCCGAACUUCAUCCUCAACAUCUUGGCGUUCAUCGUCGUGUGCGAGGCCUUCCUCUGCAUCCGGCCCCACUUCGGCCCGUGGCUCAAGACCUUCAACGUCAAGCCGAAGGUUGUGAAGGGCACGCAAGCGGAAUGCGGAGGCGCCAUGUUGGGUAAGUUGCCCAACGUCCUCUGGCUCGAAGGGGCUUUCGUGGACUCCGUCAAGGGGUGGCAAUCAGGGUGGUUCUACAUCACCGAGCCGCGCAAGCCCACAUGGGCGGCGGCCCCCGAGUUUAGAUCUGAUGUCCCCACGCAGCUCACCUCCUGGAAAGAGAAGGGCUUGUUGUGGGGCAAUUCGAAGGAGCUGACGGGACUCCGAGCCUGCAUCCAGAAGCUGGUGAGCGGAAAGCUCAGGCUCGUCGACGUGGUCCAAGUCAUGCUCAUCCGCCGGAUUCUCCCAUGCCAAGAACGGGCAUUCAAUCUGUGGGAGUUCAAUCCGGAACAGCACCAGGCGCUAAGCGGGCUCUUCGAUACGACAUACGAAGGUGCCUGGAGGGUGCUGUUUAAGGGCGCCGAAGCCCCCGUAUCUGCGACAGAAGAUCGCAGAUUUCGCUCGCAGCAUCCGGCUGACGAGGUAAGUGAUUCAACCCCUUUACGGGACACUUGUGGUAAUCAAAUUGAUUCUAGAGGGGUUUCAUUCUGUCUCUUCCUUUGACAGGAAUGGAUGGAGAAGGCCAAGCUGCUUAUCAGCCCGGCUCCCAUGCCAGAAGACCCAGUGGACGCCUGUUUAGCAGGGCUGCUGGUUCCGGCACCGCACGUGGUGCUGGAGAAGAAGGCCAAGAAGGUGGCCGCGGGGACUCGAAAGAGUUCCCGCAAUCAGGCGUCUGACGACGAGGCGUACUCCUCCCCCGAAGACGAGGAGGAGGAGGAGUACUCUCUCCCGGAGGAGGGAGAGAAGAAGAGGAAGGCUUCCCCAAUAGGGGAGGCCGAAGGGUCCAAGAGGGGGAGGACUAUUCCCUCGGACAGUUUCGCCAACACCACCAUUGGCGAGGAUGAGUGGCCUCCAAGGGCCAGUCCGGCAAGAUCGUAAGUAUCCGGAUCCUUUAUAUGCAAUUUCUUUCGUGUCACGCAGUGUCCUUAAUGCCGCAUUCUGUCCGUAGUCCGGCCGAUGACGAUCUCCCCGACUCAUCGAGCGGGUCGUUGGCCCCGUCGGAUGUGGAUUCACUUCCGACUGCCUCUACCCCACGCGCCGAUGAGGACGCCGAGGUGGAAUCCCAGAGAGGGACCCAUCAGGAGGAGGCUCCGGAGGCGCCGUCAGGCAGCCUCCCGGACUUUGCGCCGGACUCUACAUCGGAACCCGCAGUGGUUCCAGAGUCCGGCAAGCGGCCCCUUCGAAAGAAGGGCAAGACCGUGACACCGGCGGCCUCCGUCCAACCGGAGGCGCCGGAUAACUUGUUGGAGGCGCUUAAAGGCGCUUCCAUCGAGGAAGAACACCGCACUAUCAUGGGUGCGGUGAUUCAAAAGGUUCAGCUCGCCAAAAGCGGGUUGACCGAAGCCUGCAGCAGCCUUCUAACAGGCUUUGAGGUAAGAAGUUAAAAUUAUGUAAUGUAAUACCGCAUAGACAGUAGCCCCUGAUGCUCAGUUCGGUGUUCGGAAAGAAAAGCCGGACUGAGGAUCUAACAAGAUAUGUGCAGGGUUGCUUAACAUAUGUCAAUAUGGGUUUCAAGGCUGCGCUGCUGACCUCUACUGCACUAACGGUGGAGGUCAAUGUGCUAAAGCAGGAUAUCGAGCGAUCCGAGCGAGAGCUCGGCCAUGCGAAGAAGCAGCUCGAGGACAAAGAAGGUGAGUAACACCACUUUGAAUAGUUACCUUACAAAAAAGGAUUUUGGUUGCAAUAAAGUUAACAGGGAUAAUAUGUGUAUUGCAGGGGCCACUAACGAGGUGGCAGCCCUGAAGGAGGCUGUGUCCGCGGCCGAACGCAGUGCGGCCGCGGAACGGGCAGAAAGAGAAAAGCGGGAGGCACGGGUGGCGGAAGUACGGCAAGAGCUCCAGGCUCUCAUGGAGAAACAUGAGAGUUUGGAGCGUGACUCCAAGACUCGAGAGUCCGAGCUUGCCUCGGCUCUCGAAAGUGCCAAGUCCACCAAGGCCGAGGCCCAUAAGGCCCUUUAGGAGGUUGAAGAUAUAAAGAAGAUAGCGGCGGGUAAGGCAUUUUUCAUGCAAAGCAGGCAUGUUAAUGUAAACUACCUGACACUUACCCGCAUUCGGAGCUCUCCAGGGGCGUUUGCAGAUCUUCCGCGUAGUGCGUCUGAUGCCGCCGCAUUCUAUCGUGGCGAGGAGUGGAGCUCGACGGAGAAGGUCUUCUGGUCUCAGUACGCUGAGGCCGGCCAUCCGGUGCCCCCAAGCGACCAGCUGAAGCAGCUGGUCGAACUCCACAAGGUAGCUGAGGAGGCCAUGAAGGGCCUUAUAGUCCGGCUGUGGCCUGAAUAGGUCAUGCCCGGCAGCUACUUUGGCCUCGUGCGGCGGCUGGUGGAUGCAUGCCCCUGGGUGCAUGUCAUCAAGCGCUCCGCCUGUAUUGAAGGUGCUCGUCGGGCCCUUGCCCGCACAAAGGUGCAAUGGGGCAGGUUGGAUGCGGAGAAGCUUCUCACGGACCCGCCGCCACCAGGCAAGGAGUAUCGCACGCCCGAAAUGUACUAUAAAACUGUCCUGAAGGGAGCCCGCGAUAUUGCGGAUGAGUGCCCCAGAAAUGUAAUCUUUGAGUGAAUUUGCUAUGUAUUAUCCUGUGCGCUAAAACUGUGUUCAUAUGCGCUUUGAGCAACGCUUUUUUAAUUUAAAAUAUUACCUUCUGUGCGGCCGUUUAUAAAAUCUGAGAGAUGGCAAGUCGUUGGCUUCAGCCCCCAAGCCACGAGUGCUGGGGUGUUCGGGAUAAACUUGAGCACUCUUGUUCCCAUUGUUGGGUCCAUCGAGGGAGGCGCUCAACACAACGAACAAGGCAACCGGACUUAUAAUGCUUGAACACUCUCACUUAGCCAUAGAAUUCUAUAAUUUUAAAUUUCGGCGAAGCCCCUGGUAUUCGGAAGACCGAAUCCGGGGUGCUAUCCACGCCUUCGUCGGACAUUGUCCGAAACUUCGCUCGAAGCGGCGUGAGUCUUUAAGGACCCGAAAAAACCUCUCGAACAGCGACCAGUCUCUCGCCUUAUCAUGCCGGUCAGUUUUAGCUUUCUCCACUGAGGCGCUCGCCCGGCUCAACCGGGGCGCAAUCGCAGUGGUUCUCCCAGUGCCACCUUAGUCGACGGAAUGGAACGUAAGGCACCAAAAUGUGGGAGCCGGGCAAACCCAACUAUUGACCCAAGACAUGAUUCGGAGCCGAUUCAUAUAAUGCUAUAAGUUCGGGGUGCUGCACUUAUGAAAGUGUUCGGACUUAUCACACCAUAGAGUGGGGAACAUAAGCCCCUGGCGUAUUAGGCCGUACCAAAAUAUACGGCCGCAAGAUGUCAUAUAAUGAGCAUAUAUAUAUAUAUAUAUAUAUAUAUAUAUAUAUAUAUAUAUAUAUAUAAGAUAAUGCAAUUGCAAUCAAAAAGGUGCUGCAUUAUUUAUGAAAGAAAGUCUGCUAGGAGAGCGGACUGAUACAAAUAGUGCGGUAAGCAAGGGAUUUGGACUAAGUAAACAUGUCCCCCUCCAAGGGUGAGCUGCGGACUUGGUGUAUAUAAUCGAAUUUAAUUCUCGUAAUUGAGACCACCUGAGUGUUCGUCGCAGCCUUCUUUAGUCCCUGACUGUUGCAUCAUGAGUUCGGCAGGUUCCCCGUCGGACAGGGCUUCUGGUUAACGGAGUCCUGUGUACAUAAAAGAAGGAAAAAAAGGGGGGGCACACUUGCGAGCCCCCGGUGUGGUCGAACCGCACUCUGGGUCCGUUGCGAUCGUGCCCCCUCCCCUGUGCCCAUGGUAUCUCCAAAGCGUAAUGAUGUACGUGAAGCGUUAUUAUCGCGAUCAUGCGCGGGCGAGGGUUGGGGCCGCAUUGCUACGCAUGCUCUGAUCGCGCCAGGUGGUCUUGGUUGGUAUUGCUUCGGGCGCGUUUUGUUGUAUCCGGCUGUUUAACGGUCGGACUGGAGAAUUGCCUUAAGAGGCUACUCUGUACUUCUGCCGCGAGAGCCGCUGUAUGUUCCUCCGUUCGGAGGGAGCGUUCCGUAUUCCCAUUGACCGUGAUGACUCCACGAGGGCCUAGCAUCUUGAGCUUUAGGUAUGCAUAAUGCGGCACCGCGUUGAAUUUUGCAAACGUGGUUCGUCCGAGCAGAGCAUGAUAGCCGCUGCGAAACGGGACUAUGUCAAAGAUUAACUCUUCGCUCCGGAAAUUAUCCGGGGAUCCGAAGACCACUUCCAGUGUGACUGAGCCUGUACAGUUGGCUUCCACUCCUGGUAUGACACCUUUAAAGGUUGUCUUUGUAGGUUUAAUCCUUGAUGGGUCUAUGCCCAUUUUGCGCACUGUAUCCUGAUAAAGCAGGUUCAGGCUACUGCCGCCGUCCAUCAGGACUCUCGUGAGGUGAAAUCCAUCGACGAUUGGGUCUAAAACCAAUGCGGCGAAUCCGCCAUGGCGUAUGCCGGUCGGAUGGUCUCUUCGAUCGAAAGUGAUCGGACAAGAGGACCAUGGAUUGAACUUUGGGGCGACUGGCUCCAUCGCAUAGACGUCCCUUAGUGCGUGUUUCCUCUCCCUCUUGGGUAUAUGGGUCACGUAUAUCAUAUUCACCGUCCGUACUUGUGGGGGAAAACCCUUCUGUCCUCUAUUGUUCGGCGGUCGGGUCUCUUCCUCGUCGUCGCUAUUUAGCCCCUUGUCAUUGUUUUCGGCAAUUAACUUGCCGGCCUGCUUGAACACCCAGCAAUCUCUAUUAGUGUGGUUAGCUGGCUUUUCAGAGGUGCCAUGUACCUGGCAUAAGCGGUCGAGUAUUCGGUCCAGAUUGGACGGACCCGGAGUGGUUCUUUUGAAUGGCUUCUUCCGCUGACCGGGUUUAGAGCCUCGGAAUCCGGCGUUGACUGCCGUAUCCUCCUUAUCGUUGCCGUUAAUGCGGCGUUUGUUUUUGUUUCGACGUGACCUGCCGUUGUUGUCCUUAGUAUCCGGACUGCCAGAAUUUUUACGGAGAUUGUUGCUGCGAGCUAGCCAGCUGUCCUCUCCCGUGCAAAAGCGGGUCAUUAACGAUGUGAGGGCUGCCAUGGAUUUCGGCUUUUCCUGCCCCAGGUGCCGGGCUAGCCAUUCGUCCCGGAUGUUAUGUUUGAAGGCUGCAAGGGCCUCUGCGUCCGGACAGUCGAUGAUUUGAUUUUUCUUCGUCAAGAACCGUGUCCAGAAUUGUCUGGCCGAUUCGUCUGGCUGCUGAAUGAUGUGGCUUAGGUCAUCGGCGUCUGGUGGUCGCACAUGCGUGCCUUGGAAGUUAUCAAGGAAUGCAGCCUCCAGGUCUUCGCAACAUCCAAUUGACUCUGCGGGCAAGCUGUUAAGCCAAUGCCGAGCUGGUCCUUUAAGCUUGAGUGGGAGAUACUUGAUGGCGUGGAGGUCGUCGUUGCGGGCCAUAUGGAUGUGGAGAAGAUAAUCUUCUAUCCAAACCGCGGGGUCUGUUGUGCCAUCGUAGGAUUCAAUGUUUACGGGUUUAAACCCUUUCGAGAUUUGAUGAUCCAUUACUUCGUCAGUGAAGCAUAGCGGGUGUGCGGCGCCUCUGUAUUGAGCAAUAUAGCGGUGCAGCUCGAGAGAGCGCUGUCUGCUGUGCUCGGCCCGGCUGGGGUUAUUGUAUCCGGCGCGACGGUAUUCGUCGUGGGUCGUGGGGCGCCCACGUGAUCCGUAGAUGGAUCUGGAUUGUCUUGCUUUGUCCUCCAAUAUGUCUCGCAAGUUCGGCGCGUUCCCUCUUGGCUUCGUACUUUUGGAGCGAUGCCGGGGUACGGUCUUGGCUGGGGGCCUGGAUGCCUCUCUGUCACGACCACGGGGCGGUCGGUCAGCCAUAUCGUGCGCUGGUGAUGGAGGUAUGUAUGCUUCCUCCUCUAAUUGGGGGAGCAGCUUGCAUCUUGGGUAGCUUUUGGAGGGGCGUUCGAGUUUAUACUCUUCGGCCACGAGGACCUCGGUCCAUCGAUCGGCCAGCAGGUCCUGAUCAGCUUGAAGCUGUUGCUGCUUUUUAUUUAGGUUGUUUGCUGUGGCGAUAAGCCUGCGCUUGAAACGCUCUUGUUCGACGGGAUCCUCAGGUACGACGAAUUCGUCAUCGUUGAGGCUUGCUUCGUCUUCGGAGGGAGGCAUAUAGUUAUGAUCCUCAACCUCUUCGUCUGCCGCCCUCUUGUGAGGGCUUGCUUCUACAUCCUCCUGCGCUGAGUCUUGCUAGAGGGGAUUGUCUUCGGCACUCUCUGGGGUAUUAUUAUCUCCUGUGCCGGAAUCUCCAUUCUUGUUGUGGCGGGAUUUAGAGCGGCGCCGCUGACGCCGGCGCUUGGGCUGUUUCUUUAAAGGAUCUGCCUCCGCUGUUUCUUCGCUGUCCCCAUCUUUUGGGGUAUCCACCAUGUAUAUGUCAUAUGGCGAGGUGGUCUUCCAGUGCCCUGUAGGGGCUGGUUCCUGUUCGUCUCCGGCAUCAUCGUCCAUAGCGUCGAUGUCUUCGGAGUCGUAGUCUAGCAUGUCGGUUAGAUCGUCGACAGUGGCUACAAAGUGGGUGGUGGGUGGGCUCUGAAUUUCUUCGUCGUCCGCAUCCCAACCAUCCUGGCCAUAGUCCGGCCAGGGCUCUCCUGAUAACGAGAGAUGCUUUAGUGAAUUCAGGAUAUCGCCAAAAGGCGAGUAUUGGAAGAUGUCCGCGGUGGUGAAUUCCAUAACCGGCGCCCAAUCCGAUUUGAUUGGUAGGGGCGUGGGAGGUUCGGAGUCCGGCAAGGAGUCCGGCACCUCGGAAUCACAAGUUUCGCGGGGGACAAGAUUGAUGCUUGGCUCCAUCGCCGAGGACGUUGAAGCCCCCGAGGCGGUGUCUAUCCACCGAUCCUCGAUCAGGGCAAUCGGCUCCGGACUAAUGGCCGGAGCGGAUUCGUGUGCGGCCACCAAGGCACUGUUCGGCGGCAGAGCUAGAUCAUGCCCAUCGCAACAGUGCGGCGCGCUUGGCUGUGGCUCGGGUCCAUCGAAGAUCAAGUCUCCGUGGACAUCGGCCGUGAAGUUUAGGCUUCCAAAUCUGACCUGACGGCCAGGGGCGUAGCUCUCGAUCUGCACCAGAUGGCCAAGCGAAUUAGCCCGCAGUGUGAAGCCGCCGAAUACGAAGAUCUGUCCAGGGAGAAAAGUCUCACCCUGGACAGCGUUGUUGGUUGAAGAUGCCAUCAAGCCUAUCGGUGACGACAUAGAGGAACUCUCAAUGAAAGCACCAAUGUCGGUGUCAAAACCGGCGGAUCUCGGGUAGGGGGUCCCGAACUGUGCGUCUAGGCGGAUGGUAACAGGAGACGAGGGACACGAUGUUUUACCCAGGUUCGGGCCCUCUCGAUGGAGGUAAAACCCUACGUCCUGCUUGAUUAAUAUUGAUGAUAUGGGUAGUACAAGAGUGGAUCUACCACGAGAUCAAGGAGGCUAAACCCUAGAAGCUAGCCUAUGGUAUGAUUGUUGUAAUGUACAUUGUGUCCUACGAACUAAAGCCCUCUGGUUUAUAUAGACACCGGAGGAGGCUAGGGUUACACAGAGUCGAUUACAAUGGUAGGAGAUCUACAUAUUCGUAUCGCCAAGCUUGCCUUCCACGCCAAGGAAAGUCCCAUCCAGACACGGGACGGAGUCUUCAAUCUUGUAUCUUCAUAGUCUUGGAGUCCGGCGGACGAUGAUAGUCCGGCUUUCCGGACACCCCCUAGUCCAGGACUCCCUCAACCAUGUCUUCACCUUAUUCCCCUUGAGCUAAGGACACCCAGUCCUCGCCCAAUCACUCUGGUAAGUCUUCAAGGGAGACUUCCAAACCUUCACAGACUUCGUUCACCAGCAAUCCACAAUGACUCUUCGAUGCUCAAAACGCGACGCCUAACCGGCUGGAGGAUUCACAGUCCUCAAGUGUAAUAUGUCUUCAGGUAACACAGACAGAAAGACUUCAGUGAUGCCUAACACUCUUUGGCUCUGGGUGUUUGGGCUUUGUCCUCGCAAGGAUUUCUCUCUCUCAAAUGCUUCGAGGUGGGUUGCUCUCAAACGACAAAAGCCAUGCACUAACUCUGAUCAGCCACCAAUUUAUGGUGUAGGGGGUGGGCUAUUUAUAGCCACUAGGCAACCCGACCUGAUUUGUCCAAAAUGACCCUGGGUCACUAAGGAACUGACACGUGUUCCAACGGUCAGAUUUCAAACACACGCGGCAACUUUACUUGGGCUACAAGCAAAGCUGACUCAUCCAGCUCUGGAUAAGAUUUUCUCUCAUUGUCUUCGCUCGAAGACAUAGGAUUUGAGUUGAGCAUCACUUCAGUCACUCUGACUUAGUUCACUUGGACCCCACUUAACAGUACGGUGGUUCCUAUGACUCAACAAAGAAGAAAAGGAAACGACGAAACCACACAGUCUUCGCGCUCCAAAGUCUUCACACAAUGUCUUCUCAUGUCAUAGUCUUCAAUAUGAAUAUCUUCUCUUACCACCAUUGUCUUCAAUGUCUUCAUACAUUUUUAGGGGUCAUCUCCGGUAGGUAAACCGAAUCAAUGAGGGACACAACCUGCGUUAUCCUGCAAUUCUCACAAACACAUCAGUCCCUCAACCAACUUUGUCGUCAAUACUCCAAAACCAACUAGGGGUGGCACUAGAUGCACUUACAAUCUCCCCCUUUUUGGUGAUUGAUGACAAACUGGUUGAAGUUUUCAACGGGGAUAAAUAUGUGAAAUUGUAAGGAUAUGGAAUUGUCUUCAUAAGUUGCAAGGGCUCACCCUGAAGAUGUGCAUAUAAGUAAUUUGCUUUUGAAAUGCAAAUGCACAUGGCAGGUUGUACUUGUGGAGAUCCACUUCAAUUUAUGAAGAUAAUUCAUUAUGCAUGAAAUGAUAUAGCAAGUUGAAUGACAUGCAUAAUGAAAAAUGGACGUCUGCAGAAUGAUCUAAGUGCGGAAGUUAUCAUCGGACAUGCAGAAUUUAUCAUCGCAUCAGAGUAAAGCAAAUACGUAGCAGAAGUAGCAGACGACCAUCAAGUUUUAGGUGUUACAACUCAAAGAACCAAAUGUUUCAAAGUGCAAGAGUUGUAAGCACGCAGCAAAAUAUAAUGCAACCGCCCAUAUGAACCCGCUUGAAGACUAUCAACUCAUACGCUUCUCCCCCUUUUGUCAGUAAGGACCAAAAAGGUUUGAAGACAUAGAGCAUCUACUCGUCAUGAGUAGGUGAAGCAGCAGGGUUGUCGUCGUUGGUUGGCGGUGCAGAUGAACUUGGUGCAGUGUCGAUGCGCGCAGUAGUAGUUGGAGGUGGUGAAGUAGCAUCAUCUUCAUCAUCGAUCACUCUGGCAUUAACUGUGGCCGCGGAAGAGGAAUAUUCAGAGUCUUCAAGAGAUGGAGUUCGACGCAGGGUAGCAGUCCUCGGAGGAGUGGAGUUGAACUGGAAUCUUUCAUUGAAGCCAUCAUCUUGAAGAUCAGCUUCAUCACUGAGCAGGGUCAAACUCUUCCAUGAUCUUCGGCAAGUUUCAUGAGCAACAAAGGCAUUCUUGGUGGCAAGAUUGCGAAUGCGAUUGACAUCCACCAAGAGGCUUUGCAUCUGUCGCUUGAGCCAGAAAUGAUGCUUAUCCUGCUUCUGAUGAAGAGCCACAAGAAGCUCUCGGUCAUUGAGAAUACGAGAAUGCUUCCGAGGCCUUUGUGCAAUGGUGCUUUCAGUGGCUUCAGUGGGCGCUCUGUGAGGCAGACGGGUGUUACCAGCCAGUGGAUAGUAUCUUGUCGUUGCUUGAACACCUUCAAUAGGCUGAGUGAAGCUUUGGUGUUCAAUGUUCUGAAGACAGAGCGGCAUCUUGGCAGGGUCAGAGUAUACAGCAUCAACUGACAUAUCAACCUCUGGCAGAAAGAUUAUAUGAUUGCGAGCAGAGGGCUGAUAAUUGACAGAUGAGUGUCUCUUGAUGAGGCGCAUGACCCAUGGAGCAUAAAACUUCAGACCAAAUAGGUCAGAGCCGAAAGCAGCAAGUUGCCUGAUGAACAAUUCCUAAGUGUUGAAGCUGAUGCCAUUGAGAAUAUAGAAGACCAAAGUCUUCAUAGCUCCUUCAAGCUUGGCCGCUGAUGAGUGUCCCUUGACUGGCCAUAGAGUACGCCUGAUGAUAUGAUAUAUGGUGCGAGGCAGAUACUCAAGGUCUUUAACAAAGAAAUGUGUGGGAUACUCAGCGUCAGAUGGCAUAGGCUUCAUCAUGCUCAGCAUCUGGCUCAUAUUGGGUUCUGGCUUAUGAAAGAUGCUCUCCACAGCAUUGCGGUGUAGCUAACAGUUGGGCUCAUACAGUUCUCCAGGAGUGGCUAGCCCAGUAAGCUCGAUGAUAUCCAUAGCUUUGGCUUCAUGAUGAACAUUUCCAGCCAUCCACUUGAGAACCCAAGUCUUCAUGUCUCUGUAGUAGCCGCGAAUGUGCAGAGUGGCAUAGAAUUGAAGCAAUAGCUCUUCAUUCCAAUGUUCUUUGUCUGUCACAAAAUGGAGCAGACCAACAUCACGAAAGUAAUCAAGUGCUUCUUCUAAGCACGGCAGUCCAGCAAUAGCUUCAGUGUCAAGACGCAUAUGAGGGAAAAUGCGCCCUUGAUCAUAUAACACGCAUGAGUAAUAGCUUCUCUGCUGAUAGCUCCAGAACCGAUCUGAUGAAAUCCUUGGCUUGGAGUAGGGGUUCUUGGCGCUGUCAAAGAAGGUAUUGUGGCUCUUGAAGCCAUUGGCAUUGAAUGACCCGGGGGAGUUGGCAAUACCUGGAAACCUUGGCAACCUGGGCUUUGGCUUCUGGACCUGAGGCCUAUGCUCAACAUGAUAGUCAAAUUGCGGUCCUGAGGCAGCAGGCGGAGGCACCAGAAUGGGCCAUCGGACAGUGACAAGCUGACCGUGAUCGUAUGCUUGCUCAAUAGUGUGAGGCCUUGGUGACGGAACAGGAGCAGGGGCAACAUCAGUGGAUUCAGGCUGCACAACAAGUGCUUCAGGAGCAGUUGUCAGAUUUGCUUCAGGUGCAGCCUCCUCAUUGGCGUCAGGUGCAGCAUUCUCAUGAGCUUCAGGUGCAGCAUCCUCAUUGGUUUCAGGUUCAGUGGCCACAUUUGCUUCAGGCACAGUGGCCUCAUUGGUUUCAGGCACACUGGUUGGUGCAGGCUCCACAUUAGCAUCAGCCAUGACUACGUCACUGGCUGUAUUGGCGUUGGUGGUGGCAGCCUCAACAUUUUCAACCUCCUCUUGACGAGCAGGAGGGUCGGGUACAGGCACGUUCAGAUCAUGAAUUGCUUCAUCUUCAAUUGCUGGGGAUGUUGGGAUACGUACUUCUUCUUCAUUCUCUUCGGCUGAUGCAACCGGAAUGUCUUCAGCGGCAUGUGCUUCAGACUCGGAGACAUUCACUGUUGGAGCUGGUUCAGAAAAUACUUGGCGUGCAACAGGUGAACAUUGCACUUCUCCUUCUGGAACGCUCGACAGAGGGACUUCAGGCCUUUGUCCUCUAUGAAGCCUGCGAAGAGCUGGCUUCAAGUUAGGAGAUGGAGUUGGCCGAGCCUGAAAGUCUUCAUCCUCUUCUUGCACUGGGGGUGUAGCUUGUUGUUGUUGUUGGGGAGUACUGGGGGAGUCUUGUUGUUGUUGUGGGUGAUCAGCCCACGAAGCAUCCUGAGCAAUUGGCGUCAAUGGACGACCAAUGCAGAUGAGUUUGUUGUUCGUACGAACAGGCGAUGAUACCAAGUCAUUUUCGAUCUGAGGAAGAACUUCAUCAUCAUUUACAUUGUCAUCUUGACCAAUGUCUUCAGCGGCGUUGGGUUCAGCUGCUGGAAUAUCUUCAGCCACAUGAGCCUCUGUGGUAGCAGGCUCAUGGACAACCAUUCUUUGUUCUUGAUGUACUGAUACAGGGCGGACCACAGAAAUGGGUUCAACGACUAAGGGAUCUGUGGAAGCAGCCCUAGUCUUCUUGGUCUUGCGCUUCUUCUUGGAGGGAGCGGCAUCAGAGGCUUCAGUAUGCUUUCUCUUUCUGGCGUCAGCCUCUGCAGCCCUCAUCUUCUUCUGUUCUGAAGCGGUUGUGGUGACCUUUGGCUUUGAGCCAGUCAUGCUGCUCGGGAAGAUAAUGCGAGGGGCUUCUUGGCUUGAAGGUUCAGGCUGUUCAGGGUGCUUCUUCUUCCUCUUUGCAGCCAUCCUGGGAUCAAUGCCAGGACGGCCAAGGGACUUGCGCUUCUCAGCCUCAUUGUAGGCAAGCACACACUUAUCUUCCAAAAGCUUCAUGCGUUCUCGAGAGCCCUGAGCUUCUUGGCAUUUCUUCAGAAAAGCUUCUUUAAGCUCAUGGAGCAUGACCUUGAAGUUGCGGACGUCUUGAACACUCAGAUUGGCCACAUGCUUCUUGAAUUGAGCCUUCUCACAAUCUUGUUUUUGAGCUCCACGAUGCGCUGAGCGAGAGCUAGCUCAGAAGCAAUGGCACCAUUAAAGGCGACACUGAGGUCAAUUGGGAGCUGUAAAUCUUCAAAGCUGAUGUUGGGGGUGUCGAACCACUCAUCAAUGAAAUUGUGAAUGAUGGCCACAUCAAAGAGAGGCAGGUUGCUGAAGAUUUCUGCUUCUUCUUUUCUCUUGAUCAGCUGCUCAAGGGCAUCAUCAGCAAGAUCUUCAUCACUUGAUAGAUCAAUGGGUUCUUCACGCAGAAUGGCAGCAGGAGGCAAGGCUCUUUGAUCAGAUGGUCUAACAAGUUGCUUCUUCUUGUCCGUUCUCUUGGAGACAUGAGACAGAUCUUCAGAUUGCACACUGGCUUCAGGAGGUGCAGUGGCCAGUGGCUUCGCACGCAAAGUCUUCGGAGGUGCAGCUGAGGUUGAAGCCUUUGACUUCUUUUGCUUCUGCGGCUUUGGAGAAGGAGCUGGGGCUUCAUCAGAGUCAGCACCAUUGUCAGAAUGAUCUACUCUGGUGCCUUGGACCAUGAUGUAGGUGAUGAGGCCGUCAAGGUUGGCGUAUGGGCCAAUGACAUUGGGAUUUGCUUCACGAGAGCCGUCGGCACGGGGAGCAGAGGAACCUGGGUUGAAGUCCAAACCCAAGGACUUCUUGUUCUUCUUGGCCGAAGCCACAGCAAACUGAUAGUUGCGCUUGAAGAGCGAAUCUUCAUGACACCAUAGUAGUGAGGUGGGAUCUGCGUUCGCAGGCUGUGGCCCACGGACCAUGCAUGGAUAGAAGCCUUGUUCAAUGGCUUCAGCUCGGCUCUUGGGUUGAAGCCAUCGAUAGAGGAUAUCACCCCAAGGUCUCUUGAUGGCAUGCUUCUCUGCAUAUUCCUUUGUCACAAAUUUGUACUUGAACCACUCCUCAGCCCAAUAGUGUCGAAUCCAUUGGACUCGCGUCUUUCUCUGAUGAUAAUUUUCUUCGGAUCUGUCUUGUACAUUUCUGCUAAGUCAUCAGGCAGAUCUUUUGAUGUUCCUUCUCUGCGCUGUCUGCCACCCUUCCUUGCUGAUUUUUCUAUUGCCAUGAACUUCAAGCUGAAAGGCUUCAAUACGUUCAAAGGCUUCAGAGAUUUGCGCUUGCUGGUCAGGCAGGAACUGGCUUCAGGAGAAUUUAUAUGAUGCUGUAAGUAUUCUGCAAACGAAUGCAGACUAUGAGAACCAAGGGAUUCUCCCACGGACAUGUACCUGUGACAGCAUUAGAGAUGCAAGGGAAGGGGAAGAGAUCAUGUGCAUUCUCAAAAGGUUUUAAAGAUAAAUCAGUUUGAAGACAUUGACCUCAUGAUGCGAAGACAUUCACUUAUAUAGGUGAGUUGGUUCCAGAUUUGUACCAAUCCGUGAAUAAGUACAAGUGAGGAAUCAAACUAGGCAAGAAAUCUAAGUGAAUCGACUAAGCAGUAUGAGAUGCAGACAAAAUAGAUCUAGCUUGAAUAGGCAGAAACUACUUUCGGUAAAUAGGAUGAAUCUUGAAGAUCAAAAAGGUGGUAAAAAUAGAGUUUUAAUUACCGCACGAAGAACUACUAGAUGAAGGAAUAGGAGGCCGAGCAGUUCAGCCCACCAUGCCCUAACAUGGCGACGGAGGACACCUACGGCGACGGCAGAGAGGACGAUGUCCGCGGCCGGCGUGAGGACGGCGUCGGAGAAGUUGCGGCAGCUAAGCGCUUCGUCACCGGCAUCGUCGCGAGCUAGCGGUGGCGCUAGGGUUUUGACGGAGGUGGAGAGGUGGAAGAAGUAUUUCUUUACCGCAGGGGGACAGGUAUUUAUAAGUAGGUGAGAGACACAGCGCAAUUACGCUGGUGCCCCUGGCGGUUCACAUCUGAGGGGUACGUGGCAAGCAUGCAACACACUCAGGGUUGUCCCACGUUCCCACGCCCGCCAGGCAUGUCGGAGAGUUGUUCCGGCUUCUCCGGAUUUCAACAGUAAAGAUAAGCCAUUUAAAGCAGAUUUAAUGUUUGUCUCUUUGCCUUCUGCUGACUAGGACGCAGAGAAGACAUUCGACAGUUUCAACAGAAUGCAUAUGAUUUGGAUAGAUAGAUUUUGAGAUAGGAAGCAUAGAGAGGUUAGGGUCCGAUCACAUUCACUUAGUUCAAAAGAUCCAAUGUUGAAGACAUAGCUAUAAGUGAAUGCUGUAGAGGACAGGUCACUAGUAUGUAUAUAUAUCAGAAAGCAAUCAAAUCAUCAUAGUGCAGAAAGUCAUGAAGACAAAUUGAAACUAAAGACAAACCAAAUGCGAAGUCAUUGCAAUAUAACGCCUUGAGUGAAACACUUCAAACAAAGAAAGUUGGUGGUGGCGUUACCCACCGUAUAGGAAGUAUUAGACCCAGACACGGCACACAAUUAUCGUGGCGCUCCGAAGUCAAAUUCCAUGUUAAUGUAUUCACACUCAGAGUGUAAAUCUUCAUUGAUUGAAGAUAUACAUUACUUUGUGUGUUGCACAUCUAAGUCAUCAACAUGCAUAAGUGUUAGGAUGUGUGCCUGAUCACAGGACAUUAGAGGAUUCCAAGAUAUUUAGCUCACACCGUAACUUGCAAAACCUUUUCUCAUCCAAGGGCUUUGUGAAGAUAUCUGCCAAUUGCUCUUCAGUGUUGACGUGAAUCAUAUCGAUAUCUUUCUUCAUAACAUGAUCUCUGGGAAAGUGAUGACGAAUUUCAAUGUGCUUUGUCUUCGAGUGUUGGACAGGGUUGUUGGAUAUUUUGAUGGCACUCUCGUUGUCGCAGAAGAGAGGUACUUGGUUCAGGUUGAUGCCAUAAUACUUGAGAGUUUUCUUCAUCCAUAGAAGCUGAGCACAACAGGAUCCAGCAGCAAUGUAUUCAGCUUCAGCAGUUGAGAGUGAUACACAGUUCUGCUUCUUCGAAGACCAACAGAUAAGUGAUCGACCAAGAAAAUGACAUGUGCCAGAUGUAGACUUGCGAUCCACCUUGUCACCAGCAAAAUCAGCAUCCGAGAAUCCAACCAAAUCGAAUCUUGAGCCCUUGGGAUACCAUAAUCCGAGUGUUGGGGUGUAAGCCAAAUAUCGAAGAAUUCGCUUCACAGCUAAGUGAUGCGAUUCCUUUGGUGCCGCUUGGAAUCGAGCACACAUGCAAACACUAAGCAUAAUAUCUGGCCUAGAUGCACAUAAAUAAAGCAAAGAACCAAUCAUGGAGCGGUUUACCUUUUGAUUGAACUCUUUACCAUUGUCGUCGGGACCAAGAUGGUGUUUGGCUGGCAUUGGCGUCGUGUAGCCUUUGCAGUCUUCCAUUCCAAACUUCUUCAGACAGUCUUUGAGGUAUUUCUCUUGAGAUAUGAAGAUGCCAUUCCUCUGCUGACGAAUUUGAAGACCAAGGAAGAACUUCAGCUCACCCAUCAUGGACAUUUGAUAUUGCUCUUGCAUCAUGUACCCAAACUCAUCACUGUACUUUUGGUUGGUGCAUCCGAAGAUUAUGUCAUCCACAUAUAUUUGGCACACAAACAGUUCACCAUCAUAUGUCUUCGUGAAGAGAGUGGGAUCUAGGGAUCCAGGUUUGAAGCCUUUGCUCUUCAGGAAGUCUUUGAUUGUAUCAUACCAGGCACAAGGGGCUUGUUUGAGGCCAUACAGUGCCUUGUUUAGCUUUUACACCAUAUCAGGAUGUUUUGGAUCUUCAAAGCCAGGUGGUUGUGCGACAUAUACUUCUUCUUCAAUCUUGCCAUUGAGAAAUGCACUCUUUACAUCCAUUUGAUAUAGCAAGAUAUUGUGAUGAUUAGCGUAGGCUAGCAGUAUGCGAAUAGCUUCAAGCCUAGCAACAGGAGCAAAUGUUUCAUCGAAGUCAAUUCCUUCAACUUGAGUGUAUCCUUGAGCCACAAGACGUGCUUUGUUUCUGACGACUUGACCAAGCUCAUCUUGCUUGUUUCGAUAUAUCCAUUUUGUUCCAAUAAUGUUAUGCUUGCGAGGAUCAGGUCGCUUGACAAGUUCCCAAACAUUAUUCAGCUUGAACUAUUGAAGUUCUUCUUGCAUGGCUUGAAUCCAUUCAGGUUCCAUAAAAGCUUCAGCAACUUUCUUGGGUUCUGAUAUUGACACGAAUGAAAAGUGCCCACAAAAGUUUGCUAGCUGUGUUGCUCUUGAUCGAGUGAGCGGACCAGGUGCAUUGAUGCUGUCAAUUAUCUUCUCUAUUUGAACUUAAUUUGCAACACGAGGAUGAACAGGACGAAGGUUUUGCUCUGGCUGAUCAUUGUCAUCAUUGGGAGGAUUAUCUUCGGUCUGAGCAUUGUCUUCAGGUUGAUUUGGUGCAGAGAUGAUAAGUUCCUCUUUAGGCUGUGCUUCAGAGGGCAUGAUUUCACCAGUUCCCAUCAGCUUGAUUGCCUCGUUUGAAGGAGCUUCAUCAAGUGUACUUGGCAGAAUCUCUCUUCGUGAUCCAUUUGUUUCAUCAAAUUUCACAUUCACAGUUUCAACGAUCUUGUAGAGAUAAAGGUUGAAGACUCUGUAGGAGUGUCAAUCCUUUCCAUAGCCAAGCAUGAAGCCUUCGUGAGCCUUAGGUGCAAAUUUUGACUUGUGAUGGGGAUCCUUGAUCCAGCAUCUUGCUCCAAAUACUCUGAAGUAACUGACGUUUGGCUUCUUGCCAGAAAGUAGCUCAUAUGAUGUUUUGUUCAGAAGCUUAUGAAUGUGCACACGGUUGAUGAUAUGACAUGCUGUAUCAAUAGCUUCAGGCCAAAACUUUCUUGGUGUCUUGUACUCAUCUAGCAUUGUUCGAGCCAUCUCAAUGAGGGUUCUGUUCUUGCGCUCAACAAUGUCGUUUUGCUGAGGUGUGUACGGAGCAGAGAACUCAUGAGUGAUUCCCAUUGUAUCCAGAUACAGAUCAAGUCCAGUGUUCUUGAAUUCAGUGCCAUUGUCACUUCUGAUGUGCUUGAUCUUCACACCAUAAUUUUUCAUUGCUCGAUUUGCGAAGCGCCUGAAGACAUCUUGCACUUCAGUCUUGUAAAGAAUUAUAUGAACCCAUGUGUAUCUUGAGUAGUCAUCAACAAUGACGAAGCCAUAGAGACAGGCAGUUGUUGUGAGGGUGGAGUAGUGAGUAGGUCCGAACAAGUCCAUGAGUAACAGCUCGAAGGGUUGAGAUGUUGUCAUGAUUGUCUUCGAGGGGUGCUUUGCCCUUGUCAUCUUUCCAGCUUAACAGGCACCACACAGAUGAUCCUUCUUGAACUUGACAUCUUUGAUGCCUAUGACAUGCUUCUUCUUGAUGAGUGAGUGUAAGUUCCUCAUGCCAGCAUGUCCCAGCCUUCGAUGCUAGAGCCAGCAUUCUGAAGCUUUUGUGAGGAGACAUACGGCAAGCUGUGGACCUGCUGAGGAAUCUACCAUGUACAGAUCAUCUUUCCGAUACCCUUCAAAGACUAGAGAUUUGUCAGAUUCCAUUAGUACAAGGCAACGAUAUUUGCCAGAUAUCACAAUCAUGUUCAAGUCACAAAGCAUUGAGACAGACAUUAAGUUGAAACCAAGGGAUUCAACAAGCAUCACUUUAUCCAUGUGUUGAUCCUUUGAGAUUGCAACUCUACCUAGACCCAAUACUUUGCUUUUACUAGUGUCAGCAAAUGUGAUGUGACUCUUGUCGGAUGGAUGUAAGGUUGAGUCCAUGAGAAGACUUCGAUCACCAGUCAUAUGAUUUGUGCAUCCACUGUCCAUAAUCCACUCUGAAGCUUUUGGUGAUGUACCCUACAGUGCAGUUAGGAGGACAGGCUUCACAAAAGUGUUGUGAAGCAUAUGCAUUUGAUACAUAUAGGGACAGUCACAGCUUAUAACAAAGUUAGGACAUAGUAUGACUGAUAAAUUCAGAUGUGAGGCAUAUAGAAUGAUAUUUUAACGUGCGUCCUUAAUGAGUUUUAGGUCCCCAGCAAUAGUAUCGAACGCCAUUGAUUGCUGGCUGGAGACCGUUUUCUGCAAAAGAGAGUUAGUUCUUCUUUGCCACCCACAUCUUCAGUGGGGGCUUAGAAGCAAUGAGUCUAAGUGCAGCAUCUGAGAAUUUUGGCUUUGAAGCCCUAGCAAAUAGCCUUGCAGGAGAUGAAUGAUACUCAUAUGAAUAAGCAGAAAAGUUUUUGGUCCUAUGAACAUAGCGGUUCGAAGAUACACGCUCAUAUUCAUAAGUCUGAGCAUGAUUUCCCUGCAAAACGUUGGCGUUAGGGUGACUCAUGUGAGUCCUGUAUCUGUAUGAAUCCUUUGGGCCAUAUGAAGCCAUAGGUCUGGGGUUUGUCUUCUUCCUUGGUGGUGUCAUUACUACAUUCACAGGAAGAUUCUCAAUGUACCGCUUAGGUACCCAGAUCUUCUUCAUAGGUGGUCCAUUCCUGCAGUUAGUACCAAUGUACCUGGCAAACACUUCACCAUUCUGAUUUUUGAACAGCUUAUAGUUUGCAUCAAAGGAUUCAUCAAUGAUAAUAGGAUUAGCACAGGUAAAGCCAGAUAAAGUAGAUGGAUCUACUGAAGGUUCCUUUGCAGCAACCCAUGUGGUUUUGGGGUACUGCUCAGGCUUCCAGUACGAGCCAUCAACAUUCAUUUUCCUUUCAAACCCAACACCCUCUUUCCUAGGGUUUCGGUUCAGAAUCUGCUUUUUGAGGACAUCGGAGAGAGUCUGAUGUCCCUUCAAACUUUUGUACAUCCCUGCUUCAAGCAAUGUCUUCAACAUAGCAUUUUCAUCAGCAACAGCAGUGGUAUCCUCCACAGAGGGGUUAGUAACCACAUCAGUAGGUGAAGACAAUGAAACAGUAGCAGUAGUGGAACAUUUAGCAACAGAUGUAGCAUUAUCACGCUCAAUGCAUUUUAGACAUGGUGGUUCAAAUACAUCCUGAGCGGAACUGAUCUGUUGAGCGCGAAGUGACUCAUUCACCUUUUGAAGACCUUCAUGAGACACUCUCAAUUUCUCAAGCUCUUGUUUCCUUUGAAGAUAAUCAUAGGAGAGCCUUUCAUAAGUAGUUGAGAGCGAUUCAUGACGACCUUCAAGUUCUUGGUACUUAGCAUGAAGAUUUUUUAUGUCAUCAACUAAGGACUGUGAACGGGUCAUUUCAGCGUCCAACAGGUCAUCGCUUUUGUCUAACAGUUUUUUAGUAUGUUCCAUAGCCUUUUGUUGUUCAAUUGCAAUUUUAACAAGUGUUUUGUAGCUGGGUUUGGAUUCACAAUCAGAGUCAUCUUCACUUGAAGUUUGAAAGUAAGCAUCGCGUGAUUUUACCUGGGCACCACGUGCCAUGAAGCAGUAGGUGGGAGUAGGAUCGUCUUCGUCAUUAGCUUCAGCGUUGGUGUGGAAGUCAUUGUCUUCACUGUUGAAGAUGUACUUGGCAACAUAGGUUGUGGCUAGAGCCAGACUUGCAACGCCAGGGUCAGACUCCUCUCCAGACUCCACCUCCGCCUCCUCGGAAGCAGACUCCUCCUCUGAAUCCAUUUCCUUGCCAACAAAAGCACGAGCCUUGCCAGAUGAGCUCUUCUUGUAUGAUGAAGACUUGGAAGAAGACUUAGAAGACUUUGAGGAUUUCUUCUUCUUCUUGUCAUCGGAAUUAUAUUCCUUGCUUUUCUUCUUCUUCUUCUCAUUGUCCCACUGUGGACACUCAGAUAUGUAGUGACCAGGUUUCUUGCACUUGUGGCAGGUUCUCUUCUUGUGGUCAUGUGUAGAAGCUUCAUCAUUCCUUGAGCUAGAUCAUGAAGACUUUCUGAAGCCUUUCUUCUUUGUGAAUUUCUGGAACUUCUUCACAAGCAUAGCAAGUUCCCUUCCAAUGUCUUUAGGAUCUUCAGAACUGCAAUCAGAUUCUUCUUCAGAUACGGAAACAACUUUUGCCUUCAAAGCACGAGUUCGACCAUAGCUUGGGCCAUAGAUAUCUCUUUUCUCAGAUAGCUGGAACUCAUGUGUGUUGAGCCUCUCAAGUAUAUCAGACGGAUCAAGUGUCUUGAAGUCAGGACGUUCUUGUAUCAUGAGGGCAAGGGUGUCAAAGGAGCUGUCAAGUGAUCUCAGCAGUGUCUUGACGAUUUCAUGCUUGGUGAUCUCAGUUGCGCCAAGAGUCUGAAGUUCAUUUGUGAUAUCAGUGAGGCGAUCAAACGUGAGCUGGACAUUCUCGUUGUUGUUUCUCUUCAAGCGGUUGAAGAGGUUGCGAAGAACACUGAUUCUUUGAUCUCUCUGGGUUGAAACGCCUUCAUUGACCUUGGAUAGCCAGUCCCAGACUAGCUUCGAAGUUUCCAGAGCACUCACAUGGCCAUACUGCCCUUUGGUCAGAUGACCACAGAUGAUGUUCUUUGCAGUAGAGUCCAGUUGAAUGAACUUCUUGACAUCAGUGGGGGUGACACCUUCACCAGUUUUGGGAACGCCAUUCUUGACGACAUACCAGAGGUCGACAUCAAUGGCUUCAAGAUGCAUGCGCAUCUUAUUCUUCCAGUAGGGAUAUUCAGUUCCAUCGAACACGGGGCAAGCAGCGGAGACUUUGAUUAUCCAUGCAGUCAACAUAGCUGAAACUCCAGGUGGUUAAAUCGAAUCACACAGAACAAGGGAGUACCUUGCUCUGAUACCAAUUGAAAGUGCUAGUAUCGACUAGAGGGGGGGUGAAUAGGUGAUUUUUAUGAAAGUCUUCAAAACUUGGAAGUUUCGAAGACAAACAACAGAAACAACCUAAUUGAUAUGCAGCGGAAGAUAAACUACCCUAAACAAGCCAUAGUCAAGUAUGUGAUGAUAUGAAAGUACAGGACUAAUAGCAGUUAGGUAGUAAGGAUCAAGAUGGAAGAUAGUAAGAAGCCAAUCAACAAUAGUAGUCAAGCAAUGAAGUCAAACAGAUAAACAGAUAGGCAAUGACUUCACGAAGACAAACUUAAGUAAGGUUGGAAGGGGUAGAACCAGUUGCUUGUUGAAGACACAGGAUUUGUUGGACCAGUUCCAGUUGCUGUGACAACUGUACGUCUGGUUAGGGAGGCUGAGAUUUAACUCAGAAGACCGUGUCUUCACCUUAUUCCCCUUGAGCUAAGGACACCCAGUCCUCGCCCAAUCACUCUGGUAAGUCUUCAAGGGAGACUUCCAAACCUUCACAGACUUCGUUCACUGGCAAUCCACAAUGACUCUUGGAUGCUCAGAACGCGACACCUAACCGGCUAGAGGAUUCACAAUCCUCAAGUGUAAUAAGUCUUCAGGUCACACAGACAGAAAGACUUCAGUGAUGCCUAACACUCUUUGGCUCUGGGUGUUUGGGCUUUGUCCUCGCAAGGAUUUCUCUCUCUCAAAUGCUUCGAGGUGGGUUGCUCUCAAACGACAAAAGCCGUGCACUAACUUUGAGCAGCCACCAAUUUAUGGUGUAGGGGGUGGGCUAUUUAUAGCCACUAGGCAACCCGACCUGAUUUGUCCAAAAUGACCCUGGGUCACUAAGGAACUGACACGUGUUCCAACGGUCAGAUUUCAAACACACGCGGCAACUUUACUUGGGCUACAAGCAAAGCUGACUCAUCCAGCUCUGGAUAAGAUUUUCUCUCAUUGUCUUCGCUUGAAGACAUAGGAUUUGAGUUGAGCAUCACUUCAGUCACUCUGACUUAGUUCACUUGGACCCCACUUAACAGUACGGUGGUUCCUAUGACUCAACAAAGAAGAAAAGGAAACGACGAAACCACACAGUCUUCGCGCUCCAAAGUCUUCACACAAUGUCUUCUCAUGUCAUAGUCUUCAAUAUGAAUAUAUUCUCUUACCACCAUUGUCUUCAAUGUCUUCAUACAUUUUUUAGGGGUCAUCUCCGGUAGGUAAACCGAAUCAAUGAGGGACACAACCUGCGUUAUCCUGCAAUUCUCACAAACACAUCAGUCCCUCAACCAACUUUGUCGUCAAUACUCCAAAACCAACUAGGGGUGGCACUAGAUGCACUUACAGUUCAUCAUGGCAUGAUUGGCAAAGCGUCUGAAGACGUCCUGCACUUCAUUCUUGUAGAGGAUUAUAUGCACCCAAGUAUAUCUUGAAUAAUCAUCAACAAUGACGAAGCCAUAGAGGCAAGCAGUGGUAGUGAGAGUAGAGUAGUGAGUAGGGCCAAAUAAGUCCAUAUGUAGCAGCUCGAAGGGUUGAGAUGCAGUCAUGAUUGUCUUCGAGGGAUGCUUCGCCCUAGUCAUAUUUCCAGCUUCGCAGGCACCACACAGAUGAUCCUUCUUGAACUUGACGCCCUCGAUGCCUACGACGUGUUUCUUCUUCGCGAGAGUGUGCAAGUUCCUCAUGCCAGCAUGCCCUAGCCUUUGAUGACAAAUCCAGCACUCUGAAGCUUUUGCUAGAACUGUGGUCCUGCUGAGAAAUCUACCAUAUACAUAUCAUCUUUCCGAUACCCUUCAAAGGCUAGAGACUUGUCAGAUUCCAUUAGAACAAGGCAAUGAUAUUUUCCAAAUAGCAUAAUCAUGUUUAAGUCACAAAGCAUUGAGACAGACAUUAAGUUGAAACCAAGGGAAUCAACAAGCAUCACUUUAUCCAUGUGCUGAUCCCUUGAUAUUGCAACUCUACCUAGACCCAAUACCUUGCUUUUACUAGUGUCAGCAAAUGUGAUGUGACUCUUGUCUGAUGGACGUAGUGUUGAAUCCAUCAGUAGACUUUGAUCGCCGGUCAUGUGGUUAGUGCAUCCACUGUCCAUAAUCCAUUCUAAAGCAUGAGUUGUCAUAUCCUACAGUACAGUUUGGGGGAUAGGCUUCACCAAGCGAGUUCUGAAGCAUAAACAUUUGACGAACAAGUGGAACAUAGAAGUUUAGAUCUUGGUUAGGAUAGAUAGGAUGAGUGUCAAGGAUCCCGGGAUGAAAUACAUAGUAAGACCAUUUGGGCAUUUUAUCUUGCGCCCCACAAGAUGUUUAAGGUCCCCAGCAUUAGCAUCGGACGCCUUUGAUUUCCGGCUGGAGACCUUUACCUGCAAAAGAGAGUUAAGUUUUCUUAACCACCCACAUUUUUAGGGGUGGCUUAGAAGCAAUGAGUCUAAGUGCAGCAUCUGAGAACUUCGGCUUUGGAGCCCUAGCAAAUAGCCUUGCAGGAGGUGAAUGAUACUCAUAAGAAUAAGCAGAAAAGUUCUUUGUUCUAUGAACAUAGCGGUUUGAUGAAACACGCUCAUAUUCAUGGGUCUGAGUAUGAUUUCCCUGCAAAACAUUAGUGUUAGGGUGAUCGGAUGAGUCCUCGGUCUGUAUGAAGCUUUUGGACCGUAUGAAGCCUUUGGUCUGGUGUUUGUCUUCUUCCCAGGUGGUGUCAUGAUGACAUUCAUAGGAAGAUUCUCAAGACAACUUUUGGGUACCCAUAUCUUCUUCAUAGGUGUCCCAUUCCUGCAGUCACAUAGCUAAAACUCCAGGUGGUUAAACCGAAUCACACAGAACAAGGGAGUACCUUGCUCUGAUACCAAUUGAAAGAGCUGGAUAUCGACUAGAGGGGGGUGAAUAGGUGAUUUUUAUGAAAGUCUUCAAAACAUGGGAGUUUCAAAGACAAACAAUAGAAAUGACCCUUUUUAUAUGUAGCGGAAGGUAGACUACACUAGGCAAGCCAUAGUCAAGUAUUCAAUGAAGUGAAAGCACGAAGACUAUUAGCAGCUAGGUAGUAAGGAUCAGGAUGGAAGAUAGUAUGAAGCCAAUCAGAACAAGUAGUCACUCAGUGAAGUCAAACAGAUAAUGCAAGCACGCAAUGACUUCACGAAGACAAACUGUAAGUAAAGAGAAGUAAGAGAUAGAACCAGUGGCUUGGAGAGGACAGUGAUUUGUUCGACCAGUUCCAGUUGCUAUGAUAACUGUACGUCUGGUUAGGGAGGCUGAGAUUUAACUCAGAAGACCGUGUCUUCACCUAUUCCCCUUGAGCUAAGGACACUUAGUCCUUGCCCAAUCACUCUGGUAAGUCUUCAAGGUAGACUUCCAAACCUUCACAGACUUCGUUCACCGGCAAUCCACAAUGACUCUUGGAUGCUCAGAACGCGACGCCUAACCAGCUGGAGGAUUCACAGUCCUCAAGUGUAACAAGUCUUCAGAUCACGCGGACAGAAAUACUUCAGUGAUGCCAAACACUCUUUGGGCUCUAGGUGGUUUGGGCUUUGACCUCGCAAGGAUUCUCUCUCAAAGGGUUCGGAGGUGGGUUGCUCUCAAACGACAAAAGUCGUGCACUAACUCUGAGCAGCCACCAAUUUAUGGUGUAGGGGGUGGGCUAUUUAUAGCCACUAGGCAACCCAACCUGAUUUAUUCGAAAUGACCCUGGGUCACUAAGGAACUGACACGUGUUCCAACAGUCAGAUUUCAAACACACGCGGCAGCUUGACUUGGGCUACAAGUAAAGCUGACUUAUCCGACUCUGGAUAAGAUUUGCACUCAUUGUCUUUGCUCAAAGACAUAGGAUUUGGUUGAGCAUCACUUUAGUCACUCUGACUUUGUUCACUUGGACCCACUUAACAGUGCGGUGGUUCCUACAACUCAACAAAGAAGAAAAGGAAACAACGAAACAACUAAGUCUUCGCGCUCCAUAGUCUUCAUGUGAUGUCUUCUCAUGUCAUAGACUUCACUGUGAAUAGCUUCACAGACCACCAUUGUCUUCAAUGUCUUCACACAUUUUUAGGGGUCAUCUCCGGUAGGUAAACCGAAUCAAUGAGGGACUACUACCUGUGUUAUCCUGCAAUUCUCACAAACACAUUAGCCACUCAAACAGGUUUGUCAUCAAUACUCCAAAACCAACUAGGGGUGGCACUAGAUGCACUUACAAUAUUGCUUUGGGAAAAUGGCGCCACCACCACCACCACCAUGUCGAUUGUGCAAGUCAAGGUGUGCCAGUAACCUUGCCACUGGAAGCUGUUCGGCAUCUACUUCCAGCCGAGUUUUCGUCAUGCGGUGGUAAGAAAUUACAUGAAAUGUAACAACUAUUUUAUUUUUAGUGUUGGCAUUACUGCAUUGUGUCAUUUUGCUUUUUUACAAAGAUCGUCCCAUGCAAUGUGAGGUUGAAAUUCAACAAGCUGACAGGAGACACUAUGACCUUGUACUACUUGAGGAUGCAUGUUGACUAUUCAUGAAAUUGUUAUCUAGUACUCCCUUCGUUCCAAAUUACUCGUCGUGGUUUGAACUAAAACCAUGACAGAGUAAUUUGGAACGGAGGGAGUACUAGUAUAUGGUAGUACCUAAUAUCUGGAAAUUGCAUUUUAUUGAAACCGAAACGAAAUGGGGUAGGAAGCGGGGGAAAAUGAUGAAAGAUAUAUCAGUAGCGAGGGGCUAGGAAACCGCUACAGCUAACUAAUAGUAGCGUGUUCGCGAAAAGUGCUGCUGAUAUAGUCAACAGUAGUAGCGCGGGUGCUGACCGCGCUACUACAAACAGUUAGUUGUAGCGCCAUACUAGUAGCGCGGCCGCCCGUGCUGCUGAUAGCCUCAAAACCUGCGCUACUACUAGGGUUUUCCCUAGUAGUGUGUGUGUGGGAAGAGUGUACAAUUUUUGACGCACGCACCACAUCAAUGUUGUGAAAUGGUAUUCAAACAUGCAUGCAUGCAUCACCUCCAUACAUAUGCAUGUAGUGGUUGUGUUCGAAUGGUACACUCCCUUGCAUGGUUAUCGGCAACAAGCAUAUAUAUUCGUGGGACCGUGUGGACAUCCAUGAUCACCUUGACCGACAACAAGAUAGGUCACCAUGGCGGAUUCUUCAUUUGAUUCGUGUUAUCGUAGUAUAGGUCAUGGUGAGAUUCAGACCUAAUUAAAGUUUGCGCGCAUAUACUAUGCACACAUGCAUGCAUGAAUCCCCAUCCUCGGCUUGAAGUGUGGUGUAACAUACAUAUGCAUCAUCACCCUAACCCUCACUCGGUGUGGGGAUUUCUAGUUUGAAAUCACGGUGCCACAUCAAAGUUGUUCCAUUGUGUACUAAAAAACACACCUGAUCCAUACAUAUGUUUGGGCCACACGCAUGCAGUGGUUGUCUUUGGGGACUAGCUACUUGCAUGAUUAUUGGCGAGCUAGCCUAUCUGGGUUCGCUUGGACGACCAUCACUUUGACCGGCAACAAGAGAGAGGUUGUACGACCAAAGUGGAUUAUUCUUGGUGCGUUUUACGAUCAAUCUUGGUGAGAUGCCUCUCUAGCCCGCCAACUAAAAGUGUGUCUGUGGGGGGGCUGCUACUUUGCACUUUGCUAGGUGACUCGGUUGGGGGGCAUUCAUAGCUCAGGAUUCCCUUCGUGACGACACGAGGGGGGGCUGCUAGCUACUUCGCACUUUGCUAGGUGAACCACGGUUGGGGGCAUCCAUUCAUAGCUUAGGAUUCCCUUCAUGCCAACACGAGGGAGGGGGCUGCUAGCCUCUUCGCACUUUUCUAGGUGAGACUUGGUUGGGGGGGGGCAUGCAUCCAUAGCUUAGGAUUCCCUUCGUGCCGACAAGCGGGGGGGCUGCUAGCUAAUUUGCAGUUUGCUAGGUGAACCACGGUUGGGGGGCAUGCAUUCAUAGCUUAGGAUUCCCUUCGUGCCAACACGAGGGGGGCAAGCAGUAUCGUGUCCUUUGUGAGAUAGGUGCAACAUCGAAGUUGCAUUUGGUAUUUGAAAAUCAAACCACCCUUUUCAUACAUAUAAAUUUGGUCCACAUGCAAGUGUGUUCGUGUUCUGACCCUCUCCCAUGUCAUUUUUCGCCAAAUUUAUGAACAUUAGACAAGUCGUAUGACGCAACAGACAUGGUUCACUCAAACUAACCGUGUGCCACGCCGGUGCCCCUGUCACGCACACAUCCGCACAGUACAUUGGGCUCCACUAGGCUCCCCCUCUCAAAAAUAUAUGCCCGCCUUGAGGGUUUUUAUGUUUCAUAACACACGGUUGUUAUCACCGGACCGUGUGUGAUGUUUCUUCUUCCCAAUCCCACCUGCAUCCCUAGAAAAUAACUGCCCGCCUCGAGGAGGGUUUUUGUGUUUCAUAACACAUGGUUGUUAUCUCCGGACCGUGUGCGAUGUUUCUUGUUCCCAAUCCCGCCUGCCCCUAGAAAAUAUCUGCCCGCCUCGAGGGUUUUUCUGUUUCAUAACACACGGUUGUUAUCUCCGGACCGUGUGCGAUGCACCAUCAUCAAAAUUUUCAUUAGCCCCGGCAUUUCAUUCCCGCGUUGUAAAAUUUUCAGUACCCGCGUCAUUUCCUCAAACACACCCCCCCUCCACACACACACACCAAAACCUCCUUGGGCGCGCGCGUGCGCACACACACACACACACUCCCUCGCUCGAAACCCUAGCAAGGUCCCCGCCGCCGCUGCCGCGAGACCUCCAUUGUCAACAUCUGCCGGUUUGCCCGUGCAGCUUACACACCGAUCUCCAUACCAAGGCCGCCCUGAGUUUCUUAGAUGAUGCCUGGCAAACGCCCCUUUUCCCCCAGAUCCCCAUCCCCAUCCCCAUCCCACACUCUAGAGCGUUGCAGCCUAAGCCCGGCUACGCUUCCCAUGGAGCUCGAGGAGCGACUGUCCCAAAAGAGGUAUAUCGCGGUAUUUUCGCCCGACGUCGCUGAGGAAGCUGACGACCAUUACUGGCGGCAGGAACUCAAGCAGCGGGCUAGAGUAUGCGGGCAUGUCUCUUCCGCCGGCUACGACAUCGAGGUCAUGGACAAUGGCGGCCUGAGGCGGGCUAUGUCACAAGUUAAGUGGCCCACCCCCAACCCCUCAGGUUUAACCACCGUCGAUCUCAUGCAUGGCCCCGCUGCUGAUCUCCUCUGGCUCGUUGUCAACAACUUGCCAUCCUACAUCGCCAUCGAGCCCCUUUUGUCAUUUCUGAAGGACACGCUCUGCGACGCUGGCUUGGGAUCCACAGCUUCCAAGUCAGACCUCGUCAACGGUGACCACGAGGAGGGCACCCUCUCCUGCUCUUCCAAGGGGAAAGAUCACAUCUGCUCUUCCAAGGGGAAAGAGCCCGUCUGCGACAUCAGGGAGGGCACCCUGCAACCGUGCUCUUCCAAGGGGAAGGAGCCCAUCUGCGACAACAUGGAGCACAUCUAGGGUCCAUGCUCUUCCCACGGGAAUGAGUCCAUCUGUGACAAGUGAGGAAACCCAUGAUUUGUUUUGCCGUGCCUCUUCACAGGGGGAAACCCAUGAUUUGUUUUGUCAAGUCCCUUUUGUAGUGUAGUGAGAAUAUGUCCAGUUUUAAUUGCUAUAUUGGGUUGUUUGCAGUAUGCCUUGUUUAUUUCAGUUGUUCACAAUGCGAUGCUCUAUAUGUGCAAUUAUUGACUGUGCAGUACAUUUCAUCAAUCUAGUUUUAAACAUACCGAUAGGAAUGCAUAUAUUUGCUUGUUGUUAAGCCUAUUAUAGCUAGCAUAUGCCUCUUUUAAAGUUUUUUGAUUGUUCUAUUGUUUGUAGUUAGCAUAUGUCUAGUUUCAAAUGCUAUCUUUGGUUGUUCGCAGUAUGCCUUGUUUAUUCCAGUUAUUCACAAUGUGAUGUUCUAUAUGUGCAAGUGUGAACUGUGCAGUUCAAUUUCAUCAGUACCAGUUUCAACAAUACAACUAUGGCCCUGUUUGUUUCGGAUUCUGGGACCAGAUUCAACUUUGCCAGUGAAGCCGAAUCUGGAAUCCGAAACAAACAGCUAUUUGGAAUCAGCUUUGCUAGUGAAGCUGAAUCUGGAUUUGGGUCAUUUUUAGUGCAAUUUCCUGAAGCACCUCAAAGUGUACUUCGGUGGUGAAGCUAAUUCGCAGAAAUAGCUUCGCCACUGAAGUGAAUCCAUAGGUGAUUAAAAUCCAAGUGAAGCUGAAACAAACAGGGCAUGAAUGACUACAUUUGGUUGCUGCAUCUUGUAGUUAAACACGCCUUUCCAUUUUUAUUUAACAAUAACCAAUGUACUUAGACCGGCACAAUACCAGUUUGAAUGACUAUGUUUGCUUGUUGUUAAAUGUUAGGCCUGUUGCAGUUAACACACCUUUUCACUUGUUUUGCUUUACUUGCGUGCUUAAACCUGCACACUGAAGCUAUCUUUUGGAGGUUAUUUCGUCUGCCAUGGAAAAUUUUGGUUGAUGUUUAGCCUGUUGUACUUAACAUGCUUCUCGAUGUCCCUACACAGGACAAUUUUUGGAACGACUGUUGUUUUCCAUCGAGGUUAGUUUCAUCCAGUGGCUUAUAUAUGCUCACUGUUCAGGAUAUCGGUAGCUGGUACCAUAUAGGUCGGGGGCUAAUAAGGGACUAAUCGGUGAAUUGGACUUUUAACUGAAUAUAUCUGCAACCCAUUUAUCAUUAGGUUAACUAGGACCAUAUGUAAUAUAUCUAAGGCUACAUAGCAACAUGCACUAUACUUAAUGUCUACAUAUGCAAUCCUAGGCUACAUAGCAACAAGGAAGAGUGUUACCUUAAUGUUCUGAUGAUGUCUAGAUACACGUAGAAGAGCAGCAGCAUCAACAACAACAACACAACCAUGUUUGGAUAUUCAACUUAGCUUAGAGGUUAGAAUUAGUUUCUAGCUCAUGACUAACCCUGAACUAACUCCAUCCAAAGAGGUGUUUGGAUGACAGGGUUAGAUACUUAGAUUGACAACAAAUGCAUAAGGAAAACUAGCUCCAAUUAGCACCUCUUGGCUUGGAUAGUUUUUUUGGUGGGUUAUAAAUGCAACUAGUUCAAACUAGCCCUCAUGUUUCGAUAUACUUUAGGGCCAUUUGAGCCCAAACUAACUCAAACUAACUCUAACCCAUGGAUACAGCAGGAGUUAAUCAACCAAUAAUUUGUUAGAAUGCAAUAAACUCCUUCCGGCCCAUAAUAUAAGAUGUUAAUUCAUCUAAUAUGUGAGUAUAUUGGAUGUUAUAAGACAUUAUAAAAGAGUGUUGUACUACAUCAUUGUGCAAUUGGUGUUUAUCUUCUAAUAUUAACUUGGUGCUUUUAGGUACAUAUGUCAUUGGUAAAGAUCCGCGCUUCGACCCUUUCUGUGUAUGGGGAAAUGAGAUAUCGAUGAACUAGCAUCAAGUGAGGAAGCUGAUAAAGAUUUUUAGUAAAAUGGGUCAAAAGAUGGCAAUUAAACUAUUUGUUUACACUUUAUCCAAUAAAACAGCGAACUGCAGGAUGGUAAGUAAGAACUCUGCAGCCUUCUUUUUACUGCCCAUAAUGAGUUGUGUUAGAUGACAAUGUCUGAAUCGUUUUUCCUUUGCAGUGGUUCCCAAAGCAGUUUACUAAAGAUUACCUCUCAAACUACAUUAUUGGUGAGCAUGCAAAGGUUAAAGCAUUUCUACCAAAACACGAUGAUUAUCUAGAUGUUUCCAUGAAGACCGUGAAGGAUGGGCGGUCGACCAUCACAAGGGGUUGGACUAGAGUCGUGUGUGCCUUCUGCAUAGAGGAGGGCACAAUAUGGGAAUUCCGCUUCACCUUGUUCAGCAACCAGAAUGUAUUUCGCCUCUUUAUUUACCGUCUUUAAUAAUACAGGUAUACAACUGUGGUUCAUCAUUCUUUAUUUGGUUCUUAUGUAAUUCUUGAUGUGUACCUAUGAAUCGAAUAAUGCAUUGGUUGUCUGAACCAGAUGGAUAUGAAUAAAGCUAGAGCAUACAUUCAAUUUCAAUUUUAAUUUGAUAUAGCAGCAAUUAAAUUACGGUGAAAUUAUGCUCCCCAGGUUGUUAUGGCACACGCGGUUGGUAAAACACAAACAUUUGCGAUAUACACCAUAAUCCAAGACGGUUCAUAGAGAGGAAACAUGUGCAAGCAUGCAUACAGUUGCCGUUUGCAAAGUGUGUGUGAUGUCAGACAAUAUCACAAACGGUGCUGGCAAACUAACUGUUUGCGAUAGUUGCCUUAUCGUACACGAUUCGCAACCAUGAACUGUUUCUGAUGAAGUAUGCAUCGUAAACGUUGCACCACAGAAUAGCGUGUGCGAUAGUUGCCUUAUCGUACAUGAUUCGCAACCAUGAACUGUUUCUGAUGAAGUAUGCAUCGUAAACGUUGCACCACUGAAUAGCGUUUGUGAUAGUUGUUGUGUACGACGAUGUUAGACGGUCCGACAUUUCGUAAUCCUAUCCGACACUCAUACGACGAUUAGCUAAUCUUCUUAAUUAGUUAUCGCAUACGGUUUCUGAAAAGCGAAUGUGUGUGAUUGUAUGCUUAUCAUACACGUUCUAUAAUAGUGAACCGUUUGUGAUGGGUCGCGCAUCAUAAACGUAGCACCACAGAAUACCGACUGCGAUAGCAAUGAGACCACAAAUGAAAAGGAGUAUUGUAGGGUCCCUAUCCCCGAUGGUUCUGGGUUGUGGGGGAAGGACCCCCUAUCACCGUCACUCACUAGGCGACGGUUCCAAAUGCCGUCGCGAAAAGGGGUUAAACCCGUUUGUAUAGCACCGACUUGUACCAGUGAGUAAGCAUCCUCCUACUCAUAAGGGCACUAUACAAACUGCCGCUGGUACAAAUCAACAUGUCGUAGGGGUUGGCACAGUCAAGUGCACUUCAAACAUCUCCUUAUCGUCAAUUUUACAUGUGCCACUUUUCCUGUCAAUUUGGUCUCUUUCAGUGCUCUCAUUGAUGAAAUAGAUUGUCGUCUGAUUCUUGACAAGUUCUGAUGCUUGAUUCAGGUAUGAUAAACGAGCUAGAUGGUUGGGACUGGCACCAGGCGUAGGGGGAUUUGGUACAUGGACCAUGAGGUGCAGGAGGUGCAGCCAGAUUUAGUGUGUGCUGUGACCAUGGAGGACAAGGAGAAGCAGGCGAUGAUCCAUCACUAUGAAGGAAAUAUGCCCUAGAGGCAAUAAUAAAGUUAUUAUUUAUUUCCUCAUAUCAUGAUAAAUGUUUAAUAUUCAUGCUAGAAUUGUAUUAACCGGAAACAUGAUACAUGUGUGAAUACAUAGACAAACAUAUAGUCACUAGUAUGCCUCUACUUGACUAGCUCAUUAAUCAAAGAUGGUUAUGUUUCCUAACCAUAGACAUGUGUUGUCAUUUGAUUAAUGGGAUCACAUCAUUAGGAGAAUGAUGUGAUUGACAUGACCCAUUCCGUUAGCCUAGCACUUGAUCGUUUAGUAUGUUGCUAUUGCUUUCUUCAUGACUUAUACAUGUUCCUGUAACUAUGAGAUUAUGCAACUCCCGUUUACCGGAGGAACACUUUAGGUGCUACCAAACGUCACAACGUAAUUGGGUGAUUAUAAAGGAGUACUACAAGUGUCUCCAAAGGUACUUGUUGGGUUGGCGUAUUUCGAGAUUAGGUUUUGUCACUCCGAUUGUCGGAGAGGUAUCUCUGGGCCCUCUCGGUAAUGCACAUCACUAUAAGCCUUGCAAGCAAUGUGACUAAUGAGUUAGUUGUGAGAUGAUGCAUUACGUAACGAGUAAAGAGACUUGCCGGUAACGAGAUUGAACUAGGUAUUGAGAUACCGAUGAUCGAAUCUCAGGCAAGUAACAUACCGAUGACAAAGGGAACAACGUAUGUUGUUAUGCGGUUUGACCGAUAAAGAUCUUCGUAGAAUAUGUAGGAGCCAAUAUGAGCAUCCAGGUUCUGCUAUUGGUUAUUGAUCGAGAAUAUUUCUAGGUCAUGUCUACAUAGUUCUCGAACCCGUAGGGUCCGCACGCUUAAUGUUACGAUGACAGUUUUAUUAUGAGUUUAUAAGUUUUGAUGUACCGAAGUUUGUUCGGAGUCCCGGAUGUGAUCACGGACAUGACGGGGAGUCUCGAAAUGGUCGAGACAUAAAGAUUGAUAUAUUGGAUGACUAUAUUCGGACACCGGAAGUGUUCCGGGGGUUUUCGGAGAAAACCGGAGUGCCGGAGGGUUACCGGAACCCCCCGGGAGAAGUAAUGGGCCUUAUGGGCUUUAGUGGAGAGAGAGGGGCAGCCAGGAUGGGCCGCGUGCCCCUCCCCCUCUGGUCCGAAUUGGACUAGGAGAGGGGGGGCGGCGCCCCCCUCUUUCCCUCUCCCUCUCCCCCUCCCUUUCCCCCUCCUAGUAGGAGUAGGAACGAGGGAGUCCUACUCCUACUAGGAGGACUCCUCCUCCUUGGCACGCCCCCUAGGGCCGNNNNNNNNNNNNNNNNNNNNNNNNNNNNNNNNNNNNNNNNNNNNNNNNNNNNNNNNNNNNNNNNNNNNNNNNNNNNNNNNNNNNNNNNNNNNNNNNNNNNNNNNNNNNNNNNNNNNNNNNNNNNNNNNNNNNNNNNNNNNNNNNNNNNNNNNNNNNNNNNNNNNNNNNNNNNNNNNNNNNNNNNNNNNNNNNNNNNNNNNNNNNNNNNNNNNNNNNNNNNNNNNNNNNNNNNNNNNNNNNNNNNNNNNNNNNNNNNNNNNNNNNNNNNNNNNNNNNNNNNNNNNNNNNNNNNNNNNNUUAUAUACGGGGGCAGGGGGCACCCUAGGACACACAAGUUGAUCUUCAAGAUCGUUCCUUAGCCGUGUGUGGUGCCCCCUCCACCAUAUUCCACCUCGGUCAUAUCGUCGCGGAGUUUGGGCGAAGCCCUGCACCGGUAGAACAUCAUCAUCGUCACCACGCCGUCGUGCUGACGGAACUCAUCCUCGACACUUUGCUGGAUCGGAGUCCGGGGAUCGUCAUCGAGCUGAACGUGUGCUGAACUCGGAGGUGCCGUACGUUCGGUACUUGGAUCGGUCGGAUCGUGAAGACGUACGACUACAUCAACCGCGUUGUCAUAAUGCUUCCGCUUACGGUCUACGAGGGUACAUGGACAACACUCUCCCUCUCGUUGCUAUGCAUCGCCAUGAUCUUGCGUGUGCGUAGGAAAAUUUUGAAAUUACUACGUUCCCCAACAGUGGCAUCCGAGCCUGGUUUUAUGCGUAGAUGUCAUAUGCACGAGUAGAACACAAGUGAGUUGUGGGCGAUACAAGUCAUACUGCUUACCAGCAUGUCAUACUUUGGUUCAGCGGUAUUGUGAGAUGAAGCGGCCCGGACCGACAUUACGCAUACGCUUACGCGAGACUGGUUUCAACGUUACGAGCACUCGUGCUUAAAGGUGAUUGGCGGGUGUCUGUCUCUCUCACUUUAGCUGAAUCGAGUGUGGCUACGCCCGGUCCUUGCGAAGGUUAAAACAGCACUAACUUGACGAACUAUCAUUGUGGUUUCGAUGCGUAGGUAAGAACGGUUCUUGCUCAGCCCGUAGCAGCCACGUAAAAUUUGCAACAACAAAGUAGAGGACGUCUAACUUGUUUUUGCAGGGCAUGUUGUGAUGUGAUAUGGUCAAGACGUGAUGCUAUAUUUUAUUGUAUGAGAUGAUCAUGUUUUGUAACCGAAGUUAUUGGCAACUGGCAGGAGCCAUAUGGUUGUCGCUUUAUUGUAUGAAAUGCAAACGCCCUGUAAUUGCUUUACUUUAUCACUAAGCGGUAGCGAUAGUCGUAGAAGCAAUAGAUGGCGUAACGACAACGAUGCUACGAUGGAGAUCAAGGUGUCGCGCCGGUGACGAUGGUGAUCACGAUGGUGCUUUGAAGAUGGAGAUCACAAGCACAGGAUGAUGAUGGCCAUAUCAUAUCACUUAUAUUGAUUGCAUGUGAUGUUUAUCCUUUAUGCAUCUUAUCUUGCUUUGAUUGACGGUAGCAUUUUAAGAUGAUCUCUCACUAAAAUUAUCAAGAAGUGUUCUCCCAGAGUAUGCACCGUUGCGAAAGUUCUUCAUGCUGAGACACCACGUAAUGAUCGGGUGUGAUAGGCUCUACGUUCAAAUACAAUGGGUGCAAAACAGUUGCACACGUGGAAUACUCAGGUUAAACUUGACGAGCCUAGCAUAUAACAGAUAUGGCCUCGGAACACGGAGACCGAAAGGUCGAGCGUGAAUCAUAUAGUAGAUAUGAUCAACAUAUUGAUGUUCACCGUUGAAACUACUCCAUCUCACGUGACGAUCGGACAUGGUGUAGUUGAUAUGGAUCACGUAAUCACUUAGAGGAUUAGACGGAUGUCUAUCUAAGUGGGAGUUCUUAAGUAAUAUGAUUAAUUGAACUUAAAUUUAUCAUGAACUUAGUACCUGAUAGUAUUUUGCUUGUCUAUGUUUAUUGUAGAUUGAUGGCUCGUGCUGUUGUUCCGUUGAAUUUUAAUGCGUUCCUUGAGAAAGCAAAGUUGAAAGAUGAUGGUAGCAAUUACACGGACUGGGUUAGUAACCUGAGGAUUAUCCUCAUUGCUGCACAGAAGAAUUACGUCCUGGAAGCACCGCUGGGUGCCAGGCCUGCUGCUGAUGCAACUGACGAUGUUAAGAACGUCUGGCAGAGCAAAGCUGAUGACUACUCGAUAGUUCAGUGUGCCAUGCUUUACGGCUUAGAACCGGGUCUUCAACGACGUUUUGAACGUCAUGGAGCAUAUGAGAUGUUCCAGGAGUUGAAGUUAAUAUUUCAAGCAAAUGCCCGGAUUGAGAGAUAUGAAGUCUCCAAUAAGUUCUAAAGUUGCAAGAUGGAGGAGAAUAGUUCUGUCAGUGAACACAUACUCAAAAUGUCUGGGUAUAAUAAUCACUUGAUUCAACUGGGAGUUAAUCUUCCUGAUGAUAGUGUCAUUGACAGAAUUCUUCAAUCACUGCCACCAAGCUACAAGAGCUUCGUGAUGAACUAUAAUAUGCAAGGGAUGGACAAGACUAUUCCCGAGCUCUUCGCAAUGCUAAAAGCCGCGGAGGUAGAAAUCAAGAAGGAGCAUCAAGUGUUGAUGGUCAACAAGACCACCAGUUUCAAGAAAAAGGGCGAAGGGAAGAAGAAGGGGAACUUCAAAAAGAACAGCAAACAAGUUGCUGCUCAAGAGAAGAAACCCAAGUCUGGACCUAAGCCUGAGACUGAGUGCUUCUACUGCAAGCAGACUGGACACUGGAAGCGGAACUGCCCCAAGUAUUUGGCGGAUAAGAAGGAUGGCAAGGUGAACAAAGGUAUAUGUGAUAUACAUGUUAUUGAUGUGUACCUUACUAAUGCUCGCAGUAGUACCUGGGUAUUUGAUACUGGUUCUGUUGCUAAUAUUUGCAACUCGAAACAGGGACUACGGAUUAAGCGAAGAUUGGCUAAGGACGAGGUGACGAUGCGCGUGGGAAAUGGUUCCAAAGUCAAUGUGAUCGCAGUCGGCACGCUACCUCUACAUCUACCAUCGGGAUUAGUUUUAGACCUAAAUAAUUGUUAUUUGGUGCCAGCAUUGAGCAUGAACAUUAUAUCUGGAUCUUGUUUGAUGCGAGACGGUUAUUCAUUUAAGUCAGAGAAUAAUGGUUGUUCUAUUUAUAUGAGUAAUAUCUUUUAUGGUCAUGCACCCUUAAAGAGUGGUCUAUUUUUAUUGAAUCUCGAUAGUAGUGAUACACAUAUUCAUAGUGUUGAAACCAAAAGAUGCAGAGUUGAUAAUGAUAGUGCAACUUAUUUGUGGCACUGCCAUUUAGGUCAUAUCGGUGUAAAGCGCAUGAAGAAACUCCAUACUGGUGGGCUUUUGGAAUCACUUGACUAUGAAUCACUUGGUACUUGCGAACCAUGCCUCAUGGGCAAUAUGACUAAAACACCGUUCUCCGGAACUAUGGAGCGAGCAACUGAUUUGUUGGAAAUCAUACAUACUGAUGUUUGUGGUCCAAUGAAUGUUGAGGCUCACGGCGGGUAUCGUUAUUUUCUCACCAUCACAGAUGAUCUGAGCAGAUAUGGGUAUAUCUACUUAAUGAAACACAAGUCUGAAACAUUUGAAAAGUUCAAAGAAUUUCAGAGUGAAGUGGAAAAUCAUCGUAACAAGAAAAUAAAAUUUCUACGAUCUGAUCGUGGAGGAGAAUAUUUGAGUUACGAGUUUGGUUUACAUUUGAAACAAUGCGGAAUAGUUUCGCAACUCACGCCACCCGGAACACCACAAUGAAAUGGUGUGUCCAAACGUCGUAAUCGUGCUUUACUAGAUAUGAUGCAAUCUAUGAUGUCUCUUACUGAUUUACCGCUAUUGUUUUGGGGUUAUGCUUUAGAGAUGACCGCAUUCACGUUAAAUAGGGCACCAUCAAAAUCCAUUGAGACGACGCCUCAUGAACUGUGGUUUGGCAAGAAACCAAAGUUGCAGUUUCUUAAAGUUUGGGGCUGCGAUGCUUAUGUGAAGAAACUUCAACCAGAUAAGCUCGAACCCAAAUCGGAGAAAUGUGUCUUCAUAGGAUACCCAAAAGAAAUUGUUGGGUACACCUUCUAUCACAGAUCUGAGGGCAAGAUUUUCGUUGCUAAAUUCGGAUCCUUUCUAGAGAAGGAGUUUCUCUCGAAAGAAGUGAGUGGGAGAAAGUAGAACUUGACGAGGUAACUGUACCUGCUCCCUUAUUGGAAAGUAGUUCAUCACAAGAACCGGUUCCUGUGACAACUACACCAAUUAGUGAGGAAGCUAAUGAUAUUGAUCAUGAAACUUCAGAUCAAGUUUCUACUGAACCUCGUAGGUCUACUAGAGUAAGAUCCGCACCAGAGUGGUACGGUAAUCCUAUUCUGGAAGUCAUGUUACUUGACCAUGGUGAACCUACGAACUAUGAGGAAGCGAUGAUGAGCCCAGAUUCCGCAAAAUGGCUAGAGGCCAUGAAAUCUGAGAUGUGAUCCAUGUAUGAGAACAAAGUAUGGACUUUGGUUGACUUGCCCGAUGAUCGGCAAGCCAUUGAGAAUAAAUGGAUCUUUAAGAAGAAGACUGAUGCUGAUGGUAAUAUAACUGUCUAUAAAGCUCGACUUGUUGCGAAAGGUUUUCGACAAGUUCAAGGGGUUGACUAUGAUGAGACUUUCUCACCCGUCGCGAUGCUUAAGUCUGUCCGAAUCAUGUUAGCAAUUGCUGCAUUUUAUGAUUAUGAAAUUUGGCAAAUGGAUGUCAAAACUGCAUUCUUGAAUGGAUUUCUAGAAGAAGAGUUGUAUAUGAUGCAACCAGAAGGUUUUGUUGAUCCAAAAGGUGCUAACAAAGUGUGCAAGCUCCAGCGCUCCAUUUAUAGACUGGUGCAAGCAUCUCGGAGUUGGAAUAAACGCUUUGAUAGUGUGAUCAAAGCAUAUGGCUUUAUACAAACUUUUGGAGAAGCCUGUAUUUACAAGAAAGUGAGUGGGAGCUCUGUAGCAUUUCUAAUAUUAUAUGUAGAUGACAUAUUAUUAAUUGGAAAUGAUAUAGAAUUUCUGGAUAGCAUAAAGGGAUACUUCAAUAAAAGUUUUUCUAUGAAAGACCUCGGUGAAGCUGCUUAUAUAUUGGGCAUCAAGAUUUAUAGAGAUAGAUCAAGACGCUUAAUAGGACUUUCACAAAGCACAUACCUUGAUAAAGUUUUGAAAAAGUUCAAAAUGGAUCAGGCAAAGAAAGGGUUCUUGCCUGUACUACAAGGUGUGAAGUUGAGUCAAACUCAAUGCCCGACCACAGCAGAAGAUAGAGAGAAAAUGAAAGAUGUUCCCUAUGCUUCAGCCAUAGGCUCUAUCAUGUAUGCAAUGCUGUGUACCAGACCUGACGUGUGCUUAGCAAUAAGCUUGGCAGGAAGGUACCAAAGUAAUCCAGGAGUGAAUCACUGGACAUCGGUCAAGAACAUCCUGAAAUACUUGAAAAGGACUAAGGAUAUGUUUCUCGUAUAUGGAGGUGACAAAGAGCUAGUCGUAAAUGGUUACGUUGAUGCAAGCUUUGACACUGAUCCGGACGAUUCUAAAUCGCAAACCGGAUAUGUGUUUUUCUUAAACGGUGGAGCUGUAAGUUGGUGCAGUUCUAAACAAAGCGUCGUGGCGGGAUCUACAUGUGAAGCGGAGUACAUAGCUGCUUCGGAAGCAGCAAAUGAAGGAGUCUAUAUGAAGGAGUUCAUUUCUGACCUAGGUGUCAUACCUAGGGCAUCGGGACCAAUGAAGAUCUUCUGGGACAAUACUGGUGCAAUUGCCUUGGCAAAGGAAUCCAGAUUUCACAAGAGGACCAAGCACAUCAAGAGACGCUUCAAUUCCAUCUGGGACCAAGUCCAGGUGGGAGACAUAGAGAUUUGCAAGAUACAUACGGACCUGAAUGUUGCAGACCCGUUGACUAAGCCUCUUUCACGAGCAAAACAUGAUCAGCACCAAGACUCCAUGGGUGUUAGAAUCAUUACUGUGUAAUCUAGAUUAUUGACUCUACUGCAAGUGGGAGACUGAAGGAAAUAUGCCCUAGAGGCAAUAAUAAAGUUAUUAUUUAUUUCCUCAUAUCAUGAUAAAUGUUUAUUAUUCAUGCUAGAAUUGUAUUAACCGGAAACAUGAUACAUAUGUGAAUACAUAGACAAACAUAUAGUCACUAGUAUGCCUCUACUUGACUAGCUCAUUAAUCAAAGAUGGUUAUGUUUCCUAACCAUAGACAUGUGUUGUCAUUUGAUUAAUGGGAUCACAUCAUUAGGAGAAUGAUGUGAUUGACAUGACCCAUUCCGUUAGCCUAGCACUUGAUCGUUUAGUAUGUUGCUAUUGCUUUCUUCAUGACUUAUACAUGUUCCUGUAACUAUGAGAUUAUGCAACUGCCAUUUACCGGAGGAACACUUUGGGUGCUACCAAACGUCACAAUGUAACUGGGUGAUUAUAAAGGAGUACUGCAGGUGUCUCCAAAGGUACUUGUUGGGUUGGCGUAUUUCGAGAUUAGGUUUUGUCACUCCGAUUGUCGGAGAGGUAUCUCUGGGCCCUCUCGGUAAUGCACAUUACUAUAAGCCUUGCAAGCAAUGUGACUAAUGAGUUAGUUGCAAGAUGAUGCAUUACGUAACGAGUAAAGAGACUUGCCGGUAACGAGAUUGAACUAGGUAUUGAGAUACCGACGAUCGAAUCUCGGGCAAGUAACAUACUGAUGACAAAGGGAACAACGUAUGUUGUUAUGUGGUUUGACCGAUAAAGAUCUUCGUACAAUAUGUAGGAGCCAAUAUGAGCAUCCAGGUUCCGCUAUUGGUUAUUGACCGAGAAUAGUUCUAGGUCAUGUCUACAUAGUUCUCGAACCCGUAGGGUCCGCACGCUUAACGUUACGAUGACAGUUUUAUUAUGAGUUUAUAAGUUUUGAUGUACCGAAGUUUGUUCGGAGUCCCGGAUGUGAUCACGGACAUGACGGGGAGUCUCGAAAUGGUCGAGACAUAAAGAUUGAUAUAUUGGACGACUAUAUUCGUACACCGGAAGUGUUCCGGGGGUUUUUGGAGAAAACCGGAGUGCCGCAGGGUUACCGGAACCCCCCGGGAGAAGUAAUGGGCCUUAUGGGCUUUAGUGGAGAGAGAGAGGGACAGCCAGGAUGGGCCGCACGCCCCCUCCCCCUCUGGUCCGAAUUGUACUAGGAGAAGGGGGGCGCCCCCCUCUUUCCCUCUCCCUCUCCCCCUUCCUUUCCCCCUCCUAGUAGGAGUAGGAAAGAGGGAGUCCUACUCCUACUAGGAGGAGGACUCCUCCUCCUUGGAGCGCCCCCUAGGGUCGGCCGGCCUCCCCCCUUGCUCCUUUAUAUACGGGGGCAGGGGGCACCCUAGGACACACAAGUUGAUCUUCAAGAUCGUUCCUUAGCCGUGUGCGGUGCCCCCCUCCACCAUAUUCCACCUCGGUCAUAUCGUCAUGGAGUUUAGGCGAAGCCCUGCGCCGGUAGAACAUCAUCAUCGUCACCACGCCGUCGUGCUGACGGAACUCAUCCCCGACACUUUGCUGGAUCGGAGUCCGAGGAUCGUCAUCAAGCUGAACGUGUGCUGAACUCAGAGGUGCCGUACGUUCGGUACUUGGAUCGGUCGGAUCGUGAAGGCGUACGACUACAUCAACCGCGUUGUCAUAAUGCUUCCGCUUACGGUCUACGAGGGUACGUGGACAACACUCUCCCCUCUCGUUGCUAUGCAUCACCAUGAUCUUGCGUGUGCGUAGGAAAAUUUUGAAAUUACUAUGUUCCCCAACACACUAUAGGAUGGGGCAUGUAUCUUUUGAUAAGAUGAGUAGAAUAUUUCUGAAUGUGAUGUGUUGAAUAGGCAAGGGAAAGUUAACAUGUGAUGUUUGCGAAUAUGCAAAACACACACGAGCCUCAUAUGUGAGUAAGGACCUUAGGAGCAUAUCUCCUUUUAUGCUUAUUCGUUCGGAUGUAUGGACUGGCCCAGUAGUGUCAAUUAAUGGAAAGAAGUAUUUUGCUACCUUUAUUGGCUGCUACUCUCGUAUGAGUUGUAUUUACUUGAUGCGUCACAAGGAUGAGGUGUUUAGCUGUUUUCAGAACUCCCAUGCUCUUGUAAAGAACCAGUUUCAGGUACAGGUCAAGGUGCUCAGGACUGACAAUGGCACAGAGUAUGUGAACAACAUUUUUGGGGCUUUCAUGGCUGAGCAAGGGAUUCUUCAUCAAACUUCAUGCCCGGACACCCCACCUCAGAAUGGAGUGGCUGAAAGGAAAAAUCGUCAUAUUCUCGAGGUUGCUCGGUCGCUGAUGUUUACCAUGAAUGUGCCCAAGUUCUUAUGGGAUGAAGCAGUUAUGAUAGCCACAUACCUGAUAAACCGGACACCUUCUAGGAUACUAGGUAUGAAAUUGCCAUCUGAGUUGCUCGUUGGAGAUAAUAAGUUUGUUGUUUCCCCAAAGUUGUUUGGUAGUACCUGCUUUGUUCGUGAUCAUCGACCAUCUAUUGGAAAGCUUGAUCCUCGAGCAGUGAAGUGUGUCUUUCUGAGAUACUCUUCUAGUCAGCAGGGGUAUAAAUGUUGGUGUCCCUCUAAAAAAACGCAGGUUUGUAAGUAUGGAUGUUACCUUUAGGGAGUCUGAGCCAUUCUAUGGUGAGCCGACUGAUCUCAAACUGUUGUUUGCAGAGCUAGACCACCUACACCCAGUGCAAGAUGGUCAAGUGGGGGAGAAGGAUGCUUCUCAUACUCACAGUGAUUCUGUGGGCAUUAACACUGAUAAUGAUGUGCAAGUUCAGGUCCAACCAAUUGUAGGUACAAUUCCAGUUAGUACUCUCACCAAUGAUGAUGUGCAGGUUCAUGUCGAGCCAACUGUCGAUACACUUAAGAUUGAUGCUCUCCAGGUUCCUGUUCGGGGUCGAUGGCAGACGAAUACCCUGGUGUACUCUCGACGGCAACCACACAUGCAGGGGGGGCAGCAAGGCAUUGAGGCAAGAGUGUGGGUGAGUAGCAAGGCAGUGAGGCAAGCUCAUCUGACACGGUGGAGCUGCCCAUUGUGUUGCGAAUUGCUACAUGUGAAGCGGCAAGGAAGGGUGAAGUAGCAAGGAAGGCUCUACCAAAGGAUGAUGCUUGUGAUGACCUUGAUAUUGGAAAUUUUGUGUCUUAUAAGGCUUUUUCACUUUCAUAUAAGGCGUUUGUUGCCUCCCUUCAAACUGUGUCAAUCCCAAAGCAUUGGAAGGCUGCAAAGCAAGAUCCGAAGUUGCGUGAAGCAAUGAUAGAAGAGUUGGAAGCACUGAGAAAAAACAAGACGUGGGUGCUAACCACAUUGCCAGCAGAAAAGAAAGCAGUGAGUUGUAAGUGGAUCUAUACAGUGAAGUAGAAUCCCGAGGGGAAGGUGGAACGGUACGGCCAGAUUGGUCGCCAGAGGAUAUAGUCAAACUUAUGGAAUUGACUAUGAUGAGACGUUUGCUCCCGUGGCAAAGAUGAACACGGUAAGGAUAUUGGUCUCAUGUGUUAUAAACUUUGGGUGGAAGUUGCAUCAAUUAGAUGUCAAGAAUGCCUUCUUGCAUGGUGAGUUGCAGGAAGAAGUGUACAUGGAGAUACCACCAGGUUUUGGUACUUCAAAGACCACGGGGAAGGUAUGCAGGCUGAAGAAAUCCUUGUAUGGACUAAAGCAAUCACCAAGGGCAUGGUUUGAUAGGUUCAGACUUGCGGUCCGUGGUAUGGGGUAUGGUCAGUGUAACGGUGACCACACCAUGUUCUACAAGAACUUCGAUCGAAAGAUCAUGAUCCUUACUGUUUAUGUGGAUGACAUUAUCAUCACUGGAGAUGAUAGGGAGGAAAUAGAGAGAUUGAAGGGCUGUCUGAGCAAGGAGUUUGAGGUAAAGGAUUUGGGCAAUCUAAAAUACUUCCUUGGCAUUGAAGUGGCUCGGACAGAGAAGGGAAUCUCUAUGUGCCAACAAAAAUACACCUUGGAUUUCUUGAGUGACAUGGGCAUGAUGGGGUGUCGUGCUGCCCCUACUCCGAUUGAACAAAAUCAUCAAGUGACAACACAAUCAGGAGAGCUAGUGAAUAAGGAAGAUUGUCAUAAAUUGGUUGGGAGGUUAUUGUACUUGUGUCAUACCAGGCCUGGCAUUACAUACGCCGUGGGGGUGGUGAGCAGAUACAUGCAUGAAUCAAGGAGUGGGCAUCUUGAUAUUGUGCAGAGAAUCCUGAGAUACUUGAAGGGGACUCCGGGUAAAGGGUUGUGGUUUGGGAAGAGUGGACACCUUGAGGUGGAUGGCUAUAGUGACUUUGACUGGGCCAGUUGUCAAGAUGAUAGAAGAUCCACUUCUGGCUACUACGUGUUUGUGGGAGGAAAAUUGGUGUCAUGGAGAAGCAAGAAACAACCGGUUGUGUCUAGAUCAACAGCAGAAGCUGAGUAUAGAGCAUUAUCUCAAGGAUUAUGUGAGAUGCUUUGGGUGAAGUACCUACUGAGUGAGUUGAACCUUCUGAGGAAGGGACCCUUGAAGGUGUGCUGUGACAAUCAGUCAGCUAUAGCCAUUGUUAAUAACCCAGUUCAACAUGAUAGGACAAAGCAUGUGGAAAUUGAUUUCAUUAAGAAGAAACUUGAUGUUGGGAUCAUCGGCCUUACUCAUGUCAGCUCUGGGCAACAGUUUGCGGAUUGCUUGACAAAGGUACUGGGAACAAAGGAUUGUAACUUGGCAUGUAGAUGGAAAUGAUAGAUAUCUACCACCCAUCUUGAGGGGAGUGUGGAACCAGUAUGGGCCCAAGUCCGUCUUCUUAUCUCUUAGGUCCCAAGCCCAUGUGGAGGUGCUGACCUAGAAAGGGGCAUCCAGCCCUCCCGUUCCCAGAAGAGCCACCACACACGAUAGACACCUCGCGCGAGUCACCAGACACCAUGAGCUCUCCUAUCUGAAGGUACUCCCCCUCUCGUCUCAACAAAAUGUCUGUGCAGAAGAAUGUGUGACCACACUGCUGACAUAGAGUUUUAUCCCACCACCAAAUCGAAGUCCUCCUGGGCUAUCACCUCUGCUUUCCACGAUCCCCAACAACUACAUACAACUCAUGAUCAAGGCUUGAGCAUGCAAAAGAUGAUAGCUACCUGCCACACAAAAAAUCGGAUGACGAAAUUUCCCCGUUGUGUGCGUGACGAAGCCAUAGACGAGGGAGGAGGUCACCAACAUUGCCGUCCUUGCCUGCGGCAGCAAAUUGGUGGCCGGCCAGCAUACCAAGGAGUAAUUAUCUCCAGUAUAGUCAGAAGAAUCCCGCGUCGGUUGUGCUCGACGCCGCCGCUGCUUCACAGGUUUAACCUUUUCCUUUUUUGAGGAUUCCUUCACUGGCUUAAUCAAACCUGGCCACAUGUCCCGGCUAUGUAUUAAAAAAUGUUACAAAAUUGGUACAGCCAGGACAUGUAUCUUUUUCUUUUUUGACUAUGUAUUAAAAAAUGUUAAAAAAUGGUACAGCCGGGACAUAGGAAAAAAAGAAAUAGCCGAUGCGGGACAUAGUAAAAAAAUCUUUAAAAAUGGUACAGCCGGGACAUGUACCAAUUUUAUAAUACAUAGUCAACAUGUUUUCAAGAUUAAGCCGGGACAUCUACACAGGUUUAACAUUUUUAAGCUUAACCAAACCCUUUUCUUUUUCUAGAUUUGUAUUUAACAUUUUUCUAAUAGAUAGUCAACAUUUUUUACACCAUUUUUUUUAAAUCAAGUGCUUGAUUAACAUUUUUCGAAUCCAAGAUUUACAUUUUUAACACAUGGUCAACAUUUUUCCUAUAAACAUUUUAAACCUUUUUCAAAUGCUUGAUUAAAAAUUUCAAAUAUAGGAUUAACAUUUUUCUAAUACAUCAUAAUAUUUUUCUAUGAUUGUUUAACAUUUGUCAAAUGCUUUAUCAAUACCUUAAAGUGCAAGAUUAACACUUUUUUAAUGCAUGGUCAAUAUUGUUUCUAUACACAUUUAACAUUUUCCAAAUGCUUGAUUAAAUUUUUUGAAAUACUUCUUUAAUAUUUUUAAAAAUGCUUGAUUAAUAUUUUCAUAUGCAUAAUCAAAAUAUUUCAUCAUUUUUUUCACAUGGUCAAUAUUUUUUCUAAACACAUUCAACAUAUUUUUCAAACACUUUAUUAACAUUGUUCAAAUACAUUUUAAACAUUUUUUGAAAUUUUUGAUUAACAUAUUUUAAAUACAUGAUCAAGUUUUAUAACAGACAUUAUAUAUUUGUCUGUAUAAAUUUUUCGUAUGCAUGGUCAACAUUUUUAUAUACACAUUUAACAUUUAAAAAUGCAUGAUUAACAUUUUUAAAACACUACAAAAAUUAUACUUUGUAAUAUAUAUAUUUGGACUUUUUAGAAGUGUAAAGAACAGUUAAAAAAGAGGUAAACAAAUAAAACAAAAGGUCGAACAAACAUAAAAAAGAGGCAAUGGCCUCGCGCGAUAUGGGCCGGCCAUUUGGGCCGGCGCCUCAGCGACAGCUGAGUCUGUCUCGCUUGCAGGGAGACAUAGGGCGUAUUUGGUUGAUGUCCUCAUCGCUUCGUGCGUCCCUAGAGUCUGCUUGAAAAUUACCUGAAGAGUGUUUGGUUUAAAUCCAUGGCAUAGAAGCUCGCCUGGCAUGGCGACCUCAAAACUUUGCCUAGCCUGGCCGCUGACCCCAGGCACCUUGAUUAGCCUCUCCCGGGCACUACGAAUAGGUUGCCUGGGUGCUGCCUGGCAACCCAUCUUUCUUUAUUAGCAGGAUUCUCUUGUGGGGCUAGGUCUGAAACAGACGCUUUUUUCACUGUAAUCCUUCUUCAGGCUAGGUAUGCAACCAAAACACUCCAUGCCUGGGUAGGCAGAAAAUUGCUAGUUCCCAGGCUGGGUCCAGGCAUCAAUUUUUCCCAGGCAUGGAAGCCAGGUCGUGAACCAAACACGCCCAUAGUCACGAGAGCUCCUAUUGGGCGCGUUUAGCUUUUCUGGCGCCCACGCCCCAUCCCUCGUGGGCCAGCCCAUUUACAUGGCUCACUAUUGACUUUUGAGAGAAAAAAAAGAAAAUCGAAAUAGAUUGUGAAUUUAAAAAUGUCAUGAUUCUGAAAAUAAAUCAUUGGUUUGAAAAAUAUUCAUUGAAUUUGAAAACUAGUUCAUCGAGUUUGAAAAAAAAUCAUCAAUUAAAAAAAGAUCAUCGUAGUUGAGAAAAAGUUCAUCGAUUUGAAAAAAAGUUCAUCCAAUUUUUAAAAAUGCCCAUCAAAUUUGAGAAAGAAAGUUCAACGAUAUGAAGAAAAAAUUACGAAUUUGAAUAAAGUUCAUCGAAUUUUUUAAAAAAUGGAAAAAGGAAAUAAGAAAGGAGAAAGAAGAAUAAAAAAGAAAAUAUAUGUAACUAAACAUAUCUGGUGGUUUGGCUAUGUGGUUACUGUCGAUCGGGUUCGAAGCACUAAGCGACCGCAAAAUAGGAAUCGCCAUUGCUUUUCGACCUUGUGGGCCGUGUCUUUUUAAUAUAAAAAUUCAGAACAAGUUUUUUUAGGGAACUUAAAUUUUAAGUAAAGUACAGAAAAAUCUACCGCGCGGCCCAACCCAGGCCUGCAGCCGCACGCUGGCUCCCAGUUNNNNNNNNNNNNNNNNNNNNNNNNNNNNNNNNNNNNNNNNNNNNNNNNNNNNNNNNNNNNNNNNNNNNNNNNNNNNNNNNNNNNNNNNNNNNNNNNNNNNNNNNNNNNNNNNNNNNNNNNNNNNNNNNNNNNNNNNNNNNNNNNNNNNNNNNNNNNNNNNNNNNNNNNNNNNNNNNNNNNNNNNNNNNNNNNNNNNNNNNNNNNNNNNNNNNNNNNNNNNNNNNNNNNNNNNNNNNNNNNNNNNNNNNNNNNNNNNNNNNNNNNNNNNNNNNNNNNNNNNNNNNNNNNNNNNNNNNNNNNNNNNNNNNNNNNNNNNNNNNNNNNNNNNNNNNNNNNNNNNNNNNNNNNNNNNNNNNNNNNNNNNNNNNNNNNNNNNNNNNNNNNNNNNNNNNNNNNNNNNNNNNNNNNNNNNNNNNNNNNNNNNNNNNNNNNNNNNNNNNNNNNNNCGGGACCUCCACGAGCGCGUCACCCCGGCGCACCCGCCGAGACUGCUGCGCCGCCGCGCCGCCGCGAGAAGGGCGGAGGUCCCCAGGGCGAGAGCGUCAAAAGGAGGAGAGGGAGGUGGGACAGGCGCCCUGCCGCCACCGCGGGCAGGCCGCCGCCGGCGCCGGCGACAGAGGAGGACGUGGCUGAGGGGGCUGAAGGUGAGGCGGCUGGAAAUCGCCCGGUGAGUCGCAAGAGCAACCCACGGGACGGAGGGAAAAGUGGCGGCGGAUUCCUUGGUUUUCACUGUUUCGUUCCCAAAUCAGAUUCGACCGGGCAGGCAUAUCCAGUUCUCUCCCGGAUUGGAUUGGGGUGGGAAGGAUCUACAUCAGAACGCGGCCGGAGCAGCCGCCGGAGCUGCCGUAGUCUUGGUCUCUUUGAUUUGCAGCUCCGGCCGCCCGUGUGAUUGUAGUCGACCUGCUCUAAAGCUGAGGUGUUCGUCUCUGUCCAUCCACAAUGGAAGCUCCAGCCCCAGAUUGGUCCGGGCUACCAGCGGACAUAUUGAUCAGCAUAUUCCAGUUGCUCCAGUGCCCGGACCUCCUCCGAUCCGCCGCCGUCUGCACAUUCUGGCAAAAGGCGUACUCCACGCUCCGCCGCAGCAGCGUCUGCCCCAGUCGGCAGACCCCCGGCUUACUCUAUUGUACCGAGGCCGCCUGUGCGAAGGCUCUUGGCAUGUACAGUCUCUCCGAACGGAAGGACUACUCCAUGCCCCUCCCUGAACCUCCCAUCAGCAACUGGAUUGGCUCAUCACAUGGAUGGCUAGUCACCAUGGAUGAGAAGUCUGACCUGAUGCUUCUCAACCCUAUCACCGGUGACAAGAUUGCACUCCCUCCUGUGACAACCAUGGAGCAUGUUAAACCUAUCGUAAACGAAGACGGGAUUCUUGAAAAGUACAAGCUGUCUUUCUAUGACGGACAGCUUCCGAGGGUGGAGGAUACACCCUAUGCAUGCCCUUUGGAUAGGUAUGGAGAUCUGGUCUAUCUGAAGGCAACUUUGUCGUCCGAUCCAUCGGCAAGGGAAUGCACUGUCAUGCUCAUCCAUCAGCCGUACGCGCAGCUCUCAUUCGCCAGAGUGGGAGAUGCUCACUGGAACUGGCUCCAAAUGCAUAGUUUCUAUGCAGAUUGCAUACACCAUGAUGGCUGUUUCUACGCAAUGACUGAGGUAGGCGCAAUCGAUGAGUUUGAUUUGAACGGACCAUCUGUCGUCCACAGAAGGAUUUUACCAAAUCUAGUUGGGAUGGUCCAGAAGUGCUACAUUGUUCUGGCACCAUGGGGAGAUUUCCUCCAAAUCAUUAAGGAGGAGAGUUUGGAUCCUGAACAACCAGAUGGUGAGACGUAUGUCACUGCUUAUGAAGUGUACAAGGUUGAUUUUGUUGAGCUGAAGCGUGUCAAAAUGAGAGGGAUAGGUGAACAUGCAUUGUUCACUGGGAAAAGCACAACAUCUUGCUUUAGCGUAAAGAAUCAUCCAGGCUUGAUGGAAAACCAUCUAUAUUUUACUCAUGAUGAUCACGAAGAAUUACUCAGCGGCAAAGAUGAUCCACGUGACAUAGGAGUGUACGACUUGGAAAAUGAUACCAGAACCAAUUUGGUUGAUCCUGAACCCUGGAGGACGUGGUUCCCUCCCAUAUGGUUCACACCCAAUCUUGCAAAAGCAGGUAUAUUUCAUUUUCAAACAGAACUUUUCCUAAUAUUAUUUUUAGUAUUUUGAAAUCUGCUUCUCACAGAAUAAGAGAAUUGCACUUCCAACCUUAAGUGUGUUCCCUUCGUCUGGGUCUGUAUUGGAUGUUCAGAAUAGCUUCAGCAUUUGGUUAUGUUGAAUUUCUUAAACCUCUUUGGCUAAGAUUACCAUGUUAGCCAUGUGUUGUUUUUGCUAAAUGACAUGAAACGUGAUGAGGUUUAUAGGUUGGCUUUGAUACAUUUUUUAUGCUGUUGUGCUUGUCUGGCCAAGUGUUAUAGAAGAAACGUUGCAUUCUCACCUAACAAAUAGGCUAUCGUGAAGCAGCCAACUCAUAUUGGGGAAAUAAGAAACUAUAAAGUGUGAAUAGUCUCGAGACGAAUGCAAGAUAAUCUAGAUCUAAUUGACAAUAUCAGUGUUAUAUUUCCGGAUAUGUAUGGAGUAAAUCUCUACCUAAUAAUAAAGCAAAUUGGGUUUCGGCGGUCCGUCAUGCACUUUUGCAGAAAACCCCCUGCGUUUUCUAUGAAUUAACCCGCAGUACACACUUAAGUCAUAACCGAACCGUUAUUUUACAUUUUUACGGAAACCCCCCUAACGUAUUAGAUAAUUCACCCGCCGAUCAUAUACAAGUCAAACACAUGUUUUUUCUAAAUUAUCCAUAUCUUUUAAACCGUAACUCCGAUUUUAACAUGUUAUAUAUGAAAAUUGAUUAGAAAAAUGUGUAGAAUCUGAAUAUGAUGUUAUUUUCUUUGUUAAAUAUUUUUUAAAUAUUAUUUUGGAAGAUAUUUAAGUCAAACAAAUAUUUUUCUUAAUUAUCCAUAUCUAUUAAACCGUAACUCUGAUUUUAACAUGUUAUAUAUGAAAUUUGAAUAGAAAAAUAUGUCGAAUUUGAAUAUGAUGUUAUUUUUACCUAUUAAAUAUUUUAAAAUAUUAUUUUAAAAGCAAACUUGUAACCUAUAGGGCACGUCCGUUUUUCUUUCGUACCGCGACGAUCUGGAUUGCAAAUAAACAACCACAAAAAUCAUAAAGAGACGAAAGAAAACAUCGAUAACCACACAUGAGCACCUCUGAACAAACUGGCAGGGGAAAAACAACAUUCAAACAUACUUUGGUUUGUGUGAACACCAAGGCCACUGAAGAUGAGAAGGAGGAUAAGCGGCAACACAAAAAUGAUGCCUCGCUAAAAUAAAGGGCAUGAACAUAUUAUGGUUAUUGGGUUUAGAGUGUGUGUUAUUUUUUUCUCCCGUUGCAAAGCACAGGCUCUUUUGCUAGUAAUACUAAUAUGGAUGGCAGAUAAUUCAGAAUUCUGGAUACAAUGGACAAAUGUGCGUUCACCCUUUACAGUACUACCAUGAUCACACACAAACUCCACACGAUAACUAUAAAACAAACUAGGAAGAAUAUAAAGAUGGUGGUAUGUAUCCUGUGAAAAUGGGCAUGUUUUUGAUAAUGUGAAAAUACAAUCAGAAAAGCACACGUGCAAGUAUCUUAAAAUUCUCAAAAUAACUCUCUUACUUUGUAAGGACGUUUUGUACAUUCAUGCCAAUUUGAAACUUCAAAUCCAGUGUACUUUGUGUGCUACAGAAAAGAAAUCCGAAUGUGAAUAGUGUACUAAAAUUAAAACUAUGCUUUGACACUAUUAGCCUAUUUUGUCUUGUUUUGUUUUCGUAAAAGGAUUUCUCUUUCGAGAAAGUUUGCACGGCUCUUCCACAAUAGUUCACUUUUGUGAGACUUUGUAUGUGAUCUUUAAAUGGUAUGUCAAUUUUUUGGAAAGAUGUGCAUUUUCGCAGGAUAUGUCCCACUAAAUACAUUGGGGGUUAAGAUGAUUUAGCAUAUCAUUUAUGUUGUCUGGCCGGGUAAGAAAUUCAUGCAACAAAAAAACAUUUCUUUUAAUGUUAAGCUAGCCUUUUUUGUUUCUUCUUAUUUUGAGUUUCGUUUUCCUUUUCCAUUUGCUUAGAGUUUCUAGAUUUGUGCCCCUUCGUUCUCUCUUGCUGUUUCAAUUUGUGCAGUUUUGUGCCUUCUUGCCGUUCUUAUUCUAAUACUGGAUUUGGUCUUGUUCGAGAAAAGAGUGCAAAUUUCAGCCGAUAGUACCUUUAAUAUUUGUCUUUCCUUUUAUAUCCAGUUGUUCAAAUGUGCACCUCGCUGUUAUUUGCAUUUUAAGUUUUCUUUGAUAUUUGUUCUGAUUAUUAUCUUUCAUUGGAGAAGUGGUUUACUAAUAAGUAAAAAAAUUGCAACCGAAUGUACAGCAACAUUUGACAUAAAUCACAUAUCUCAUUCUUUAAUCUUUAUCUAUUCUGUUCUCAUAGAAGUUACAUUAAUUCUUGUGAACUGCUAGGGUGAUCAUUUGUUGACUAUUAACUUAAUUAGGCUUAAUAGCCUAUCAGGGCUUAUAAAUGCACUUACACGGUUACACCACAUGUGAUGGACUGAUCGUGUACCUGUUUACUCUGAUAAAAUCUCCUUGUCAGUUUUUUCUUCUGUUUAACAUGGAACUGAAUUAUUGCAUGGAUCCGAAAAGAACCACCUACUACCGUAGAUUAAAAAAUUGUAGGAAUGCUUGCAAUCAUUGUAACGAUGGACAUAUGUUUAUUGUCGUGUUAUGUGUUACUUUGCAUAGUCCAUGUCUUCAUGCUUGCUUGAAACAAUGCAACCUUUUGCCACUGUCUACUUGCAAUAAAUACAAUUUGCAUGGAAAAUUAAAAAAGAAAGAUUAACAUUAUAAUUUGAGAGAAGUGCUCAUAUAUCAUAUUAUUAUAUUCUGGUCACUUUUCGGGUUAGUUGCUAGCUCAUUUCCCUGUCAGACUCUCACCUAAAGGUAGGCCAUUAUGAAUCAGUCAUUUUUACUAUUUUCUCCUGUGGCAAAUUUUAGCAUGGUUCCUCUUACCUCCCCUUUUCACAUGAGAGGUAAGAGUACAUAAUAGAUCUGAGCCAGUGAUUUGAUUAAAUAGUGGUCUGAUUUACUCUUACCUUCUUACCUCCCAUGUGAAAAGAGGGGGUAAGAGGGAGCAUGUUAAAAUUACUCUUCUCCUGUUAUAUAUAUGACCCUCUCUCUCAUUUUUGCGAUGUAGCCACAUGUUCUGUUAGUACUUCAUUAACAUCUUAUUCCGUGAGUAUCGGUCCUUAACCCAAUGCGUAGUCUCACAUAUUCUGCCUUUCUUUGAAUAUAUGAUUUUAUAUCAUACACAAAGAAAUUAUGAGCUCUUUUACUGUACCCUGAUACUCCGAAAGCAUGCAUUGGAGUACCAGGCAGAUUUUGGCAGUCACACGGAAGGGCAACCCCAUCAUUUCCCAAAUGGUACAAAAGGGUAUUUUUGGACUUCUUCUCUGCCAUUUUGAUAGAGCCCACAGCCCCCUGGUCCUGCCCUUGCUGUGCCGUCGUGCCCUAGCACGCGCCGCAGGUUAUCCAAGUUCGAGUGGCGGCGCCCCAGUCCCCAGGUCCUGCCCUCUCCGUGCCGUUGUGCCUCAGCGCGCGCUGCCACCAUCCCUGUCAAGCGUCUUCGGUCAAGCUGCCACCCCACAACAGGUUCCCCCCUGUCGAGCAAGUUCCCCACAUGAAGAACUCUUAGGAAUCUUAGAAAUUAUAUAUGAACUACAUGCCAAAUUGGCGUCAAAAUUGCCAUUGUUUAAGCUGUCAGCUUGCUUUGUGCACAAAUUGUUGAAGAGAACAGAUGUGCUUCAGCUUGUGCAGAAACUAUCAGCUGCGGCAUAUCAGAUUAAGACGCAGCAGUGGUUGUUUUAACACUUACCGUGAUGCUCUGACACCGUCCCUAGCAGCCGUGCGCUCAUUCAGAAUGUAGAAUUGUCUUUGUUUCGCCAUCAAUCUUACCAACAAAGGUUAAUCCAAUAUGACAACUCUGUUUUUUAUAUGAUCAAGCCAAGCUGCUGCGAAUGAAUUGCAGAUUCCGAGCUUUGAUACCUUUUCAUAGAAGAAAAGAAGUUAACUUAUAAGACUAUACUGACUACAACAUUUCUUACAUGGUGUGUUCAUAAGAAUAAGAAUGAAAAUUUGGCCUUCACUGUGAGCCUCCCAUGGAAUCCUUCCUUGUUCCAUGCUGAAUUCUGAUUGCAUUUUUCUGUUCUGUCAGGGCUGUUGGCCUUUUUGUUUGCCCUAUGGAUUUUUUUAAUUCUUUUGGUUAUUCUACAAUAUCUACUGCAAUACAUGGAAUCCUUGAUCGCCUCUUAUGAUGAAUUAAGUCAUUUACAAUUUAACCCUGUGAGUCUAAUAACACUGAUCUUACACAUUCUAAUAUUUUUACUUAUCUACAGAUGCCAUGUGCGCCUGCACCCAAGGGGUGUCGACUUCUGCAAGUACAAGUGUGGUCACAGCAAGCAGCUGGCCCAAGAAGAAGAUCAAGAAGUAGAGUGCCACCAAUCAGUUUAAUGGACCUGUUAAAAUCCAUCGCCGUGUCAAAUUUUAUGCUUCGUUAUUGUCUCCUGUGGUCGUUGAACCUUGUUUACUUUGCUUUCAGCCUCAUAUUGCUUUGGUGAUCUUUGAAAGAAAAUUUGUAUCAUGACUAUGAUGAAGGUAGAUGAUGUUGCUGCGUAAAUUGUGGUCAUUUUCAUCCUGCUACAGUCUGCUCUUAUAAAAUGUCUGCAGAAGAAUGUGUGAUCACACUGCUGACAUUGAGUUUUUAUCCCACCACCAAAUCGAAGUCCUCCUGGGCUAUCGCCUCUGCUUUCCACGAUCCCCAACAACUACAUACGCUCAUGAGAAGACGUGAGAAAAUUUGUAUAGUCAGACAAAUCCCGCAUCGGCUGGUGCGCGACGCCGCCGCUGUUUCACAGGCUUAACCUAUUUCUUUUUUGAGGAUUCCUUCACAGGCUUAAUCAAACCUGGCCACAUGUCCUGACUGUGUAUUAAAAAAAUGUUAAAAAAUUGGUACAGCCGGGACAUGUACCUUUUUCUUUUUUGACUAUGUAUUAGAAAAUGUAAAAAGAAAAAUGGUACAGCCGGGACAUAGUAAAAAAAGAAAUAGCCGACGCGGGAUAUAGUAAAAAAUCUUAAAAUUUGGUAGAGCCGGGAAAUGUACCAAUUUCUUUAAACGUUUUUCUAGAUUAAGCUGGGACAUCUACAUAGGCUUAACAUUUUUAAGCUUAACCAAACCUUUAUCUUUUUCUAGAUUUGUAUUUAAUAUUUUUCUAAUACAUAGUCAAAAAUUUUAUACCAAUUUUUAAAAAAUUCAAGCGCUUGGUUAACAUUUUUCGAAUACAAGGUUUAUGUUUUUUAAAUCAUAGUCAACAUUUUUCCUAUAAACAUUUUAAACCUUUUUCAAAUGCUUGAUUAACAUUUUUUAAAUACAGGAUUAACAUUCUUCUAAUACAUGGUAAUAUUUUUCUAUGAUUGUUUAAUAUUUUUCAAAUGCUUUAUCAAUAUCUUAAAAUGCAAGAUUAACACUUUUUUACUGCAUGGUCAAUAUUUUUUUUAUACACAUUUAAAAUUUUCCAAAUGCUUGACUAACAUUUUUGAAAUACUUAUUCAACAUUUUUUAAUGCUUGGUUAACAUUUUCAUCUGCAUGAUCAAAAGAUUUCAUCAUUUUUUCAUAUGUGGUCAAUAUUUUUUCAAAUGGUUUAUUAACAUUUAUUUCAAAUUUUUGAUUAACAUAUUUUAAAUACAUGAUCAAGUUUUAUAACAGACAUUAUAUAUUUGUUUGUAUAUAUUUCUCGCAUGCAUGGUCAACAUUUUUUAUACACAUUUAAAAUUUUGAAUGCAUGAACAUUAUGAAAAUUAUAAUUUGUAAUAUAUAUUUUUAGACUUUUUGGAGGUGUAAAGAAAAGUUUAAAAGAAAGUGAACAAAGAAAACAAAAGGAAAGGUGAAACAAACAUAAAAAAGAGGCAAUGGCCUCGCGCGAUCUGAGCCGGCCAUUUAGGCCGGCGCCUCAGCGACAGCUGAGUCUGUCUCGCAACGAGACAUAGUGGCGGGAGCUCCUAUUGGGGGAAUCCUAUUUGGCGCUUAUGCGCCCGCUCGCAAACCGGCGCCUGCAGGGCGCGGCUAGUUGGGCCCGGCCCAUCUUCCGCUUCCUUCAUAGAAAAAGCUGAUAAAAAAGGAAGCAUAGUUUGCCGGAUUCGAACCUAGGACCUAUAGGUUCGCAGAACAACGCAACAACCACAAGGAUAACGACCCACUUAUGAUACUUUAUUUCGUUUUUCCCUUCUUAUUCUUUCCAAAGAUCGCGAUGCCCGCGUAUUUUUUUCUUUUUGUUGUUUUUUCUCUGUUUCUCUUUUGUUUCCUUUUUCUUUUGCAAAUGCGCGAACAUUUCUUAAUUUUAUUUUUAUGAAUCAAUGAACCCUUUCUAAAAUUUGUGAACUUUUUUGUGAAUUGAUGAACUUUUUCAAAAUGGAUGAACUUUUUUCAAUUUUAGUGAACUUUUUUCAAAUCCGUGAACUUUUUUCAAAACCCAGUGAACUACUUUUUCAAAAUGGAUGAACUUUUUUCAAUUUUAAUGAACUUUUUUCAAAUCCAUGAACUUUUUUCAAAACCCGGUGAACUACUUUUUCAAAAUGGAUGAACUUUUUCCAAUUUUAAUGAACUUUUUUUCAAAUCCGUGAACUUUUUUCAAAACCCAGUGAACUACUUUUUCAAAAUGGAUGAACUUUUUUCAACUUUAAUGAACUUUUUUUCAAAUCCGUGAACUUUUUUCAGAAUCAGUGAUUUUUUUAAAUCCGUGAACUUUUUUCAAAACCCAGUGAACUUCUUUUGAAUUCGUGAUUUUUUCAUUCAAAUUGGAUGAACUUUUUUCAUAACCUCGUGAACUAUUUUCAAAUUCGAGAUUUUUUUAAUUCAGAAACGAUGAAAGUUUUUUCAAGUCAAUUAACUUGUACUGAAGAAAGUGUUAAGUAGGUUGUUUCCUCACUGUACACAAGGAAGUCCAGCGUGGCCUAGUGGUUAUCACUUUGUGCGGUUGACAUGGGCGGUAGGAGUUCGAAUCCCGCUUCACCUUUUUAUUCUGUAAUUUUUUUCAUCGCGUUAGAUUUUUGAGCAGAUUUCUCGCCGGCCCGCUACACCUCACAGGCGGCCCGCUAUGCCGCGGCUGCGAGCGCCAGCAGCGCUAACGGGCGCUUAAAGCGCUGAGUAGGAGCUCCCCUCCUAUUGGGCGCGUUUAGCGCCGGGAAAGCUUCUUGGCGCCCACGCCCCGUCCCUCGUGGGCCAGCCUAUUUACAUGACUCACUGUUGACUUUUGAGAGAAAAAAUAAAAAAACAAAAUAAAUCGCGAAUUUAAAAAUGUUCAUGAUUUUGAAAAAAAACGUCGGUUUGAAAAAAUUUCAUUGAAUUUGAAAACUAGUUUCAUCGAGUUUGAAAAAUAUUCAUCAAUUACAAAGAAAAACGUUCAUCGUAUUUGAAAAAAAGUUCAUCGAUUAAAAAAAGUUCAUCCAAUUUUUAAAAAGUUUGUGAAACUUGAGAAAAGAAGUUCAACGAUAUGAAGAAAACAAUUACGAAUUUGAAUAAAGUUCAUAGAUUUUUUUUAAAUGUGAUAAGGAAAGAAGAAAGGAGAAAGAAGAAUAAAAAGAAAAGAUCUAACUAAACACAUCUGGUGGUUUGGCUGUGUGGUUACUGUCGAUCGGGUUCGAAGCACUAAGCGACCGCAAAAUAGGAAUCGCACAUAGUUGCGCCCGACCUUAGUGCUAUCAGCCAGCUUGCGUUGCUUUUCGACCUUGUGGGCGGUGUCGGCCUUCUAAGGCCUUUUGUUUUUUAGAAAUUGAAAAAACCUUAAGAUUUAAGUAAAGUACAGAAAAAUCUACCGCGUGGCCCAGCCCAGGCCUGCAGCCACACAGCCAACCCACUGCGGCCCAGCACGCUGGCUCCCAGUUUCUCAACCAAUUUUUUUUUUAUUUUCGCCGCAUCUUCGCCAGGAGGAAUCCACUUUCGUCCCCUGGCCUUUGCCUCGCCAACAUGAACUAUGGGACUGUGUUUCGCUGCUAUCUCAAGAUCCUCCAGAUACCUGUUAAUGAAACACAUGGUAGACAAAGGGCUCUGGAAUUCAUCAUCAUGGAUUGCUCUUCUACGUGCCCACCAAAUUGCCCACAAGGUGAUUAGAGCUCUAGCGAGGUCUUGCUGCCCCAGUGUUUCAAAUAUCCAGAAAAGCCACAAACGCGCAUCAUCACUCUUGUUGGAAAUCAGAUGUGCCAAAAUUUCCUCAUCGCCUAGAGCCCAGACACACCGUGCCAUUCUGCACUCAAACAAAGAAUGCCGCCAUGAGUCAUACUCUGAUUCGCAUAAACUGCACACAGGUGAAGUGGCCAUGUUUCGUUCGUGGCGGACUGAUCCAGUGGGUAAUGACAUUUGUGCUAAUCUCCACACAAAGACCUUGACCUUGGACGGAACUUUCACUUUCCACAAUUGAGACCAUGAUCUGCUCUCCGCUUCAACGUUCGAGUGGAUCGGCCUGUGCUCUAGCCAGUCUUCUCGCUGGUGUUUGAUUCCACUUAUCAUCCUAUAUGCAGAUUUGACUGUGAAGAUUCCCCGACGCUCAUAGUGCCAUGACCAAAAGUCAGGUUGUACAUGUGUGAUGUUCAAGAUAACAUCCACGUCCGGCUGGAUGAAGUUCUCGGUCAGUACAUGUACAUUCCAUGAUUUCGAUGUUGCAUCAAUGAGUUCUGACACUAACUGCGGCGGGGCGGGAGAAAUAGAGCAUAUAGGUCUCAGCUUGAAAUCACGCGGCAGCCAGUUUUCUUCCCAUAUGUAGGUUUCAUCCCCGACCUGAUUCUCUUUAUGAGGCCCAAAGCUAGCACAUCUCUCCCCUCCAUCAGCGAGCGCCAUACUUGGGAAGGCCUGGUGCCGAGGCUGGCACCAAAAAUGUUGCUCUGAGGGUAGUAACGAGCACGCAAUACACGCGCACUCAAAGACUCCGGGUCCUGAAGUAAACGCCAGACUUGACGAGCAAGCAAAGCAAGAUUGAAAAGCUCUAUGUCCCUGAACCCGAUGCCUCACAUAUGCUUUGGUUUACACAUAGUCUUCCAGGAAACCCAAGCCGGUUUUCUUUGGCCACGCUUACUCCCCCACCCAAACUUCCUGAUAAGGCUGUUAAUAUGUUCAGUUAGGCCGCGACAAAGUUUGAAGCAUGACGAAUAUGUCGGAAUAGAUUGUGCAACCGAUUUGAUCAAUACUUCUUUACCUCCUGCUGACAAACAUUUCUCCAUCCAUCCUUGGAUGUGUUUCCAAAUUCUAUCCUUUAAAUACUUGAAGCUUCCUUCCUUAUUCUUCCCUACGUCCGUGGGCAAGCCCAAAUACUUCUCUGACAGAAAUUCGUUUUGGACAUCUAGUGCAUUCUUUAUCUCGUUCUGUGUUACCUCUGGAACCCCCUUGCUGAAGUAUAUAGCGGACUUGUCUGUGUUUACUCGUUGGCCCGAGGCAUCACAGUACAUCCUCAAAAUAUUCUGGACACUGGUUGCAUUCUCCAUAUUUGCUUCAAAAAACAGUAGACUGUCGUCUGCAAAGAGCAAGUGAUUAACUUGCGGGGCUGUCUCUGCAACAGCUAGACCCCGUAUGCCACCUCCGUGAUGUUUUAAUAAAGAUGAGAGACCCUCAACUGCAAGUAAAAAUAAGUAUGGGGAGAUAGGGUCCCCUUGUCUCAUGCCCCUUGAUGGCCUGAACUCAUUCAAACUGCCACCAUUAAAAAGAACUGAGAAAGUGACUGAAGAAACACAUCUCAUGAUAGUCUCUGUGAAGCGUGGACUAAUGCCCAUUCUCAACAUAACAGCCUUCAGAUAAGGCCAUUCCAGGCGAUCAUAUGCUUUCAUCAUAUCCAACUUCAGCGCAACAAACCGAUUGUUCUUUACUCUCCUCGUUUUCAUAUAAUGCAAGCACUCGUAAGCUGUCAGAAAAUUAUCCGUGAUAAGACGUCCAGGCACAAAGGCCGACUGCUCCUCAGAAAUUACCUCAGGAAGGAUGAUCUUCAACCUGUUAGCUAGAACCUUUGACGCAAUCUUAUAGACCACGUUACAAAGGCCUAUAGGCCGAAACUGUCCUAAAAUUUUUGGACCUGCGAUCUUGGGAAUAAGAACGAUGAACGUGCGAUUGAUAUCCUCCGGAGAAUCUUCUCCUUCGAGCAAUCUAAUAAUCAUGCCAGUAACCUCUUCACCACAGAGGUCCCAAUGUCUCUGAAAAAAAUGUGCAGGAAAUCCAUCGGGCCCCGGUGCUUUUGUUGGAAACAUUUGAAAGAGAGCAACUUUGACCUCUUCUUUUGUAUAUGGUGCAUUAAGCUUUGCAUUCAUACUUCCAUCAACUCUAACCGGGAUGUGGGACAAGACCUCCUCCAUCCCAAUACCGGCCAUCUCUUCAGUAUCAGAAGAAAGUGUCCCAUCCGGCCUCUCAAGCUGAGUAAUAUUGUUUUUUGCCCUUCUAGCACUCGCCUUCUUCUGGAAAUACUGCGUGUUACUGUCUCCUGCGGACAGCCAGUCUAUACGCGACCGUUGUCUCAUCAUUAUCUCCUCCCUGUAGGAAAUCUCAACAAUCUUGUCCAAAACCCUCUUCUCCUCCUCGCCCGGCCCAACACGGACCGGGUCAGCUCUCAAAACUGCUAGCUGGUGCCUCAGCUUCCUUAACUCUUCACGAACUGACCCAAAAGUUGCUCGGCUCCAGUGUUUAAGCGAAGCUCCAACCGAAGUCAACUUAUCAGCUAGCUCUGUUAUAUUUGUAGCUGGUUGCCGCUGUAUCCAGGUCGGGACGGACGGGAGCGUGUGUUGUUGUUUGCAGGGACAAAGAAGGAAACUACAUUGGCGCAUCAGCUAUGGUUUUUGAAGGCCUAGUUGGCGCUGCAAACCUGGAGGCCCAAGCAUGCAAUGAGGCACUUGCUCUCGCACAAGAUCUUCAUCUAUCACAUGUGAUCAUAGCGUCGGACUGCAUGCAAGUCGUCUCAGACAUCAAUGGCGCUGCACAAUCUUCUUCUUAUGCUUGUAUAAUCGAGGAGAUUAAAGUUAGAUCGGUAGACUUUGUUAAAGUUAGUUUUCGUUUUGAAAAUAGGGAGUCGAAUUGUGAGGCUCAUGCUUUGGCAAAAGCAGCCUCGACACUCCCUAUCGGUCGACAUUAUAGCUGGCCAAACGGGUCGGGCCAAACAGGCCAGCCCGCGAGCACGCCGGCACGGCCCGCUAUGGGCCAGGCACGGCACGGGUUAAACGGGCCGUGCCCGGCACGCGGCACGUCUUGGGCCGUGCCUGGGCCUGAAGCCUGGGCACGCGGGCCAGCACGGCACGGACCGUUUAAUUUUUUUAUAUAAUUUUCAGAAUUUUUUCUAUAUAUCUAUACCUAAAAUAUAGCCCAAUAGGCCUAAAAAACAGCCCAACAGGCUGAAUAUGUGCAGCCCAGCGUGCUAAACGGGCCAUCGGGCCGGCCCAUUUACUAAUCAGGCCGUGCCUGGGCCAAGGAGCAGCGCCCGUGGGCCGGCACGACAUGACCUGGCUAUUAAACGUGCCAUGGCGGGCCGUGCCGGGCCAGGCACGAUUAGCACAGGCCGGGCCGUGCCGUGCCGGGCCGACCCGUUUGGCCAGGUAUAGUCGACAUGUGUGGCUAGGGAACACACCAGAUAUUAUUUGUAUUCCGUCAGUUUUGGUUGAUCAAUAAAACCCUAGUUACACCUAAAAAAAUAACCAAAAAAAAAAUGCACGCUGGCUCCCAGCCGAGACGCACACGCCGCCGCGCGGGACCUCCACGAGGGCGUCUGGCGUCACCCCGGCGCACCCGCCGAGACUGCUGCGCCGCCGCGCCGCCGCGAGAAGGGCGGAGGUCGCCAGGGAGAGAGCAUCAAAAGGAGGAGAGGGAGGUGGAAGAGGCGCCCUGCCGCCACCGCGGGCAGGCCGCCGGUGGCGCCGGCGACAGAGGAGGACGUGGCUGAGGGGGCUGAAGGUGAGGCGGCGGGAAAUCGCCCGGUGAGUCGCGAGAGCAACCCACGGGACGGAGGGAAAAGUGGCGGUGGAUUCCUUGGUUUUCACUGUUUCGUUCCCAAAUCAGAUUCGACCGGGCAAGCAUAUCCAGUUCUCUCCCGGAUUGGAUUGGGGUGGGAAGGAUCUACAUCAGAACGCGACCGGAGUAGCCGCCGGAGCUGCCGCAGUCUUGGUCUCUUUGAUUUGCGGCUCCGGCCGCCCGUGUGGUUGUAGCCGACCUGCUCUAAAGCUGUGGUGUUUGUCUCUGUCCAUCCACAAUGGAAGCUCCGGCUCCAGAUUGGUCCGGGCUACCAGCGGACAUAUUGAUCAGCAUAUUCCAGUUGCUCCAGUGCCCGGACCUCCUCCGAUCCGCCGCCGUCUGCACAUUCUGGCAAAAGGUGUACUCCACGCUCCGCCGAAGCGGCGUCUGCCCCAGUCGCCAGACUCCCUGUUUACUCUAUUGUACCGAGGCCGCCGGGGCGAAGGCUCUUGGCAUGUACAGUCUCUCUGAACGGAAGGCCUACUCCUUGCCCCUCCCUGAACCUCCCAUCAGCAGCUGGAUUGGUUCAUCACAUGGCUGGCUAGUCACCAUGGAUGAGAAGUCUGACCUGAUGCUUCUCAACCCUAACACCGGUGACAAGAUUGCACUCCCUCAUGUGACAGCCAUGGAGCAUGUUAAACCUAUCGUAAACGAAGACGGGAUUCUUGAAAAGUACAAGCUGUCUUUCUAUGAUGGAGAGCUUCCGAGGGUGGAGGAUACACCCUAUGCAUGCCAUUUGGAUAGGUACGGAGAUCUGGUCUAUCUGAAGGCAAUUUUGUCGUCAGAUCCAUCGGCAGGGGAAUGCACUGUCAUGCUCAUCCAUCAGCCGUACGCGCAGCUCUCGUUCGCCAAAGUGGGAGAUGCUCACUGGAACUGGCUCCAAAUGCAUAGUUUCUAUGCUGAUUGCAAACACCAUGAUGGCUGUUUCUACGCAUUCACUGCGGCAGGCGCAAUCGAUGUGUUUGAUUUGAACGGGCCAUCUGUCAUCCACAGAAGGAUUUUACCAAAUCUAGUUCAGAUGGUCCAGAAGUGCUAUAUUGUUCAGGCACCAUGGGGAGAUGUCCUCCAAAUCAUUAAGGAGGAGAGUUUGGAUCCUGAACAACCAGAUGGUGAGACGUAUAUCACUGCUUAUGAAGUGUACAAGGUUGAUUUUGUUGAGCUGAAGCGUGCCAAGAUGAGAGGGCUAGGUGAAUAUGCAUUGUUUACUGGGAAAAGCACAACAUCUUGCUUUAGCGCAAAGGAUCAUCCAGGCUUGAUGGCAAACCAUCUAUAUUUUACUCAUGAUGAUCACGAUGAAUUACUCAGCGGCAAAGAUGAUCCACGUGAUAUAGGAGUGUACGACUUGGAAAAUGAUACCAGAACCAAUUUGGUUGAUCCUGAACCCUGGAUGACGUGGUUCCCUCCCAUAUGGUUCACACCCAAUCUUGCAAAAGCAGGUAUAUUUCAUUAUCAAACAGUACUUUUCCUGAUAUUAUUUUUAGUAUUUUGAAAUCUGCUUCUCACAGAAUAAGAGAAUUGCACUUCCAACCUUAAGUGUGUUCCCCUUGUCUGGGUCUGUAUUGGAUGUUCAGAAUAGCUUCAGCGUUUGGUUAUGUUGAAUUUCUUAAACCCCUUUGGCUAAGAUUACCAUGUUAGUCAUGUGUUAUUCUUGCUAAAUGACAUGAAACGUGAUGAGGUUUAUAGGUUGGCUUUGAUACAUUUUUUAUGAUGUUGUGCUUGUCUGGCCUAGUGUUAUAGAAGAAGCGUUGCAUUCUCACCUAACAAAUAGGCUAUCAUGAAGCAGCCAACUCAUAUUGGGGAAAUAGGAAACUAUAAAGUGUGAAUAGUCUCGAGACGAAUGCAAGAUAAUCUAGAUCUAAUUGACAAUAUCAGUGUUAUAUUUCCGAAUACGUAUGGAGUAAAUAAUACUAAUAUGGAUGACAGAUAAUCCAGAAUUCUGGAUACAGUGGACAAAUGUGCAUUCACCCUUUACAGUACUGCCAUGAUCACACACAAACUCCACAUGAUAACUAUAAAACAAACUAGGAAGAAUAUAAAGAUGGUGGUGCGUAUCCUGUGAAAAUGGGCAUGUUUUUGAUAAUGUGAAAAUACAAUCAGAAAAGCACACGUGCAAGUAUCUUAAAAUUCUCAAAAUAACUCUCUUACUUUGUAAGGCCGUUUUGUAUAUUCAUGCCAAUUUGAAACUUCAAAUCCAGUAUACUUUGUGUGCUACAGAAGAGAAAACUGAAUGUGAAUGGUGUACUAAAAUUAAAACUGUGCUUUGACACUAUUAGCCUAUUUUGUCUUUUUUGUUUUCGUAAAAGGAAUUCUCUUUCGAGAAAGUUUGCACGGAGGUGCUAUAUGCUCUUCCACAAUAGUACACUUUUGCGGAAUUUGUAUGCGCUUUUUAAAUGGUAUUUCAAAUUUUUGGAAAGAUGUGCAUUUUCGUAGGAUAUGUCCCACUAAAUACAUUGGGGGUUAAGAUGAUUUAGCAUAUCAUUUAUGUUGUCUGGCCGGGUAAGAAAUUCAUGUAACAAAACAACAUUUUUUUUAAUGUUAAGCUAGCCUUUUUUGUUUCUUCUUAUUUUGAGUUUCGUUUUCCUUUUCCAUUUGCUUAGAGUUUCUAGAUUUGUGCCCCUUCGUUCUCUUUUGCUGUUUCAAUUUGUGCAGUUUUGUGCCUUCUUGCCGUUCUUAUUCUAAUACUGGACAAUAUUAUACACAUUUUGGUGUUGUUUGAGAAAAGAGUGCAAAUUUCAGCCGAUAGUACCUUUAAUAUUUGUCUUUCCGUUUAUAUCCAGUUGUUCAAAUGUGCACCUCGCUGUGAUUUGCAUUUGAAGUAUUCUCUGAUAUUUGUUCUGAUUAUUAUCUUUGUUUUCAUUGGAGAAGUGGUUUACUAAUAAGUACAAAAAUUGCAACCAAAUGUACAGCAACAUUUGACAUAAAUCACACAUCUCAUUCGUUAAUCUUUAUAUAUUAUGUUCUCAUAGAAGUUACAUUAAUUCUUGUGAACUGCUAAGCUGAUCAUUUGUUGACUAUUAACUUAAUUAGGCUUAAUAGCCUGUCAGGGUUUAUAAAUGCACUUACACGGUUACAUCACAUGUGAUGGACUGAUCGUGUACCUGUUUACUCUGAUAAAAUCUCCUUGUCAGUUUUUUCUUCUGUUUAACAUGGAACUGAAUUAUUGCGUGGAUCCGAAAAGAACCACCUGCUACUGUAGAUUAAAAAAAUUGUAGGAAUGCUUGCAAUCAUUGUAACGAUGGGCAUAUGUUUAUUGUCGUGUUAUCUGUUACUUUGCAUAGUCCAUGUCUUCAUGCUUGCUUGAAACAAUGCAACCUUUUGCCACUGUCUACUUUACAAUAAAUACAAUUUGCAUGGAAAAUUCCAAAAAAAAAUAUUAACUCUAAAAUUUGAGAGAAGUGCUCAUAUAUCAUAUUAUUAUAUUCUGGUCACUUUUCUGGUUGCUAGCUCAUUUCCCUGUCAGACUGUCACAUAAAGGUAGGCCAUUAUGAAUCAGUCAUUUUUACUAUUUUCUCCUGUGGCAAAUUUUAGCAUGGUCCCUCUUACCUCCCCUUUUCACAUGAGAGGUAAGAGUACGUAAUAGAUCUGAGCCAUUGAUUUGAUUAAAUAGUGGUCUGAUUUACUCUUACCUUCUUACCUCCCAUGUGAAAAGAGGGGGUAAGAGGGAGCAUGUUAAAAUUACUCUUCUCAUGUUACAUAUAUGACCCUCUCUCUCAUUUUUGCGAUUUAGCCACAUGUUCUGUUAGUACUUUAUUAACCUCUUAUUCCGCGAGUGUCAGUCCUUAACCCAAUGCGUAGUCUCUUACAUAUUCUGCCUUUAUUUGAAUGUAUGAUUUUAUGUUAGCUCUUUUACAGUACCCUGAUACUCUGAAAGCAUGCAUUGGAGUACCAGGCAGAUUUGGCCAUCCACACGGAAGGGCAACCCCAUAAUUUCCCAAAUGGUACGAAAGGGUAUUUUUGGACUUCUUCUCUGCCAUUUUGAUAGAGCCCACAGCUCCCUGGUCCUGCCCUUGCUGUGCCGUCGUGCCCUAGCACGCGCCGCAGGUUAUCCAAGUUUGAGGGCGGCGCCCCAGCCCCCAGGUCCUGCCCUCUCCGUGCCGUUGUGCCUCAGCGCGCACUGCCACCAUCCCUGUCAAGCGUCUUCGGUCGAGCUGCCACCCCACAACAGGUUCCCCCCUGUCGAGCAAGUUCCCCACAUGAAGAACUCUUAGGAAUCCUAGAAAUUAUAUAUGAACUACAUGCCAAAUUGGCGUCAAAAUUGCCAUCGUUUAAGCUGUCUUAGAUCCUAUGAGCAUAAAAAUUUCCAGCAUGCUGCUUGCUUUGAGCACAAAUAGUUGAAGAGAACAAAUGCGCUUCAGCUUGUGCAGAAACUAUCAGCUGCGGCUUAUCAGAUUAAGAUGCAGCAGUGGUUGUUUUAACACUUCCUGUGAUUGUCUGACACCGUCCGUAGCAGAUGUGCGCUCAUUCAGGAUGCAGAAUUGUCUUUGUUUUCGCCAUCAAUCUUACCAACAAAGGUUAAUCCAAUAUGAAAACUCUGUUUUUUUAUAUGAUUAAGCCAAACUGUGCGAAUGAAUUGCAGAUGCCGAAUUUUGAUACCUUUUCAUAGAAGAAAAGAAGUUAACAUAUAAGAUUAUACUGACUACAACAUUUCUUACAUGGUGUGUUCAUAAGAAUAAGAAUGAAAAUUUAGCUUUCACUGUGAGCCUCCCAUGGAAUCCUUCCUUGUUCCAUGCUGAAUUCUGAUUGCAUUUUUCUGUUCUGUCAGGGCUGUAGGUCUGUUUGUUUGCCCUUUGGAUUUUUUUAUUCUUUUGGUUAUUCUACAAUAUCUACUGCAAUACAUGGAAUCCUUUAUCGCCUCUUACAAUGAAUUAAAGUCAUUUGUAAUUUAACCCCGUGAGUCUAAUAACACUGAUCUUACACAUUCUAAUAUUUUCACUUAUCUACAGAUGCCAUGUGCGCCUGCACCCAAGGGGUGUUGACUUCUGCAAGUACAAGCGUGGUAACAGCAAGCAGCUGAGGCCCAAGAAGAAGAUCAAGAAGUAGAGUGCCACCAGUCAGUUUAAUGGACCUGUUAAAAUCCAUCGUCGUGUCAGAGUUUAUGCUUCGCCAUCGUCUCUGGUUGUCGUUAAACCUUAUUUACCUUGCUUUCAGCCUCAUAUUGCUUUGUUGAUCUUUGAAAGAAAAUUUGUAUCAUGAGUAUGAUAAAGGUAGAUGAUGUUGCU
rnacentral:lncRNA from 1 species